GGGGAGGGGGCUUAACGGCGCGGGCGGUAACAGAGGGAGGGGGAGGUCGACCGGGGUUCGACCGGCGGUGGGAAUCCGCAGCGGUUCUCCGUCGUGGGUCCGGUUCCGCGGCGGGGAGGUAGUGGUGCUCCACGGGCGGGGGCAGGCGAUCACAAGGGUGGGGUCAAUUUGACCGGCGGGGGCCUAGGGCGGCCGGUCCGCGGCGCAGUGGCGGGUGUCCACGGCGGUGAGGUCGCCAGUGAGGUUGCCGGGUGCAAUAGGAGGUGGGGAGGGGUGCCCUGUGACCGUGAGUGUGUGGCAGAGCUUCACGCACUGGUUAAUUGGACUGAUGUUCACUUGGAAGGGGGAAAUGGAGCUCACCGGAGCGACGGGGAAGCACGGCGGCGCUAGCUCGAUUGGCUCGGGGAGAAGCGGAGGAGUUGGCCGGAGCUGGUGUGGAGAGAAUGGGGCUCGGGCGGCUCCUUUUAUAGGCGCCCGGGAGAGGGGGAGGGAUGGAGGGGACGGCGAGCACCGACGAGCUCGCCAUGAUGGCGGGAAUGGAGCUAACGGCGAUUGGGACGGCUCGGGCAGACGAGGGUGAGGGGACGGCUCGGGCACAGUGGCGGGGUGGUCGCUGAGGCCGGUGCAAGCCUUAAUGGAGAGGCGACGGGGCGUGAGGCGCUCGGCGGCGAACGCGCCGGUGAGGCAUGGGCGAGACGACAGUGCUGACAGGCGAGCUCGGGCUGCCAGGGAGAGAGAGCGGCGCGAGAGGGAGGGAGUCGAGUCACUGACCGGUGAGGCUGAUCUGUCAGCGGAGGCGUGGGUGCGCGAAGUUGGGCCGCGUGGGCCGGGAGAGGGGGGGAGAAGCGCGGGCGCGACGCGGGUUGGGCCAGAAUCGGCCCAGCCGAGGGGGGGUUUCUUUUCUUUUUUUUCUGAUUUCUAUUUCUUUUCUUUUCCUUUUCUACUUUUGUUUCUUUUCACUUCUUUUUGCUUUGAAUCAAAAAUUUUCGAAAUGAUCUUGAGUGAUGAAUAUAGUCUAUGUGAGGUGCUCCUAUCAUUUCAAGUGUAUGCACAUGAUGAGAUGAUCUAAGGGUGGAGUUUUAGGGAGAAAAUAAAAUAAGAGGUGGGGGGGUUAGGAGGUUAGGGUUCCAAACCAUGGGUUGGGAUUUUUGGGAUGUUACAGCCUCGCCCGACCUUAGGCCUUGGCCUCGGAAGGAGGUCUUCGCCUCGCCCGACCCUAGGGCUCAGCCUCAACCUCGGCCUCGAAAGGUGGUCUCCGCCUCGCCCGACCCCAGGGCUCGGCCUCAACCUCGGCCUCGGGAGGAAUCGCGUCCUCACCCGACCCCGGCCUCGGCCUCAGGAGGAGUCUCCGCCUCGCCCGACCUUGGGCUCGGACCGACUGUGCCACAGGGGAUACAUCAUUACCCUACCCCUAGCUAGCUCAGGCUACGGGGGAACAAGACCGGCGUCCCAUCUGGCUCGCCCCGGUGACAAGUAAUGAUGGCUCCCCGUGUGCGUCCAUGAUGACGGUGGUUCUCAGCCCCCUACGGAAGCAAGAAGACGUCAGUAAGAUCGCAGCAGCACCGACAGCUGUGCUUCUACAGGGCUCAAGCACUUCUCCGACGGCCACGUUAUCGCCUACGCAGGGCUCAAGCACUUCUCCGAUAGCCACGUUGGCAUGUACACAGGGCUCAGGCACUUCCCUUCCAGACACGUUAGCGCCUAGCUACACCCCCAUUGUACACCUGGACCCUCUCCUUGCAUCUAUAAAAGGGAGGUCCAGGGCCUUCAUGCGAGAGGGUCGCGCGGGAGAACGAGCUAACGAACAGGCUCACUCUCUCUCGCGAACGCUUGUAACCCCUACUACGAGCACACCCCCUGGCGCGGGAUAACACGAGCCGCGUUUCCCCCUUGUGUUCCAUCUCGCGCCAACCCAUCUAGGCUAGGACACACAGCGAAAAAUUUACUCGUCGGUCUAGGGACCCCCCGGGGUCGAAACGCCGACAGUUGGCGCGCUAGGUAGGGGCCUGCUGCGUGUUAACGAACAACUUCCCGUUGAGUUCCAGAUGGGUAGUCUUCAGCAACCUCUUCAGCCCGGGAUGCCGCUCUGCUUCGGGAGCCUCAAGUUCAUGUCCCUCGACGGCAGCUACGACAUGGUACUCCUCCCCUCGCAGCGCGACAGCAACAACGAUGGCCGUCAGCUCGCCCGGCGGCGGCGAACUCGACGACGUCUUCCCCCCGUGGCGGAGGAGCAGCAUCCGGGUUUGUCCCGCCACCCUCCUCGCCGCAGAAGGAGGAGACGGGGCAACCGUGGCCAUGCAGGAGGCAGCGCCUCGUCGGCUGUCGAGCGAGUCGACGACACCGAUGCCCCAGCGAGGGACAUGUCGGGCGUUGUCCUCGCGCUUGAGACAACGACAGAUGUCGUUUCCCCGCAACGUGCCAUCCCUAAGCGGACAGAUGACGCCAGCACACUCGCGAAGGGCUUGCUGGGCGUUAGCCUCGUACCUGAGAUAACAGUGUAGUUCGUCCCCAACGCGACUUCAUCACCGUCCAUCGAUCAAGAGGUACCGUCCGUUUUCCACCCUAUGCCUUUUAGAUUCAGCUUCGAUCCACCAAGCGACUCCGCUUCGGUGAGCGCUUUCGUAAAGGCAUAUCCUAACCUUCCGGGGUACCAUAUUUGGUCAUCUUGGGACCGACUGAUGGCCGUCUCAACCUACGGGCCCCUGAGUUCCGAGGAAGAGGACGGUCCUGACUCCGGUUGGGAUUUCUCUGGGCUCCGCGAUCCUAGUGCCAUGCGAGACCUCAUGACCGCAUGUGACUACUACCUCUCCGAUUGCUCCGAUGAUGGCCACAGCCUCGACGACGAGGGUUGUGGCCCAAGUCGCGAAUGUUUCCACGUCGAUCUAGGGGGUCACGACGAAGGAAACCACCUCGGUAUGCUGGAGGAUGACGAUCCCCUGGGCCUGCGCCUCGCGUUGACAUCCUGCGGGAGCUAGCUGUGGUCCCAGUCCCUGUGGGGGGUCAGGACACACAGCUCGAGCAAAUCCGCGAGAUGCAAGCCAAGCUCGACGAGGAAGCAGGGCAACUUGUGCAACUCCGGCAAAACAUCGAGCAGGAGUGGGCAGGCCGAGCACUCGCCGGAGAAGCGCGUCAUCAGGCCCGAGACGUCUAGCACCGUAUCGUUGACGAUGCCAGGGCAAGGCUGCCCCCGGCCUCCAGCGGGGUCGGCCAGAAUCUAGCUGCAGCGGCAAUACUACUCCGAGCAAUACCGGAGCCAUCCACCACCGAGGGGCGGCGUAUCCAGGGAGAACUCAAGAAUCUCCUGGAGGAUGCCGCGGUCCGACGGGCCGAAAGCUCUGCCUCCCGAAGGCAAGGGUGCCCCCUGGAGCAUCGUGCAACGACUUCCCGACUCACGAGGGAGGCCUCAGUCCACACCGGGCGCACGCGGGACACGACGCCUGCAGCCCCGGGUCGCCUCGGCAACGAGCACCACCGCCGCGACCAUCGAGCCCGCCUUGACGAGAAGGCGCGCCGAGGCUACCACCCCAGGCGUGGGGGACACUACAACAGUGAGGAGGAUCGGAGCCCCUCGCCUGAACCACCAGGUCCGCAAGCCUUCAGCCGGGACAUACGACGGGCGUCGUUCCCAGCUCGGUUCUGGGCCCCGACUACCAUCACCAAGUACUCUGGGGAAACAAGGCCGGAGUUGUGGCUUGCGGACUACCGGCUGGCCUGCAAGCUGGGAGGGACGGACGAUGACAACCUCACCAUCCGCAACCUCCCUCUGUUCCUCUCCGACGCUGCCCGGGCCUGGCUGGAGCAUCUGCCUCCCGCGUAGAUCUCCAACUGGGACGACCUGGUCAAGGCUUUCGCUGGAAACUUCCAGGGCACGUACGUGCGCCCUGGGAACUCCUGGGAUCUCCGAAGCUGCCGCUAGCAGCCAGGGGAAUCCCUGCGAGAGUACAUCCGACGGUUUUCAAAGCAGCACACCGAGCUGCCCAACAUCACCGACUCGAAUGCCGCGACCUAGUGAGCAAACUGGGCUGCAAGACUCCCACCAAGGCGAGCGAGUUGAUGGACAUCGCCACCAAGUUCGCCUAUGGUCAGGAGGCGGUUGAAGCCAUCUUCCGGAAGGACAAGCAGCCUCAGGGACGCUAGCAGGAAGACGUCCCCGAGGCGUCCGCCCAGCGGAGCACGAAGAAGAAGGCCAAGAAGAAGGCGCAAGCAAAGCGCGACACCGCAGACGCGGAUCUCGUCGCUGCUGUCGAACACAGGAACCCACGAAAGCCUCCUGGAGGGGCCAACCUGUUCGACAAGAUGCUCAAGGAGUCGUGCCCCUACCACCAGGGUCUCGUCAAGCACACCCUUGAGGAAUGCGUCAUGCUUCGGUGCUACUUCCAUAAGGCCGGGCCACCGGCAGGAGAUGGCAAAGACCAAGACAACGACAAGAAGGAGGGCAACAAGGCAGAGGAGUUCCCCGAGGUCCAUAGCUGUUUCAUGAUCUACGGUGGGCAAGUGGCGAACGCCUCGACUCAGCACCGCAAGCAGGAGCGCCGGGAGGUCUGCUCGGUAAAGGUGGCGGCACCAACCUACCUAGACUGGUCUGACAAGCCCAUCACCUUCGACCAAGGCGACCACCCCGACUGCGUGCCGAGCCUAGGAAAGUACCGGCUCGUUGUCGACCCCGUCAUCGGCAACACCAGGCUCACCAAGGUCCUCAUGGACGGGGGCAGUAGCCUCAACAUCAUCUACGCCGAGACCCUCGGGCUCUUGGGGAUCGAUUUGUCCACGAUCCGGGCUGGUGCGGCACCCUUUCACGGGAUCAUCCCCGAGAAGCGCGCCCUGCCCCUUGGACAACUCGAUCUGCCCGUCUGCUUCGGAACUCCCUCCAACUUCCGAAAGGAAACCCUCACGUUCGAGGUGGUUCCGAGGGACCUACCACGCGGUGCUGGGUAGACCGUGCUACGCCAAGUUCAUGGCCGUCCCCAACUACACGUACCUCAAGCUCAAGAUGUCAGGCCCCAACGGGGUCAUCACCGUCGGAUCCACGUACCGACACGCGUACGAAUGCGACGUGGAGUGCGUGGAGUAUGCUGAGGCCCUCGCCGAGUCCGAGGCCCUCAUCGCCGACCUAGAGUGCCUCUCCAAGGAGGCGCCUGAUGCGAAGCGCCAUGCUGGCAACUUCGAACCGGCUGAGGCGGUUAAGUCCGUCCCCCUCGACCCCAGCAACGACGCCUGCAAGCAAGUCCGGAUCGGCUUCGAGCUCGACCCCAAAUAGGAAGCAGUGCUCAUCGACUUUCUCCGCGCAAACGCCGAAGUUUUUGCGUGGAGUCCUUCGGACAUGCCCGCCAUACCGAGGGAUGUCGCCGAGCACUCACUGGAUAUCCGAGCCGGUGCCCGACCUGUGAAGCAACCCCUGCGCCGUUUCGACAAAGAAAAGCGCAGAGCCAUAGGCGAGGAGAUCCACAAGCUGAUGGCCGCAGGGUUCAUCAAAGAGGUAUUCCAUCCCGAAUGGCUAGCUAACCCUGUGCUUGUGAAAAAGAAAGGUGGGAAAUGGAGGAUGUGCGUAGAUUACACUGGUCUAAAGAAAGCAUGUCCGAAGGUUCCCUACCCUCUGCCUCGCAUCGAUCAAAUUAUGGACUCCACUGCUGGUUGCGAAACCCUGUCAUUCCUCGACGCCUACUCAGGGUAUCACCAAAUCAAGAUGAAAGAGUCCGACCAGCUCGCGACUUCUUUCAUCACACCUUUUGGCAUGUACUGUUAUACUACUAUGCCAUUUGGCUUGAGGAAUGCAGGUGCAACAUACCAAAGGUGCAUGAACCACGUGUUCGGAGAGCACAUCGGCCGAACGGUCGAGGCUUAUGUCGAUGACAUCAUUGUCAAGACGAGGAAAGCCUCCGACCUCCUCUCUGACCUUGAAACGACAUUCAAGUGUCUGAGAGCGAAGGACGUGAAACUCAAUCCCGAGAAGUGUGUCUUCGGAGUCCCCUGAGGCAUGCUCCUAGGGUUCAUCGUCUCCGAGCGGGGCAUCGAGGCCAACCCGGAGAAAAUCGUGGCCAUCACCAACAUGGGGCCUAUCAAAGAUUUGAAAGGAGUACAAAGGGUCAUGGGAUGUCUUGCGGCUCUGAGCUGCUUCAUCUCGCGCCUCGACGAAAAAGGCCUACCCUUGUACCGCCUUUUAAGGAAGGCCGAGCGCUUCACUUGGACCCCCGAGGCCGAGGAAGCCCUAAGAAACUUAAAGGCGCUCCUUACAAACGCGCCCAUCUUGGUGCCCCUCGCUGCGGGAGAAGCCCUCUUGAUCUACGUAGCCGCAACCACUCAGGUGGUUAUCGCCGCGAUCGUAGUCGAGAGACAAGAAGAAGGGCAUGCACUGCUCGUCCAGAGGCCGGUCUACUUCAUCAGUGAAGUGCUAUCCGAGACCAAGAUCCGCUACCCGCAAAUCCAGAAGCUACUGUAUGCAGUAAUUCUGACGCGGCGAAAAUUGCGACACUACUUCGAGUCUCAUCCAGUGACUGUGGUGUCAUCCUUCCCCCUGGGGGAGAUCAUCCAGCGCCGAGAGGCCUCGGGUAGGAUAGCAAAGUGGGAAGUGGAACUCAUGGGCGAGACAAUCUCGUUCGCUCCUCGGAAGGCCAUAAAAUCCCAAGUCUUGGCGGACUUCGUGGCUGAAUGGGUCGACACCCAACUGCCAACAGCUCCGAUCCAACCCGAGCUUUGGACCAUGUACUUCGAUGGGUCGCUGAUGAAAACGGGAGCAGGUGCUGGCCUACUCUUCAUCUCACCCCUCGGGAAACAUCUCCGCUACGUGCUGCGCCUCCAUUUCCCGGCGUCAAACAACGUGGCCGAGUACGAGGCUUUGGUUAACGGGCUGCGCAUCGCCGCCGAGCUAGGGGUUUGGCGCCUCGACGCUCGCGGCGACUCGUAGCUUGUCAUUGACCAAGUCAUGAAGAACUCCCACUGCCGCGACCCGAAGAUGGAGGCCUACUGCGACGAAGUUCGACGCCUGUAAGACAAGUUCUACGGGCUGGAGCUCAACCACAUCGCUCGACGGUACAACGAGACUGCGGAUGAGCUGGCGAAAAUAGCCUCGGGGCGGACAACGGUUCCCCCUGAUGUCUUCUCCAGAGACAUACAUCAACCCUCCGUCAAGAUCGACGACACGCCCGAGCCCGAGGAGGCCUCGGCCCAGCUCGAGGUAUCCUCGGCCGCCGAGGGUGAGGCCUUGCGCAUCGAGGGAGAGCGGGAUGGGGUUGCGUCAAACCGAAACUGGCAGACCCCGUACCUGGAAUAUCUCCUCCGAGGAGAGCUACCCCUCGACAAGGCCGAAGCUCGGCGACUGGCGAGGCGUGCCAAGUCGUUCGUCUUACUGGGUGAUAAAAAGGAGCUCUACCACCGCAGCCAUUUAGGCAUUCUCCAACGAUGCAUAUCCGUCGUCGAAGGACAGGAGCUAUUGCAAGAUAUACACUCGGGGGCUUGCGGUCACCACUCAGCGCCUCGAGCCCUCGUGGGAAACGCCUUCCGACAAGGUUUCUACUGGCUGACCGCGGUGGCCGACGCCACUAGGAUUGUACGCUCUUGCCAAGGGUGUCAAUUCUACGCAAGACAGACGCACCUGCCCGCUCAGGCCCUGCAGACAAUACCCAUCACCUGGCCAUUUGCUGUGUGGGGUCUGGACCUCGUCAGUCCCUUGCAGAAGGCACCCGGGGGCUCCUCACACCUGCUGGUCGCCAUCGACAAAUUCUCCAAAUGGAUCGAGGUCCGACCCUUAACGAGCAUCAGGUCCGAGCAGGCAGUGGCGUUCUUCACCAACAUCAUCCAUCGCUUUGGGGUCUCGAACUCCAUCAUCACCGACAACAACACGCAGUUCACUAGGAAGAAGUUCCUAGACUUCUGCAAGGACCACCACAUCCGUGUGGACUGGGCCGCCGUAGCUCACCCUAUGACGAAUGGGCAGGUGGAGCGUGCCAACGGUAUGAUUCUGCAGGGACUUAAAAGAGGAUCUACAACGACCACAACAAGUUCGACAAGCGGUGGAUGAAAGAGCUACCCUCGAUGGUCUGGAGUCUGAGGACGACGCCGAGCCGAGCCACGGGUUUCUCGCCGUUCUUUCUAGUCUAUGGGGCCGAGGCUAUCUUACCCAAAGACUUAGAAUACGGUUCCCCGAGGACAAAGGCAUACGAUGACCGAGGCAACCAGGCCAGCCGAGAAGACUCACUGGACCAGCUGGAAGAGGCUCGGGACAUGGCCUUACUACACUCGACGCGGUAUCAGCAGUCUCUGCGACGCUACCACGCCCGAGGGGUUCGACCCCGAGGCUUCCAGGUGGGAGACUUAGUACUUCGGCUGCGGCAGGACGCCCGAGGGCGCCACAAACUUACUCCUCUCUGGGAAGGGCCGUUCAUCAUUGCCAAGAUUUUGAAGCCCGGAACAUACAAGCUGGCCAACGAUCAAGGCGAGGUCUACAGCAACGCUUGGAACAUCCAACAGCUAUGUCGCUUUUACCCUUAAGAUGUUUUCAAGUCGUUCAUAUACCUCACUUUUCUUUACAUACAUAAAUAAAGUCUAACCGUCAAGGAAGGAUCAGCCUUGCCUCGGCAAAGCCCGACCCUCCCUCGGGGGCUAGAAGGUGGGAACCCCCUCUGCGUCAAAAUUUUCCUCAGAAAAAGUCUUUUGCGCUUUUCGACUGCUUCGAUAGCGAGAUCCUGAAAACGACGAGAGUACACGUAAGUGGCAAGGCUGACCGAGCCGAGGGACUCCUACGCCUCCGGGAUACGGAUACCUUACUCAUCACCUUCCGCAAUAAGUAACUCACGCUCGGAUAAGCGAUUCUGCUACCGAACAAGUCCUAACGCUCGAAAACUUUUCUGCCAGAACGAUUUUCGUGCCUUCUUGACUAUAUCGAUAACAGAAUCCUGCGAACGAGUAAGAGUGCACGUAAGCGGCAAGGCCGACCGAGCCGAGGGACUCCUACGCCUCCGGGAUACGGAUACCUCACUCAUCACCUUCCGCGAAAAGUAACUCUCGCUCAAUAAGCGAUUCUGCUAUCGAUGAACAAGUCUUGAUACUCGAAACAAGAGGAAAGAAAACGUAGCUUUAUAAUACGACAAUAAGAUGUUUAGGCCUCGACGGCCGCAAAAAACAUACGCAUACUACAGACAAACUGUUCCUGCAGGUUCAGACAUCGACAGAGGGAGCAGCAACACCCUCGGCGUCGUUUCCACCCUCGCGGGACCUGGCCCAGCCUCGGACGGCGAUACGGACGGAAGGAUUUCCACCCCAUGGGAGGACGCCAGCAUCGCGCUUGGGCCCCCACGGCCAAGUUCUCCGCAAGGGUUCCAUCCCGAAGCGGACGCCUCGGCUGGCCGCUCUGUAUCCUUAGCCAGCUGUCCCCCGAGGACCUCAGCCCGGCUCACGGCCUCGGCAGCGUGACUCCGGGGUUGGUCCUGCUAGCGGACGACCUGGCCAAGCCCCAGCCGUCGCCGCUGCACCUCCUCGGCAAGGGAAGCCACGUGCUCCCGGGCCGACGAAGCCUCUUUUCGAGCCGACUCCGCCUCUGUCCAUGCUGACACUGCUGCCUCCAGCUUCGGCUCAUCGCAGAGCGGCCUAAGGUUCUAUAACUGAGCAAGAGAAGCCUUGAGCGGCAAGGCCGACCGAGCCGAGGGACUCCUACGCCUUCGGGAUACGAAUACCUCACUCGUCACCUUCCGCGCAAGGCAACUCACACUCGGUUAAGCGGUUCAGCUAGCCGACAGGCGAGUCCUAGUGCUCGAAAUGAGGAAGAAACACAUCUUCACGCCCAAAUACCCAGAUGUUCAGGCCUCGACAGCCACAAUGAACAAACACCCAUACUCAGGGUGCUAUUACAAACGGAACUCCGGUUCCACUCCCGCGGGUAUGAACUACCUCCACACCAGAGGGCCUGCGGGACAACAAACUCCAGGUGGCUCGCCGGCGACCACUGCACCAGCAGUGACAACGACCUCCGCUUCGGGCGGCUAAACAGCAGCAGCGAUGACCUCAGGGCAAGCGCUGCUAUGGAAAGGCCCUCGCCCACGCCCCCACACGAGGGGCGAGGACAAGCCAUCAAAGCCAAAGAGCCGGGGGUCCGACCGCAGGUGGCGCUGACGGUCUCGUCGGCGGAGAAACCUUCUCUGGCGGCCACCACCUCGGCACCGACGGCAGCGGCCACCUGCGUGCCAGUGCCACGCCGACGAAUGGCGGCCGCCCCAGCCUGCAGCGACAGAUCCCCACUCAAGUCCUCACGGACGGAUCAGCACCAGCCUCCACGCGGAGGCGCCAUGCUGGAGUGAGGACAAGACAAUCCAAGAACACGAACGCCGCCCUAGCGGCGUGUGACGUCUUGGACGAUCCCCCGGUGCAGUCGGCAACGCGGGGAGGGCCACAGACAUGCCCGACCUGCUCGCGGCGCGACUGUCGCCCAUGCGGUGGACGGACAGCCACGCCCGAAUCAAGCGGCAGGAGGCAGCGUCGGACGCUGCGACAGAGCCAGCUGAGCCAGCGAGCCAGGCACGCUGGAGCUGACGACGCUUGCGGCUGACCGGUCCCGCGUUGUCGAAGUUCGCCCCCUCCGUAAGGCAGGUGAGCGCCCUCUCCCCUGAAUGCUGAAGGGAGAGGCGACCUGCCGGCCCAUGCGGGAGGUAGAACCCCAGCUCAGCUUGCCCUCCGCCACAACAAGGAUGAUGAAGAUCCUUGAAGCUGAGGGCGGGGCAGAGGUCGCAGCCCGACUUGCUUCUCCCCACCACCAAACUGGUGGUCAUCAUCCUAGAUGACUAUUGGCGAGGGAAUGCAGCCGAACUGCAUGAUGAAAAUCCUUGAAGCCGAGCGAUGGCUGAAGGGUGCCAACCCCCGCGAGGUCGCGCUCCUCCAACAGCAGCAAGACGAAGGCAACGCGGGUGCCCCCCAUCCGGGGGCUCGGAAGGUGGAAGGGCACGAUGCAUGAGGGGAGUGCGAAGACAUGGCUACCGCCCGGGGGAUCGACCCCUUUUUAAAGGCGACUCUCCCCACUCGCAUCCUCAAGCGUCACGGGCAAAGUCUUCACCGACGUGCUCCGGGGUCCUCCCCCUACGACACGGGGGCUAGGUCCCACACGUCAUGCAAGCUGACCAGAAACGGAAGAAGCCAAACCACUGCGCGCGAAGCAGGAGGCGUGCAACCGCACCACGGUUGUGCACCCUUUCGGCUUCAUCGCAUCCGGUGGGUCAGCGUGAAGGCCUGGGCCCGCAUGUCAUGCAACCGGCGCAACAGUUACUGCGUGCAAGGAAACCGCACCGCUGCUCGCACCAAUGCCGCGUCUCCUCGACUGCGGAACCAGUGCCGCGACUUGAGGCAGCCCUGCACAUGACCCAACAGUGCCAAUUGAGCACAACGAUCACGAGUCAGUCAGCCGCGGGAGGAGGCGCGACAGUUGAUGUGGCCAAAAGUGGACCGACAGUAAUGGCGGCAGCAGACGAGCGAAAGCAGCGGUCAAAUCGCCUGCAGGCUCGCGUCCCCUCCUAAAGCGGCAGGGGAGCCCUCUCCCACGGCGUGAAGGCGAAACACCCGUUCCUCAAACGACUCGCGCACGCACAACGACCACCCCGCGAAUCGCCCGUCCCGUCGCAUUAACUCCUCGGCAGGGCAAGCGUCACCUUUGGCAGGCGAAGCGGGCGACGUUUCACCUCCGCCAUAAUGACCGCGUCAAAAAAGGUGCGCCACCCCAUUUAAAUUCAUAUCCUUUUCCUCUUCCCCUUUCUCUCUCUUGCUACAGGGACCGGGAAAGGGGAUAUUUCGAAAGGGAUCCUUCUCCGCGAAGGAAGCGGGCCCCGAGCCCUCCUACUGAUCAGGGGUUCGAAGGCUGGCCCCUCGGAAGGGUUCGACAGCCGCCCCAGAGCACUCGGGCUUCAAGCUCAUUACUGAUCAGGGGUUUGAAGGCUGGCCCCUCAGAAGGGUUCGAUAGCUGCCUCAGAGCACUCAGGCUCCGCGCCCACUACUGAUCAGGGGUUCGAAGGCUGGCCCCUCGGAAGGGUUCGACAGUCGCCCAGAGCAUGCAAAGCGAGGGAUGACUCUGGGUACGUCCGUUACAUGGCCGAGGCUCGGGCUACGCUCCCGAGGUACCCUAGGACAUUUCUGAGACCAGCAGGAGCAAUUUUGUAACGGAAUCCCAUCAGAGGGAGGCAUCGAGCCCUUGGACCCUAUCGAAUGGGUCCGGGUCCGGCAAAUCACCUGCAGGUACCUCUGGAGCGCGCCUCUGGGCCACUAGCCGACCCUUAUCGAACGGGGCACGGGCGUCCACUCGGAUCACCCGUUAGCAACUCACUGGAGACACCAUGUUCAGCGCCCUCCGAGGGCAACAUGGCGCUUUCCCCCCUUCCUCCUUGUGGAAAGGCGACGAAGGGGCGUAUAAUAAAAGUCGAGACAGUCCUUGAUCGUCCUCUCGCUCCGUGCAGAGGCUCGGGGGCUGCUCUCGCAAACCGGCUACAGUCAAACCGUUGACAGCGUCAACAAACCAGCCUAAAAACUCGGAACCUGACCAUGCACCCGGGCUACGACCAGGCCGCAUGAGGGAGCGACAAGGCUAGCCGAGGCAUCACGAAAGACAUUAAGGCCUCAGAGGAGUCAAACCACUCCUCCGAGGCCUCGGGGGCUACACCCGGCGGGUGCGCUCGCGCGCACCCACCGGAACAAAGUAUAACCGAGAAAGGCCGGUCCCCUCACAAAAAGUGCGGCAAAGCCUCCAAGCGAGUGCCAACACUCCCUUUGAGGCUCGGGGGCUACUGUUGGGUACCAUAAUUAGGGGUACCCCCAACACUCCUACACACGGCUGGUAACCACCAUCAGCACGAACCGCAAAGACUGAUGGGCACGAUUCAGGUCAAGGCUUCGUCUACCCAAGGGGCGCGAUCUCGCCUCGCCCGAGCCCAGCCUCGGGCAGGAACUGUAGUCCCGAACGAAGUUAUGUCUCGCCAGAGGGCCUCCUCAGGCAGUAGCCGCACCCUCGGCACGCCCGAGGCCCAACUCGAGCAGGCUUCGUCAAGAAGCAACCUUGGCCAAAUCGCCUCUCCAACCGACCAUAUCACAGGCGCAUUCAAUGCGAGGAUCGCCUGACACCUUCUCCUGACACGCGUGCCUCAGUCGGCAAGGUCGAAGUGACCGCAAUCACUUCGCCCUUUCACUGACCGACCUGACAGGAAAACAGCGCCGCUCGCCCCGCUCCGACUGCUAUGCCACCCACUAGGGUGAGGUUGACAACAGCCAAGUUCAGCCUCGGGCACAACAGGAAACUCCGCCUUGCCCGACCUUAGGCCUCGGCCUCGGAAGGAGGUCUCCGCCUCGCCCGACCCCAUGGCUCGGCCUCAACCUCGACCUCGGAAGGUGGUCUCCGCCUCGCCCGACCCCAGGGCUCGGCCUCAACCUCGGCCUCGGGAGGAAUCGCGUCCUCACCCGACCCUGGCCUCGGCCUCAGGAGGAGUCUCUGCCUCGCCCGACCGCGCCACGGGGGAUACAUCAUUACCCUACCCCUAGCUAGCUCAGGCUACGGGGGAACAAAACCGGCGUCCCAUCUGGCUCGCCCCGGUGACAAGUAAUGAUGGCUCCCCGCGUGCGUCCAUGACAACGGUGGUUCUCAGCCCCCUACGGAAGCAAGGAGACGUCAGCAAGAUCCCAGCAGUACCGACAGCUGUGCUUCUACAGGGCUCAAGCACUUCUCCGACGGCCACGUUAUCGCCUACGCAGGGCUCAAGCACUUCUCCGACAGCCACGUUGGCAUGUACACAGGGCUCAGGCACUUCCCUGCCAGACACGUUAGCGCCUAGCUACACCCCCCAUUGUACACCUGGACCCUCUCCUUGCAUCUAUAAAAGGGAGGUCUAGGGCCUUCAUGCGAGAGGGUCGCGCGGGAGAACGAGCUAACGAACAGGCUCACUCUCUCUCUCGCGAACGCUUGUAACCCCUACUACGAGCACACCCCCCCUGGCGCGGGAUAACACGAGCCGCAUUUUCCCCCUUGUGUUCCAUCUCGCGCCAACCCAUCUGGACUGGGACGCGCAACGACAAAUUUACUCGUCGGUCCAGGGACCCCCCGGGGUCGAAACGCCGACAACGAGAUACGCCUAAGUAUACUUCUUCUAGUGAUGAGGAAUCUUCUGACGAUGAGGUAGAUUACAAUGAUCUAUUUAGAGGUUUAGAUAGAUAUAAAAUAGAUAAAAUAAAUAAAUUUAUUGAUGCUCUCAAUGAAAAAGAUAGGCUUCUAUAAAAGCAAGAAGAUAUUCUUUAUGAGGAACAUGAUAAAUUCAUUAAUGUUCAAAAAUCUCUUGCUCUAGAAAUUAAGAAAAAUGAACUAUUGACCUCUGAGUUAUCUACUUGUAAUGACUCUAUCUCUAAGCUUAAGAAUUUAAAUUUUGAUUUAAAUACUAAGUUAGAAGAAGUAAAUUUUGCUAGUUCAUCUGUAGAGCAUGUUGUAAUCUACAAUAGGUGUAAAGAUUUUAAUAUUAAUGCUUGCAAUGAACAUGUCUCUACCAUUCUUAAUUUAAAUAAUGAUGUCGCAAGUCUUAAUGCUUAACUUAAGACUUGCAAGGAUAAUUAUGAAAAAUUAAAAUUUGCUAGGGAUGCCUACACCAUUGGUAGACAUCCCUUUAUUAAGGAUGGACUUUGUUUCCAAAAGGGAACCAAGAACUUAACAAGCCAAAGGGCUCCUGUUGGUCACUUGUUCUCAAAUGCUAAGAGUUAAGAACAAGGCAACACAAAAUGUUAACGGUUAAAGACCUUCGUCCUUCGAAGCAUUAUCUCCUUUAGGAUAUAAUGAUCUUUAGACGAAGGUUAUGAAGGACGUACCUUCAUAAUCUCAAUAUAUAAUAAUGAAAGUAUAAGUAUAUGAAAUAUGGAAAACAACAUGAAUAAUCAUAUGACAUUAUCAGAACAUUUUUAUUAUCUCCUCAUGAAUAAACAUGAACAAUAUCGAGUUACAUUUGUACCUUCGGCUUGACAGAAGGCGAAAAUCCAAGUGUGACGUGCGAGUGAAUACAAGUCAGCGUGAACAGUACAAUGUUAUUGUUCAUCUAUUUAUAGGCACAUGACGCAGCCUGUGUAAAAUUACAUCCAUGCCCUUUAUGUUUACUAUUGACUUAAGGACAAUCUACUGAGGACUAGAUAGCCUUUUCCUCUUUAAGUCGGUUUCAUUUUCUGCCGCUGAGCCGAAGCAUUUCUACGCGUAGCUUCGGAGCUGGUUCAACCUUCUUCCAGACCAUGCUUUUCAUAUGGUAUACAACUUCAUUCCGAGGCCGAAGGUCCCUGUAAAUGUAUUAUACUUAGAAAACAUGUUAAUUGUGUUUUUGAGGACCUUCGGAAGACGAAGGCCCCCAACAGUAGCCCCUAACAGUAUUAAUUUGUUUAAUCAAUAAAUUCAAACUGCGACGUGAACGAAGGCCUUAAGCCGAAGGUCCGAAAAACACCUUCCCUUCGCUAGAAUAGCGAAAGUCAAUGACAAACGGGGCCCGCCAAGUUGCAAAGCACUAGGCGUAUAAAUAGGAACCCACAUCGGCAACAUUUGAUGCGCCAUUUCUGCUGUUUGCGUUGUUUUCUCAAAUUUUUAGCUCUUGCUCAUCAACUCUUGUUUAAUUUUCGAGCUUCGGUUUAAAGACGUGCUUGCUCCAUGUCUGAGGAGAAGACGAUGACCAAGGAAAAGAUGACUGAGGAGAAGAAGCUCACUGAGGGGAAGAAGCUAUACGAAGAGAAGAAAGUUGCGGACCCUUUCAUUGCUGGGUUUUAUGAGUCUAUGGCAAAGACGAAUACAGAGAAAAUCACUAAAGAGAUAAUGGAGGGUUUGUCUGAAGAUUCUGAUGACAGCAAUAGUUAUGAUGUAGAGAGUGGAGAUGAAGAUUCUGAGGACCGGCCCUGGAGGCCAAGCCAUACUAUCUUCGGAAAAUCGACCAUCAAACAAAGUCAUAUUGACGCCAUGAGGGGGAGAUAUUUUCGCGACGUGUCUAUUGUCAGGGUUGGAGGAGACAACACUGCCCCUACUCCUGAGGAAAAUGAAGUUGUUAUUUACCGAAGCUUCCUGAAGGCAGGCCUUCGGUUCCCACUGAGCAAAUUUGUGGUUGAGGUAUUGAAGAUAUUCCAGAUCUUUCUUCAUCAGAUUACCCCCGAAGCUAUAAUUAGGAUGGGGAUAUUUGUCUGGGCUGUAAGAAGCCAGGGGCUGGAGCCGAGCGCAAAGUGCUUCUGCAAUACACACGAGCUUUUAUACGAGACAAAGGCUACCGACAAAGAACAAUACCACAACAACUUCGGUUGUUACGGGUUCAUUGCCCGCUCUAAUGCAAGUUACCCGGUGCCGACGUAUCGGGAAAGGUGGCCCGGGGCCUAGAUGGAGGAGUGGUUUUAUGUUAAAAAUGAUCUGAUAAAAGGGAAGACAUCAAGGAAAUUGUUGGGGACUUGUUCUCAAAUGCUAUGAGUCAAGAACAAGUCAACACAAAAUGUUAAUGAUUAAAGACCUUCGUCCUCCGAAGCAUUAUCUCCCUUAGGAUAUAAUGAUCUUCAGACGAAGGUCAUGAAGGACAUACCUUCAUCAUCGCAGUAUAUAUUAAUGAAAGAAGAAGCAUAUGAAACAUGAGAGACAACAUGAAUAAUUAUACAACAUAUUUUAUAUAUCUUUAUUAAAUUAUCAUAAAUGAAUAUGAACAAUAUUGAAUUACAUUUGUACCUUCGGCUUGACAGAAGGCAAAAGUCCAAGCGUGACGCACGAAUGAAUACAAGUCAACGUGAACAGUACGGGGGUACUGUUCAUCUAUUUAUAGGCACAGAGCGCAGCCUGUGUAAAAUUACAUUCAUGCCAUUUGUGUUUAUUAUUGACGUAAGGACAAUCUAACGAGGACUAGAUAGCCUUUUCCCCUUUAAGUCGGUUCCUUUUCCUGCCGCUGAGCCGAAGCUACCUUGCGCGUAGCUUCGGAGCUGCGUCAUCCUUCGUCUCGACCAUGCUUUUCAUAUUGUGUACAUUUUCAUUCCGAGUCCGAAGGUACCUGUACAUAUAUUACACUUGGGAAACAUUGUUAAAUCAUGUUUUUGAGGACCUUCGGAAGACGAAGGCCCCCAACAGUAGCCCCUCGCAGUAUUAAUUUGUUAUAACAACGAAUUUAGAUUGCGACAUGAACGAAGGCCUUAAGCCGAAGGAAAAAACACCUUCCCUUUGCUAGAAUAGCAAUAGUCAAUGACAGAUGGGGUCCACCAAGUUGCAAAGCACUGGGCGUAUAAAUAUGAACCCACAUCGGCAACAUUUGAUACGCCAUUUCUACCAUUUGCAUUAUUUUCUCAAACUUUUUAGCUCUUGCUCACUAGCUCUCGCCUGAUUUUCAAGCUUUGGUUUUAAAGACGUGUUUUCACCAUGUCUGGGGAACAGAUGACUGAGGAAAAGAAGAUGACUGCAGAGAUGAAGCUAACUGAGGAGACGAAGUUGUUUGAAGAAAAGAAAGUUGCGGAUCCUUUUAUCGCCGGGUUUAUUGAGUCUAUGUCAAAAACAAACACAGAGAAAAUUACUAAAGAGAUACUGGAAGGUUUGUCUGAAGAUACUGAUGAUAGUGAUAGUUAUGAUGUGGAAAGUGGGGAUGAAGAUUCUGAAGAUCGGCCCUGGCGACCAAGCCAUGCUGUCUUCGGAAAAUCGACUAUUAAACAGAGUCAUUUUGACAAUAUGAGAGGAAGGUACUUUCGUGACAUGUCUAUCGUGAGAGCUGGCGGAGACAACAUCGUCCCUGCCCUGAGGAAAAUGAAGUUGUUAUCUACCGAAGCUUUUUUAAGGCUGGUCUUCGGUUCCCUUUGAGCAAGUUUGUGGUUGAAGUGCUGAAGAUAUACCAGACCUUCCUUCAUCAGAUCACCCCUGAAGCUAUAAUGAGGAUGGGGAUUUUUGUCUGGGAUGUAAGAAGUCAGGGGCUAGAGCCAAGCGCGAAGUGCUUCUGUAGUAUGCACGAGCUUUUAUAUGAGAUGAAGGCUACUGGCAAAGAACAGUACCACAACAACUUCGGUUGUUAUGGAUUUAUUGCUUGCCCCAACGCAAGCUACCCGGUGCCAACAUUCUGGAAGAGAUGGCCCGGAGCCUAGAUGGAGGAGUGGUUUUAUGUUAAAAAUGAUUUAAAGGCAAGGGAAGACAUCAAAGAAAUCAUCCAGCGCCCCAUCUAGUCUCGCUUCGGCCUCCAAAGGCCGAAGGUGGAAAUUGAUGACGCUGUUGAAGCAUGUCAGAGGGCUUUUAGCACUGUUUGUGCCUUUAUUGGCACAAGGGAUUUGAUUCAAGAGCAUAUAUCCUUCAGGGUAUGGCCACUUGUGGAAAGCUGGGAUAUGCCGAAGGAGACAACCACCAAUUCUAGUGAUGGUAGUCUGGUCCGACUGAAGUAUACCUUCACAUUUAGGGAGAAGUUUGAUAAGCCAAACGACGACUAGCUGAAGUGUAUUGAAGCUACUAGUGAUGAGCUACUUGAAGCUUACUCCAAGACCGAAGAUAAUGCUUUUUCCACAGCCUUCGGAGGCCGGGGGAAGAAAAUACUGAACAAGGUCUUUGAUGCGAUUGGCUUCAUGUACCCCGAUUAUCGCUUCCCGCUGCGAGGGCAAGGAAAAAAGAGGAAGGCUGCCGCUUCGGCCACUACAGUUGUGCCGAAGAGCAAAAAGGUGAAGGUUCUGACCCACCGGCCGCGUUAUAUUGAACCGGUGAGAGCACCUAGAGGGGGGGGGGUGAAUAGGUGAUCCUGUAAAAACUUAACUUAUAGCCACAAAAACUUGUUAGGGGUUAGCUCAAUAAUUGCCAAGUGGCUAAAGAGGAGAUCUUGCACAAUGCGACAAUCACAGAGAAUUCAACACAAAGGAGACACGGUGAUUUAUCCCGUGGUUCGGCCAAGUACAAAACUUGCCUACUCCACGUUGUGGCGUCCCAACGGACGAGGGUUGCAAUCAACCCCUCUCAAGCGGUCCAAAGACCCACUUGAAUACCACAGUGUUUUGCCUUGCUUAUCUUUAUCCCACUCGCGAGGAAUCUCCACAAAUUGGAGUCUCUCGCCCUUACACUUAAGAUUCACAGAGAAGCACGGAGUAAGGGAGGGAAGCAACACACACAAAUCCACAGCGAAACGCGCACACACACGGCCAAGAUUCGAGCUCAAAGACUAUCUCACAGUUUCUCACAAGAACAGAGCUCGAAUCACUUAGAAUCACGAACGGAUGCGCAAAGACUUAGUGUGGAUGAUCAAGAAUGCUCAAGAGUUGCUUGGUGUCUUCCUCCAUGCGCCUAGGGGUCCCUUUUAUAGCCCCAAGGCAGCUAGGAGCCGUUGAGAGCAAAUCUGGAAGGCCAUCUUCGCCUUCUGUCGUCGGGCGCACCGGAUAGUCCGGUGCACACCGGACCGUGUCCGGUGCCCGAUUCCUUUCCUUAAAUGGCGAAGCCGACCGUUGCAGAUGCGGGAGCCGUUGGCGCACCGGACAUGUCCGGUGCACACCGGACAGUCCGGUGCCCCCUUCCGACCGUUGGCUCGGCCACGUGUCCCGCGCUGAUCGCGCGGCCGACCGUUGGCCCUGGCCGACCGUUGGCUCACCGGACAGUCCGGUGCACACCGGACAGUCCGGUGAAUUUUAGCCGUACGCCGUCAGCAAAUUCCCGAGAGCGGCCUCUUCGGCCGAGGGAGCCUGGCGCACCGGACACUGUCCGGUGCACCACCAGACAGUCCGGUGCCCCAGACCGAAACAGCCCCUUGGCUGUACACAGCCAAGUCUUCUCUUCUCUUCUUCUUUCUGUUUCUAACACUUAGACAAAUAUAUUAGUACACAAAACCAAUGUACUAAGACUUAGAAACAUACCUUUGUUGAAGAUUUGCACUUUGUUCAUCCAUGGGCAUUGAUUCACAUUUAAGCACUUGUGUUGACACUCAAUCACCAAAAUACUUAGAAAUGGCCCAAGGGCACAUUUCCCUUUCAAUCUCCCCCUUUUUGGUGAUUUAUGCCAACACAACAUAAAGCAGAUAGAACAAGUGCAAAAUCACUUCAAAUAAAAACUCAAAUUGGUUUUGAUUCAUUUUUGGCAUAUAUGGAUCAUCCUUUGCCACCACUUGGUUUGUUUUUGCAAAUUAAACUCAAAUCUCUAUCUCUAAGUCAAACACACAUGUUGAAGCAUAAAGAGAGUCAUUCCAAAAGAGAUUGAUCAAAGAUUUCAAAAACUCCCCCUAUUUCCCAUAAUCAACACUUCUCCCCGCAAGAAGCCAACCUUUGACAAGAGAGACAAUAAGAGACAAUAAAAGAGUUUGACAAAACAAAAACUCUAUUCUACUAUUUUCAAAAUCUCUCAAGUGGUAGCUGAUCCAUUUAUCGCUUUGGCCUUUAUUUUCUCCCCCUUUGGCAUCAAGCACCAAAACAGGAUCAAUCUUGGCCUUUUAACCCCAUUGCCUCACCAAAGUCUUCAAUUAAGAGCAAAUGGCAAUAAGAUUUCAUGAGAUGAACUUGGAAUUAGUUACCCUCUCAUCGGAGUGCAGUGGAAGUCUUUCAUGGUCCAAGUCCACCUUUUCCCUUUCAAUCCUUCUUCGAGACUAAAUCAUCAAACUCAAGCACAUGGUUAGUCUCAAAGGGUCAAGUUGUAACACAUCUCCCCCUAAACAUGUGCAUCACUUUGCAACGGACUUGUAAGGUCCAGGGAGUGUUUGUACAACUUGAGCACCAUAAUAAGCAAUAAAAUGCAAAAAAGGAACAUGAUCAAAAGCAUAAAUACAUGUAUGCUACAAUUCAAUCCAGGUUCCGCGAAUCUAAGACAUUUAGCUCACUACGCAACCUGCAAAAGGUCUUCUCAUCUAGAGGCUUAGUGAAGAUAUCGGCUAGCUGGUUCUCGGUGCUAACAUGAAACACUUCGAUAUCUCCCUUUUGCUGGUGGUCUCUCAAAAAGUGAUGCCGGAUGUCUAUGUGCUUUGUGCGGCUGUGUUCAACAGGAUUUUCCGCCAUGCGGAUAGCACUCUCAUUAUCACAUAGGAGUGGGACUUUGCUCAGAUUGUAGCCAAAGUCCCGGAGGGUUUGCCUCAUCCAAAGUAGUUGCGCGCAACACUGUCCUGCGGCAACAUACUCGGCCUCAGCGGUGGAUAGGGCAACGGAGGUUUGUUUCUUAGAGUUCCACGACACCAGGGACCUUCCUAAGAAUUGGCACGUCCCUGAUGUACUCUUCCUAUCGACCUUACAUCCAGCAUAGUCGGAAUCUGAGUAUCCAACUAAGUCAAAGGUAGACCCCUUUGGAUACCAGAGCCCGAAGCAAGGCGUAGCAACUAAAUAUCUAAGAAUUCGCUUUACCGCCACUAAGUGACACUCCUUAGGAUCGGAUUGAAAUCUAGCACACAUGCAUACGCUAAGCAUAAUAUCCGGUCUACUAGCACAUAAGUAAAGCAAAGAACCUAUCAUUGACCGGUAUGCUUUUUGAUCAACGGACUUACCUCCUUUGUUGAGGUCGGUGUGUCCGUCGGUCCCCAUCGGAGUCUUUGCGGGCUUGGCGUCCUUCAUCCCAAACCGCUUUAGCAGAUCUUGCGUGUACUUUGUUUGGGAGAUGAAGGUGCCGUCCUUGAGUUGCUUCACUUGGAACCCAAGGAAGUAGUUCAACUCGCCCAUCAUCGACAUCUCGAAUUUCUGCGUCAUCACCCUGCUAAACUCUUCACAAGACUUUUGGUUAGUAGAACCAAAUAUUAUGUCAUCGACAUAAAUUUGGCACACAAACAAAUCACCAUCACAUGUCUUAGUGAAAAGAGUUGGAUCGGCUUUCCCAACCUUGAAAGCAUUAGCAAUUAAAAAGUCUCUAAGGCAUUCAUACCAUGCUCUUGGGGCUUGCUUAAGUCCAUAGAGCGCCUUAGAGAGCUUACACACGUGGUCGGGGUACCGUUCAUCCUCGAAGCCAGGGGGUUGCUCCACGUACACCUCCUCCUUGAUUGGCCCGUUGAGGAAAGCGCUCUUCACAUCCAUUUGGUACAACCUGAAAGAAUGGUGAGCGGCAUAUGCUAGCAAGAUACGAAUGGACUCUAGCCUAGCCACAGGAGCGAAAGUCUCCUCAAAGUCCAAACCUGCGACUUGGGCAUAACCUUUUGCCACAAGUCGAGCCUUGUUCCUCGUCACCACCCCGUGCUCGUCCUGUUUGUUGCGGAACACCCACUUGGUUCCCACAACAUUUUGCUUCGGACGAGGCACCAGUGUCCAAACUUCAUUGCGCUUGAAAUUGUUGAGUUCCUCUUGCAUGGCCAACACCCAGUCUGGAUCUAGCAAGGCCUCCUCUACCCUGAAAGGCUCAAUAGAAGAGACAAAGGAGUAAUGCUCACAAAAAUUAGCUAAUCGAGAUCGAGUAGUUACUCCCUUGCUAAUGUCACCCAGAAUUUGAUCGACGGGAUGAUCCCUUUGAAUCAUCGCUCGAACUUGGGUUGGAGGUGCCGGUUGCGCUUCUUCCUCCAUUACUUGAUCAUCUUGUGCUCCCCCUUGAUCAAGCGCCUCCACUUGAGGUACCUGUUCGUCAUCUUCGGUUGGGGGAUGCACCAUAGUUGAGGAAGAAGGUUGAUCUCGUUCAUAUUGUUCCUGUGGCCGUACUUCUCCAAUCGCCAUGGUCCGUAUAGCGGCCGUCGGAACAUCUUCUUCAUCUACAUCAUCACAAUCAACUUGCUCUCUUGGAGAGCCAUUAGUCUCAUCAAAUACAACGUCGCUAGAGACUUCAACCAAACCCGAUGAUUUGUUGAAGACUCUAUACGCCUUUGUAUUUGAGUCAUAACCUAACAAAAACCCUUCUACAGCUUUGGGAGCAAACUUAGAAUUUCUACCUUUCUUCACUAGAAUGUAGCACUUGCUCCCAAAUACACGAAAGUAAGAUACAUUGGGUUUGUUACCGGUUAGUAGCUCAUACGAAGUCUUCUUGAGGAGGCGAUGAAGGUAGACCCUGUUGAUGGCGUGGCAAGCCGUGUUCACGGCUUCCGACCAGAAACACUCGGGUGUCUUGAAUUCUCCAAGCAUUGUCCUUGCCAUAUCGAUUAGCGUCCUGUUCUUCCUCUCUACCACACCAUUUUGCUGUGGUGUGUAGGGAGCGGAGAACUCGUGCUUGAUCCCUUCCUCCUCAAGGAACUCCUCCACUUGAAGGUUCUUGAACUCGGACCCGUUGUCGCUCCUUAUCUUCUUCACUUUGAGCUCAAACUCAUUUUGAGCUCUCCUGAGGAAGCGCUUGAGGGUCCCUUGGGUUUCAGACUUAUCCUGCAAAAAGAAUACCCAAGUGAAGCGGGAAAAGUCAUCAACAAUAACUAAACCAUACUUACUCCCUCCUAUGCUCAGAUAGGCGACAGGUCCGAAGAGGUCCAUAUGCAGCAGCUCCAGGGGUCUUGAAGUGGUCAUCACGUUCUUGCUGUGAUGCGCUCCUCCCACUUGUUUACCUGCUUGACAAGCUGCACAAGGUCUAUCUUUUUCGAAAUGCACGUUAGUCAAACCUAUCACGUGUUCUCCCUUUAGAAGCUUGUGAAGGUUCUUCAUCCCCACAUGUGCUAAGCGGCGAUGCCACAGCCAGCCCAUGCUAGUCUUAGCUAUUAAGCAUGCAUCUAGACCGGCCUCUUCUUUUGCAAAAUCAACUAAAUAAAGUUUGCCGUCUAAUACACCCUUAAAAGCUAGUGAACCAUCACUUCUUCUAAAGACAGACACAUCUACAUUUGUAAAUAGACAGUUAUACCCCAUAUGACAUAAUUGACUAACAGAUAGCAAAUUAUAUCCAAGACUCUCUACUAAAAAUACAUUAGAGAUAGAAUGCUCAUUAGAAAUUGCAAUCUUACCUAACCCUUUUACCUUGCCUUGAUUCCCAUCACCGAAUAUAAUUGAAUCCUGGGAAUCCUUAUUCUUGACGUAGGAAGUGAACAUCUUCUUCUCCCCCGUCAUAUGGUUUGUGCAUCCGCUGUCGAUAAUCCAGCUUGAUCCCCCGGAUGCAUAAACCUGCAAGGCAAAUUUAGGCUUGGGACUUAGGUACCCAACUCUUGUUGGGUCCUACAAGGUUAGUGCAAAUUUCCUUAGGGACCCAAAUGCAAGUUUUGUCUCCCUUGCAUUUUGCCCCUAACUUCCUAGCAAUUACCUUCUCACCCUUUCUACAAAUAGCAAAGGGAGCAUUGCAAGCAUAAUAAAUGGUGGAAGGUUUGUUCACAACUUUUCUAGGAACAUGAGCAAAAUUUCUCCUAGGCAUAUGCACAUCAUUUCUCCUACACAUAUCUCUAUCAUGCUUAUAGGAAGAACUAGAAGCAAACAUGGCAUGAGAAUCAUAAACAUGUGAAUCAAAAUCAUUAUAAGCAUUUCUAGCAUGUCUCCUAUCAUGGUAUAAGAAAGCAUGGUUCCUUUUAGCACUACUAGCCAUAGGGGCCUUCCCUUUCUCCUUGACGAAGAUGGGAGCCUUAUGGCUUGUUAAGCUCUUAGCCUCUCUCUUGAAGCCAAGACCAUCCUUAAUUGAGGGGUGUCUACCCACCGUGUAGGCAUCCCUUGCAAAUUUUAUUUUAUCAACUUCACUCUUGCUAGUCUUAAGUUGAGCAUUAAGACUAGCCACUUCAUCAUUUAGUUUUGAAAUUGAAACUAAGUGUUCACUACAAGCAUUAACAUCAAAAUCCUUACACCUAGUGCAAAUUGUAAUAUUUUCAACACACGAGUUACUUGCUACUUCUAGUUUAGCAGUUAAAACAUUAAUUUCACCUUUUAAAGAAGAAAUGGUUUCAUUACAAGUAGAAAGUUCACAAGAAAGUAUCCCAUUUCUUUUAACUUCUAGAGCAAGUGAAUUUUGUGCACUAACAAAUUUAUCAUGUUCUUCAUAUAGAAGGUCUUCUUGUUUCUCUAAGAUUCUAUCCUUUUCAUUUAAGGCAUCAAUCAACUCAUUAAUCUUAGCUAUCUUAGUUCUAUCCAAUCCCUUGAAUAAACUAGAGUAAUCAAUUUCAUCCUCACUAGAUUCAUCAUCACUAGAAGAAUCAUAAGUAUCAGUAUUACGAGUGAUUACCUUCUUUUCCCUUGCCAUAAGGCAAGUGUGAUGCUCGUUGGGGAAGAGAGCCGAUUUGUUGAAGGCAGUGGCGGCGAGUCCUUCGUCGUCGGAGUCGGACGAAGAGCAAUCCGAAUCCCACUCCUUUCCAAGGUGUGCUUCGCCUUUGGCCUUCUUGUAAACCUUCUUGUUCUCUCUCUUCCCAUUUUUCCCUUGCUCCUGGUCACUAUCAUUUUCGGGACAGUUAGCAAUAAAAUGACCAAGCUUACCGCAUUUGAAGCAUGAUCGCUUUCCCUUGGUCUUGGCCUUGCUUGGCUGUCCCUUUCGACCUUUUAGCGCCGUCUUGAAUCUCUUGAUGAUGAGAGCCAUCUCUUCAUCAUUGAGCCCGGCCGCCUCAACUUGCGCCACCUUGCUAGGUAGCGACUCCUUGCUCCUCGUUGCCUUUAGAGCAAUGGGUUGAGGCUCGUGGAGUGGACCGUUCAACGCGUCGUCGACGUAUCUUGCCUCCUUGAUCACCAUCCGCCCGCUCACGAAUUUUCCAAGUACUUCCUCGGGCGUCAUCAUCGUGUACCUGGGAUUCUCACGAAUAUUGUUCACGAGAUGAGGAUCAAGAACGGUAAAGGACCUGAGCAUUAGGCGGACGACGUCGUGAUCCGUCCAACGCGUGCUUCCGUAGCUCCUUAUUUUGUUGAUAAGGGUCUUGAGCCGGUUGUAAGUUUGAGUUGGCUCCUCUCCCCUUAUCAUGGCGAAUCGUCCAAGCUCGCCCUCCACCAACUCCAUCUUGGUGAGCAUGGUGAUGUCGUUCCCCUCGUGAGAGAUCUUGAGGGUGUCCCAUAUCUGCUUGGCAUUGUCCAAGCCGCUCACCUUAUUGUACUCUUCCCUGCACAAAGAUGCUAGGAGAACAGUAGUAGCUUGUGCAUUUCUAUGAAUUUGUUCAUUUAUAAGCAUAGGGCUAUCUGAGCUAUCAAAUUUCAUUCCAUUCUCCACAAUCUCCCAUAUGCUUGGAUGGAGAGAGAAUAAGUGACUACGCAUUUUGUGACUCCAAAAUCCGUAGUCCUCCCCAUCGAAGUGUGGAGGUUUGCCAAGAGGAAUGGAAAGCAAAUGCGAAUUCGAACUAUGUUGAAUACGAGAAUAAUCAAAUGAAAAGUUCGAAUUGACCGUCUUUUUGUAGUCGUUGUCAUCAUCCUUUUGGGAAGAAGUAGACUCAUCACUAUCGUCGUAGUAGAUGAUCUCCUUGAUGCGCCUUGUCUUCUUCUUCUUCCCUUCCUUCCGUCUAUGCCCCGAGCCAGAGUCGGUAGGCUUGUCGUCCUUCGGCUCGUUGACGAAGGAUUCCUUCUCUUUGUCGUUGAUCACGAUUCCCUUCCCCUUAGGAUCCAUCUCUUCGGGCGGUAAGUCCCUUUGUGAAGAGAACGACUCUGAUACCAAUUGAGAGCACCUAGAGGGGGGGGUGAAUAGGUGAUCCUGUAAAAACUUAACUUAUAGCCACAAAAACUUGUUAGGGGUUAGCUCAAUAAUUGCCAAGUGGCUAAAGAGGAGAUCUUGCACAACGCGACAAUCACAGAGAAUUCAACACAGAGGAGACACGGUGAUUUAUCCCGUGGUUCGGCCAAGUACAAAACUUGCCUACUCCACGUUGUGGCGUCCCAACGGACGAGGGUUGCAAUCAACCCCUCUCAAGCGGUCCAAAGACCCACUUGAAUACCACAGUGUUUUGCCUUGCUUAUCUUUAUCCCACUCGCGAGGAAUCUCCACAAAUUGGAGUCUCUCGCCCUUACACUUAAGAUUCACAGAGAAGCACGGAGUAAGGGAGGGAAGCAACACACACAAAUCCACAGCGAAACGCGCACACACACGGCCAAGAUUCGAGCUCAAAGACUAUCUCACAGUUUCUCACAAGAACAGAGCUCGAAUCACUUAGAAUCACGAACGGAUGCGCAAAGACUUAGUGUGGAUGAUCAAGAAUGCUCAAGAGUUGCUUGGUGUCUUCCUCCAUGCGCCUAGGGGUCCCUUUUAUAGCCCCAAGGCAGCUAGGAGCCGUUGAGAGCAAAUCUGGAAGGCCAUCUUUGCCUUCUGUCGUCGGGCGCACCGGACAGUCCGGUGCACACCGGACCGUGUCCGGUGCCCGAUUCCUUUCCUUAAAUGGCGAAGCCGACCGUUGCAGAUGCGGGAGCCGUUGGCGCACCGGACAUGUCCGGUGCACACCGGACAGUCCGGUGCCCCCUUCCGACCGUUGGCUCGGCCACGUGUCCCGCGCUGAUCGCGCGGCCGACCGUUGGCCCUGGCCGACCGUUGGCUCACCGGACAGUCCGGUGCACACCGGACAGUCCGGUGAAUUUUAGCCGUACGCCGUCAGCAAAUUCCCGAGAGCGGCCUCUUCGGCCGAGGGAGCCUGGCGCACCGGACACUGUCCGGUGCACCACCGGACAGUCCGGUGCCCCAGACCGAAACAGCCCCUUGGCUGUACACAGCCAAGUCUUCUCUUCUCUUCUUCUUUCUGUUUCUAACACUUAGACAAAUAUAUUAGUACACAAAACCAAUGUACUAAGACUUAGAAACAUACCUUUGUUGAAGAUUUGCACUUUGUUCAUCCAUGGGCAUUGAUUCACAUUUAAGCACUUGUGUUGACACUCAAUCACCAAAAUACUUAGAAAUGGCCCAAGGGCACAUUUCCCUUUCAACCGGCCGUGGUGCCUGAAUUUGCCGAAGGAGCCUCUUCAACUGCUGAAGCAAGACGAGCUGCUUCAAUUGCAUAGAGCGUUGAAGAGCCAACUGUAGUGCCGAAGAUGCCUACAGUCGGGCCAGCCGAAUCUAAAGAUGAUAAGGCCGAAGAGCCACAAGUGAAAAAGUGAUAAAAAUGCCAGAAAUCCUGAGCUCUCCAACAGAGGUAAAACUGCCUAAGGUGCAAAAGGCUUCUGCCGUGACUCCCAAGAGAAGGAGGAUGGCCAACGUGCUGGAUGCUGUGCUAGAGACUACAAAGGCCUUGAGCCCUGCUCCUACAAAGAAAAUUGCUAAAGCUGCCAAAGCGCAAGCCGAAGCCGAAACUGGGCAAGCAGAAGCCGAAGCUACGAAAACUCAGGCUGAAGCCGAAGCUGGGCCUUCAGCGCUCGUCGCGGCGAAGCCUGCCGCGCCUCAGGAAAAAACGGCAGAGCAAAUUGGACCUGAAAAGAUUGAGACUCCUGCUCCCGAAGCUCCGAUCGAAAAUGUUGACUACAUCAUUCGACACGCUUCAGGGAAGAAAUUGUCCGAAGAAGAAAUACUGGAAGCCAGACACUAUGCGUGAAAGUUGAAAUAUCCGAAGGGAGCUUUAGUGUUUAACGGCACUAACGAUGAUGGCUUCUUAUAUUGUCUCCCGGACAACAAAGAAAUAUCCGUUUGCCGGGAGAUAGGUAAGAGCAUGGGAUUUCCAAAGCUGGAAGAUGGCCUUUCGAUUUUGUCGAAGGAUGAUCUUGCUGACAGCCUAGCAUACAACAGGAUAAAGGUAUAGAAGUUAACUUUGAAUUUGAGAAUGAAGUAUUUUAUUUGUCAUGCUCAAUUCUUUCCUCCUCUUUGCAGAGCUUAAUUCUUAGUAAUGCCCUUAGGGCGCAGAAGAAUAUUGAAGACGAAAGCUAUACAAUGGCUCUUAAUAACCUUCGUUUAGAGGUGAUUGAAUUGAGAAAUGAAGGUCUGGAAAAGGACAAAAUCUUAAUUUCAUUGGUGACAAAGUAAAGGAAGACGAAGCUAAUUUCAAAGCUCAGGCUGAAGCCCAGAAAACUGAAAUUGAAGACCUUCAGAGACAACUGGCCGAAGCUAAGGAAAACUGCGCACUCGCACAGGUUAAUCAAGAAAUCAACGAAUAUUGGAAAAAUUAUCUAGAGAAAAAUCUUAAGGAACUUCGUGAAUCCAAGGAAUGGUGCUUCGAGAAAUCCUUGGAUUGCGUGAGAAAAUUAAAAACUAGCAUCGCCAAAGUGGGUGCCUACUCUGCUGAAGAAAACUUCAUACGAGGCGACCCCGAAGGCGUUAUUGAAUGGAUAAGUGGAGAAGCCGAAGCCUUCAAAGAAAUUUUGAGUGAUCGCGAUGAUGUUUGUGCGUUUUUCGGUGCGCGGGGGAUUUCAGCCAUCUUGGAGAAGGCCGGGUGUGAUCACGUGAAGACCAUGGCCCAGGCCGAAGCUGUCUUCUCCGUAGAUGAUACAAAGGAUCCUUCAGCCGAAGCAACUUUAAUAGGCGGAAAAUUUUAUAACGAUGUCUGGGUGAACGGUGGCCGGGAGCUAGCCCACGAAAUUAUUAAAAAGAGCAAAAAAGACACCCACAACGCCAGAGCAGAAGCAAAGCAAGCUGAAGAAGCUACAGAACGCGAAAUGCGUAUAGGUAUUAUUUUUUGGCUUUUUAGCUUCGGUACUUGUUUUGUGGCUUCAAACUAAUCAAUUUUUCCUACUUCAGCUGAACUACCUCCGCCGCCAGAACCGUACGAUCCCCUAGCUGAUCUAGAAAUGAAGGAAGCGCUGGACAUCAUAAACAUAACUGAAACCAUUAUCGACGAAGUCGUCAACAAAUUACUGAACGAAGUUGCAGAGAAAGUCCUUAAAGAGGAAUAAGUUUUAUUGUAAUGAUAGCUGGAAUGUAUGGAACAAUUUAAGUAAGAUUAAGUUUCUAUUGUAACAAAACUAUGUGACAUUUAAUGUAUGUAACAUUGAGUGGAAUAUGUAAAUUAUUGUAAUUUAAUUUCUUUGCGAUGCAUGAAAUAUGUACACAUACUGUUUUUGAGCUUUCGGCGAAAAAACACCUUCCCUUCUUUUUAUGCUUUGUAAAGAAAGAGAUCCCUUCUUAUGAUAAGGCUGUCAAAACUGUAUUUCCCGAAGCUCACUUCGUGCCUUAGCACAUUUUCAAUUUGACGAAGCAUUUGACGAAGGUCGGCUUCGUAUUCGAUUCUUGUGCCGUUAAUGCAAUAUGAUGUAUGAUGUAAUGUUGUGCAAAAUGAUGUGAUGGUAAGAUGCAAAAUGAUGAGGAUGCCGAAGCCACACACCCACUCGCCCACACUAGAACACACAAGCUCUGCAUCCCCUUAGGAACGACUUUUGAGCUUCUUCACCUUCUAUUUCGGUGAUAUAAGUUCUGCAUCCCCUUAGGAACGUCUUUUGAACUUCUUCGCCUUCUAUUUCGGCGGUAUAAGUUCUGCAUUCCCUUAGGAACGACUUUUGAACUUCUUCACCUUAUAUUUCUGUGGUAUUUGGCUCUGCAUUCCCUUUGGAACGACUUUUGAGCAGAAAACUUACGCUGAGCUCCCUUAGGAACGACUUUUGUAGUUUCGGCAAUUUGGGCUCUGCAUUCCCUUAGGAACGACUUUUAAGCACAAAACUUACGUUGCGCUCCCUUAGGAACGACUUUUUGUAGCUUCGGCAAUUUGGGCUCUGCAUUCCCUUAGGAAUGACUUUUGAGCACAAAACUUACGCUGCGCUCCCUCAGGAACGACUUUUUAUAGCUUCGGCAAUUUGGGCUCUGCAUUCCCUUAGGAACGACUUUUUAGCUUCGUAAAUCUGUGAAGAAGAUAUAUUUCAUUCUGAUAGAAGCAAAAUCAUUACAACAAAUUAAAACUAAGUUUUCAUUGUUUGUUCUUUAUUCAAAAAGCGAAAUAGCCUAGAAAAUAAAAGUAUUUGAGAAGCAGGAUAUUGCUCAGUAUAUGUGCUUUGAUUCUGGCACAGUACUAUUGACUGUAUGAGCUUUGGACUCCUCCCUGAAGGCACGUUGUUGUUGGGAGUGUUGGCACCCUUCUGGCUGUUGGCUUCGGGAAUAAGUAGGUUGCAGUGGUGGUGGUAGUGGGAGCUGAGGCCAAGAAGCUUGUGAAUGGCUUACCGAAGCAACAGAAGCUGCAGGUUGGUUGCCCACAUAUUCUGGUAUGUAAGGAGAGUGGCACGAAGCAGUAUGUAAAACCUGCUUCAGCAAUCUCUUUUUGCUUCAGAAUAGUGAUCUGGCACGUUCUUGUAGUAUGACCCUUGUCGUCACCACAGAAUAAGCAAUAGAUUUUCCUGGGCUAAUCACAAUAUCUUCCUCCGAAGCCCCUACCGCCUCUGCCCCUUGGAGAUGAUGGCCUGAAGGAGCUUUGCUGCUGUCCCGAAGAUUGUGAGGUGUGCUGUGGCCUCUGAAACUGGAUUCCUUUGUCAUCAUUCUGACUGGAGCUAUGGAUUGAUCUGACAUGCCUAGGAUGGAUUCUCCCUCCAAAACCCCUAGUCAUCUCAGAAAAUCUAUAAGCUUCCUCCCUUCUUUGUCGGAAGUCGUUAUCAGCUCGGAUGUACUCAUCCAUUUUCUGAAGCAGCUUCCCUAGAGUCUGGGGGGGUUCCUGGCGAAGUAUUGGGCUGUAGGUCCUGGCCGAAGACCCUUGAUCAUGGCCUCAAUGACGAUUUCAUUGGGCACUGUAGGCGCUUGUGCUCUAUCGCAAGAACCUUCGGACAUACGCCUGGAGGUAUUCCUCAUGGUCUUGUGUGCACUGGAACAAGGCCUGAGCUAUGACUGGCUUCGUCUAAAAGCCUUGAAAACUGGUAACCAGCAUGUCCUUGAGCUUCUGCCAUGACGUGAUUGUCCCUGGCCGGAGAGAAGAGUACCAUGUCUGGGCCACAUUUCGGACUGCCAUGACAAAGGACUUUGCCAUGACAGCUGUGUUGCCUCCAUAUGAGGAUAUUGUUGCCUCAUAGCUCAUCAAGAAUUGUUUUGGGUCUGAGUGCCCAUCGUACAUGGGUAGGUGAGGUGGCUUGUAGGAUUGUGGCCAUGUGAUAGCCUGCAAUUAUGCCGCCAGAGGAGAAGCAUCAUCAAAAGUAAAGCUACCAUGAUUAAAAUCAUCGUACCAUUCUUCUUUGUUGAAUGAGCCCUCUUGACGAAGCUCUUUGUGUUGGGGCCUUUGGUCACGAUCAUCUUGAGUAAGAUGAAGCACUUUCUCAGUAGCUUCGUCGAGCUUCUUCUGAAGGUCGGCUAGCCGAGCCAUUUUCUCCUUUUUCCUUUGCACCUGCUGGUGAAUGAUUUCUAGGUCCCUGAUCUCCUGGUCCAACUCCUCCUCCUGAAGUGUUGGACUGGUGGCCUUUCUCUUUUGGCUUCUGGCCUCUUGAAGAGAGAGAGAGUCUCCUGAUUUGUGUCCAGUGGCUGCAGUGCAGCCCCUGGUGCUAUUAUCUUCUUCAGCGGCAUGACGAAGGUUGAUGCUUUACCGAAGAGUGUGGGAGUGAGUACACCGGAGGUGGGCGCCAAUGUUGGGGACUUGUUCUCAAAUGCUAUGAGUCAAGAACAAGGCAACACAAAAUGUUAAUGAUUAAAGCCCUUCGUCCUCCGAAGCAUUAUCUCCCUUAGGAUAUAAUGAUCUUCAGACGAAGGUCAUGAAGGACGAACCUUCAUCGUCGCAAUAUAUAUUAAUGAAAGAAGAAACAUAUGAAACAUGAGAGACAACAUGAAUAAUUAUACAACAUCUUUUAUAUAUCUUUAUUAAAUUAUCAUAAAUGAAUAUGAACAAUAUUGAAUUACAUUUGUACCUUCGGCUUGACAGAAGGCAAAAGUCCAAGCGUGACGCACGAAUGAAUACAAGUCAGCGUGAACAGUACGAGGGUACUGUUCAUCUAUUUAUAGGCACAGAGCGCAGCCUGUGUAAAAUUACAUUCAUGCCCUUUGUGUUUAUUAUUGACGUAAGGACAAGCUAACGAGGACUAGAUAGCCUUUUCCCCUUUAAGUCGGUUCUUUUUCCUGCCGCUGAGCCGAAGCUGCCUUGCUCGUAGCUUCAGAGCUGCGUCAUCCUUCAUCUCGACCAAGCUUUUCAUAUUGUGUACAAUUUCAUUCUGAGUCCGAAGGUACCUGUACAUAUAUUACACUUGGGAAACAUUGUUAAAUCAUGUUUUUGAGGACCUUCGGAAGACGAAGGCCCCCAAUAGAAAUUAUCCAGCGCCCCAUCUGGUCUCGCUUUGGCCUUCGAAGGCCGAAGGUGGCUAUUGAAAGUGACAUCGAAGCAUGCCAGAAGGCAUUUAGCAAUGUUUGCACCUUCAUUGGUACAAGAGAUAUAGUCCAAGAGCACAUAGCCUAUAGGGUGUGGCCACUUGUGGAGAGCUAGGAUAUGCCGAAGGAGACUACUGCUGAAUCCAGUGAAAAUGGCUUAGUUCGAUUGAAGUAUACCUUCAGAUUUAGGGAGAAGUUUUAUGAACCAAAUGAUGACUGGUUGAAAUGCAUUGAAGCUACCAGCGACGAGCUACUCGGGACAUAUUUCCAAGGCCGAAGAUGAUGCCUUGUCCGCAGCCUUCGGGGGCCGGGGGAAGAAAAGAUUGAAUAGGGUAUUCGAUGCAGUUGGCUUCGUAUACCCUGAUUAUCACUACUCGCUGCAAAGGCAAGGGAAGAAGAGAAAAACUGUUGCUUCGGCUACCACUGUUGUGCCGAAGGGCAAGAAAAUGAAGGUUCUGACCCACCGGCCAUGAUAUAUUGAACCGAGCGUAGUGCCUAAAUUUGUCAAAGGGACCUCUUCAACUGCCGAAGCAAAACAAGCUGCUUCCAUGGUGCAGAGCGUUGAAGAGUCUAUUGUAAUGCCGAAGGUGCCUACAGUCAGGCCAGCCGAAGCUAAAGAUGAUACGGUCGAAGAGCCAAAGGUGGAAGAAACAGUAAAAAUGCUAGAAAUUCUGAGCCCACCGGUAGAGGCAAAUUCGUCGAAGAUGCAAAAAGGUCCUACCACAACUCCCAAGAGGAGGAGGAUGGCCAGCGUGCUAGAUGCUGUUAUGGAGACCACAAAGGCCUUGACCCCUGCUCCUAUUAAGAAAGUUGCCGAAGUUGCUAAGGUCCAGGCCGAAGCCGAAGCUGGGCCUGCAGUGCUCAUUGAGACGAAGGCUGUCGCGCCUGACGACAAAGGUGAUCAACAAACUUCAGAUACCGACAUGGCAGCAGGGCAAGGUAUGGCAGAAAAAGCAAAGUCCCCUACCCCCGAAGCUUCAGUCGAAGAUAUUGAUUACAUUUUUCGACAUGCUUCGGGGAAAAAAUUAUCCGAAGAAGAAAUCAUGGGAGCCCGACACUAUGCCCAAAAACUAAAAUAUCCGAAAGGGGCCUUAGUGUUUAAUGGCACUAACGAAGAUGAUUUCCUCUAUCUCCCAGACAACAAAGAAAUAUCUGUUUGCCGGGAGAUAGCUAAAAGUAUGGGAUUUCGAAGCUUGAGGAAGGGCUUUCGGUUAUGUCGAAGGAUGAUCUUGCUGAUAGCCUCGCGUACAACAGUAUAAAGGUAUAGAAGUUAACUUUGAAGUUGGAAACAAAGUAUUUUAUUGUCAUGCUUAAUUCUUUCUUCUUCUUUGCAGGGCUUGAUUCUUAGUAAUGCCUUGAGGACACAAAAGAGCGCCGAAGACGAAGGCUGUACAAUAGCUCUCAGCAACCUUCUCUUAGAGGUGAUUGAACAGAGAAAUGAAGGUCUAGAGAAAGACAAAAUUUUGAUUUUAUUGCUGAGUAAAAUAAAAGAAGACAAAGCUAAGUACAAUGCUCAGGCCGAAGCCCAAAAAGCCAAGGUUGAAGACCUUCGGAGACAGCUAACCGAAGCUAAUGAGAAAUGCGCGCUCGCACAGGCUAACCAAGAGAUUAGUGAAUAUUGGAAGAAUAAGCUAGAGAAAAAUGUUGAAGAACUUCGCGAAUCUAAGGAAAAGUGUUUUGAAAAAUCUUUGGAUUGUGUGAAGAAAUUAGAAACUAGCUUCUCCAAAGUGGUGCCUACUCUUCUGAAGAAAAUUUUAUCCGAGGCGACCUCGAGGGCGUUAUUGAAUGGAUAGGUGGAGAAGCCGAAGCUUUUGAGGAAAUCUUGAAUGAUCGUGGGGGGGUAUUUGUGCUUUUUCCGACACUCGGGGAAUCACAGCUAUUCUGGAGAAGGCCGGAUGUGAUCACGUUAAGGCUAUAGCCUAGGCCGAAGCUGCCUUCUCCAUAGACGACACGAAUGAUCCUUCAGCUGAAGCACCUUUAGUGGACGGGAAAUUUUAUUCUGAUGGCUGGGUGAAUGGUGGCCGAGAGCUGGGCAACGGAAUUAUAAAAAAGAAUGAAAAAGACACCCACGACGCCCAGGAAGAAGCAAAGCGAGCUGAAGAGGCUGCUGAAUGUGAAAAGCGCAUAGGUAUUGUUUUUGAUUUUUUGGCUUUAGUACUUGCUUUGUGGCUUCGAACUAACAGUUUACCUACUACAUCUGAACUAUCCCCGCCACCGGAGCCGUACAAUCCCCUAGCUGAUCCAGAGAUGAAGGAAGCACUGUAUAUUAUAAGCAUGGCGAACUCCAUUAUCGACGAAGUCGUCGAUAAACUAUUGAAUGAAGUCGCAGAGAAAGUCCUUAGAGAAGAAUAUAUUUUAUUGUAAUAAUAUUUUGAAAUGCUUGAUGUAUGGAACAAUUGAAGGAAGAUUAGGUGUCUAUUGUAACAAAACUAUGUAACAUUUGAUGUAUGUAACAUUGAAUCGAAUAUGUAAACUGUUGUAAUUUAUUUCUUUGCGAUGUAUGAAACAUACACACAUACCGCUUUUUGAGCCUUCGGCAAAAAACACCUUCCCUACUUUUCAUGCUUUGCAAAGAAGAAAGCCCCUUCUAGGGCAGAUCUGAUAGAAUUGUCACCCGAAGUUUGCUGCGUGCCUUAGCACAUUUUCAUUCAAUCGAAGUAUUUCCAAAGAUUUGCUUCGUAUUCAAUCUUUCUGUUGAUGCGAUAUGAUGUAUGAUGUGAUACUAUGCUAAAUGAUGCGAUGAUAUGAUGCAAUAUGACGAUGCUUUAACACCCACACAUACGCACACACUGGUACACGGAAGACUCUGCAUCCCCUUAGGAACGUCUUUUGAGUCUAAGCUCUACAUCCCCUUAGGAAUGACUUUUGAGAUUCUUCACCUUCUAUUUCGGUGGUAUAAGUUCUGCAUCCCCUCAGGAAUGACUUUUGAACUUCUUCGCCUUAUAUUUCGGUGGUAUUUGGCUCUGCAUUCCCUUUGGAACGACUUUUGAGCAGAAAACUUACACUGCGCUCCCUUAGGAACGACUUUUUGUAGCUUCGUCAAUUUUGGCUCUGCAUUCCCUUAGGAACGACUUUUGAGCAGAAAACUUACGCUGCGCUCCCUUAGGAACGGCUUUUGUAACUUCGUCAAUUUUUGCUCUGCGUCCCUUAGGAAAGACUUUUGAGCUUCGGAAAUUUACUCCACUUUCUUAGACAUGUCUUUUGAGCUUCGAAAACCCGUGAAGAAGAUAUAUUUCACUCUGGUGCAAGCAUGAUUAUUACAAAAAUUGAAAUUAAGCUCUUCAUUAUUUGUUUCUUACACAGAAAAUAAAAUGACAUAAAAGAUAAAAGUGCUUCAAACGUAGGAUAUUCCUCAGUAUAUGUGCUUCGAAUCUGGUACAGUGUUGUUGACUGUACGAGCUUCGGACUCCUCCCUGAAGUCACGUUGCUGUUGGGGAUGCUGGCGCCCUUCUGGCUGCUGGCUUUGGGUAUGAGUAGGUGGCAAUGGUGGUGGCAGUGGGAGCUGAGGCCAGGAUGCUUGUGAAUGGCUUGCCGAAGCGACAAAAGCUGCAGGUUGAUUGCCCACAUAUUCUGGUAUGUAGGGAGAGUAGCACGAAGCAGUAUGUAAAACCCGCUUCGGCUGAUUCUGUCGGGCUUCUGCUUCGGCAAUCUCUUUCUGCUUCUAAAUGGUAGCCUGGCAUGUUCUUGUUGUGUGGCCCUUGUCUUCACCAUAGAAUAAGCAAUAGAUUUUCCUGGGCUGAUCCCCAUAUCUUCCUCCGAAGCCCCUGCCGCCUCUGCCCCUUGGAGCUGGUGGCCUGAAGGAGCUUUGCUGCUGUCCUGAAGACUGUGAGCUGUGCUGUGGCCUCUGAAACUGGCUUCCUCUAUCAUCACUUUGACUGAAGUUGUGGAUUGAUCUGACAUGCCUAGGGUGGAUUCGUCCUCUGAAGCCCCUAGUCAUCUCAGAAAACCUAUAAGCUUCUUCCCUUCUCUGGCGAAAAUCAUUAUCGCCUCGAAUGUACUCAUCCAUCUUCUGAAGUAGCUUCUCCAGGGUCUAAGGGGUUUCCUGGCAAAAUAUUGAGCUAUAGGUCUUGGCCGAAGCCCUUUGAUCAUGGCAUCAAUGAUGAUUUCAUUGGGCACUGUGAGCGCUUGUGCUCUCAGACGCACUGGAAUAAAGCUUGAGCAGUAACCGGAAUAAAGCUUGAGCAGUAACCGGCUUCGUCUGAAACCCUUGGAAACUGGUGAUCAGCAUGUCCUUCAGCUUCUGCCAUGAUGUGAUUGUUCUUGGCCGAAGAGAGGAGUACCAGGUUUGCGCAACGUUCUUGACUGCCAUGACGAAGGAUUUCGUCAUGACUGCAGUAUUGCCCCCAUAUGAAGAUAUGGUUGCUUCGUAGCUCAUCAGAAACUGCUUCGGAUCAGAGUGCUCAUCAUACAUGGGAAGCUAGGGUGGUUUGUAUGAUGGAGGCCAUGGUGUAGCCUGUAGUUCUGCUGACAAAGGAGAAGCAUCAUGAAAAGCAAAAUUUCCAUGGUGGAAAUCAUUAUACCACUCGUCAUCAUCAUAGGAAUUGUCCUGGCGAAGCUCCCUACGUUGAGGUCGUCGGUCCUGGUCAUCUUGGGUGAGAUGACGCAUCUCCUCAGCGGCCUCGUCGAUCUUCUUCUGAAGAUCAGCAAGAUGAAGCAUCUUAUCCUUCUUCCUUUAGACCUACUGAUUGAUUACUUCGAGGUCCCUAAUUUCUUGGUCCAGCUCCUCCUCCUGAGGCGUUGGACUUGUAGCCUUCCUCUUUUGAUUUCUGGCUUCAUGCAAUGUUUCGUGAUUGACGUCCAGUGGUUGCAGUGCAGCCCCUAGCCCUGAAGCUUUCUUUGGCGGCAUGAUGAAGGUCACAGCGUGCCGAAGGUGGUCAAAUGAGUUCACCGAAGGUGGGCGCCAAUGUUGGUCACUUGUUCUCAAAUGCUAAGAGUUAAGAACAUGGCAACACAAAAUGUUAACGGUUAAAUACCUUCGUCCUUCGAAGCAUUAUCUCCUUUAGGAUAUAAUGAUCUUUAGAUGAAGGUUAUGAAGGACGUACCUUCAUAAUCUCAAUAUAUAGUAAUGAAAGUAUAAGUAUAUGAAAUAUGGAAAACAACAUGAAUAAUCAUAUGACAUAAUCAGAACAUUUUUAUUAUCUCCUCAUGAAUAAACAUGAACAAUAUCGAGUUACAUUUGUACCUUCGGUUUGACAGAAGGCAAAAAUCCAAGUGUGACGUGCGAGUGAAUACAAGUCAGCGUGAACAGUACGGUGUUACUGUUCAUCUAUUUAUAGGCACAUGAUGCAGCCUAUGUAAAAUUACAUCCAUGCCCUUUAUGUUUACUAUUGACUUAACGACAAUCUACUGAGGACUAGAUAGCCUUUUCCUCUUUAAGUCGGUUUCAUUUUCCGCCGCUGAGCCGAAGCUUUUCUACGCGUAGCUUCAGAGCUGGUUCAACCUUCUUCCAGACCAUGCUUUUCAUAUGGUAUACAACUUCAUUCCGAGGCCGAAGGUCCCUGUAAAUGUAUUAUACUUGGAAAACAUGUUAAUUGUGUUUUUGAGGACCUUCGGAAGGCGAAGGCCCCCAACAGCUCCCAAUCUCAACAAAGAGAAAGGGAAGGCUCCCAUGGCUGGUAGCUCUCAAAAGAAUCAUGCCUAUCUUUAUGAUAAGAAAGUUACGAGUAAUACUCAUCAUGAUAGGCGCCAUAAUCAUGUUGUUUAUCCUAUAUGUCAUGAUGCUGCAUUUAAUUCUCACGCCAUGUUUGCAUCUAGCUCUUCAUAUGCUCAUGGUAGAAAUAGGCCUAGGCGCCAUUAUGCUGCUUCUCAUGCGCCUAGGAGAGCAUCAACUGGACCGACUAUGCUUUAUCAAACAUGUAAUGCUUCAUUUGUUCUUACAUGCAAAAAUGAUAAAGUAGUUGCUAGAAGUGUGGGACCUAAGUGCAAGAGAGACAAAACUUGCAUCUGGGUUCCAAAGUCUGUUGUGACUAACCUUGUAGGACCCAACAAGAGUUGGGUACCUAAAACCCAAGCUUAAUUACCUUGCAGGUUUAUGCAUUCGAGGGCUCAAGCUGGAUUAUUGAUAGCGGAUGCACAAACCACAUGACGGGGGAGAAUAAAAUGUUUACCUCCUACGUCAAGAAUAGGGAUUCCCAAGACACUAUCAUCUUUGGAGAUGGGAACCAAGGCAAGGUUAAGGGCCUAGGCAAAAUAUCCAUCACAACCGAGCAUUCAAUUUCAAAUGUGUUUCUAUUAAAAUCGCUCGGGUACAAUUUAUUGUCUGUAAGCCAAUUAUGUCAUAUGAGUUAUAAUUGCUUAUUUACAAAUAUUGAUGUAUCUGUCUUUAGAAGAAGUGAUGGUUCAUUAGCUUUUAAGGGUGUAUUAGAUGACAAGCUCUAUUUAGUUGUUUUCUCAAAAGAGAAUGCCGAUAUAGAUGCAUGCUUAAUCGCUAAGACUAAUAUGGGCUGGCUUUGGCAUCGCCGUCUAGCACAUGUUGGGAUGAAGAAUCUUCAUAAACUUCUAAAGGGAGAACAUGUGUUAGGACUAACCGACGUCUGUUUUGAGGAAGACAGACCUUGUGCAGCGUGCCAAGCAGGGAAGCAGGUGGGAAGUACUCAUCAAAGCAAGAACGCGAUGACAACAUCAAGACCACUGGAACUCCUACAUAUGGAUCUCUUCGGGCUCGUUGCUUAUCUCAGCAUCGGGGGAAGUAAGUAUGAUCUUGUCAUUGUUGAUGAUUUUCCCACUUCACUUGUGUGUUCUUUUUGCAGGAUAAAUCUGAAACCCAAGGAACUCUAAAGCACUUCUUAAGGAGAGCUCAAAAUGAAUUUGAGCUAAAGGUGAAAAAGAUAAGGAGCGAUAAUGGAUCUGAGUUCAAGAACCUUCAAGUCGAAGAAUAUCUUGAGGAGGAAGGCAUCAAGCACGAGUUCUCUGCUCCCUACACACCACAACAAAAUGGUGUAGUAGAAAGGAAAAACAUGAUGCUAAUUGACAUGGCAAGGACAAUGCUUGGAGAAUACGAGACGCCUGAGCGGUUUUGGUCGGAAGCUGUGAAUACAGCCUGCCAUGCCAUAAACCGGCUCUAUCUGCAUCGCCUCCUCAAGAAGACAUCCUAUGAACUCCUAACCGGUAACAAACCAAAUGUUUCCUAUUUUCGUGUAUUUGGGAGCAAAUGCUACAUCUUAGUGAAGAAAGGUAGGCAUUUGAAGUUUGCUCCCAAAGUUGUAGAAGGGUUUUUACUUGGUUAUGACUCAAAUACAAAAGCGUAUAGGGUCUUCAACAAAUCAUCGGGAUUAGUUGAAGUCUCUAGCGACGUUGUAUUUGAUGAAACUAAAGGCUCUCCAAGGGAGCAAGUUGAUCUUGAUGAUGUAGAUGAAGACGAGAUUCCGACGGCCGUAAUGCGAACAAUGACAAUAGGUGAUGUGCGACCACAGGAACAACUAGAGCAAGAUCAACCUUCUUCCUCUACAUUGGUGCAUCCCCCAACUCAAGAUGAGGAACAGGUACCUCAAGAUGAAGGGAUGGAUGAAGGGGGAGCACAUGAAGAACAGGAUAAGGAGGAAGAUGUGUUACAAGUUCCUCCAACUCAAGUUCGGUCAACAAUCGAAAGAAAUCAUCCAGUGGAUCAGAUUCUGGGUGAUAUCAGCAAGGGAGUAACCACUCGCUCACCUCUAGCUAAUUUUUGUGAGCAUUACUCGUUUGUUUCUUCUAUUGAGCCUUUCAGGAUAGAAGAAGCCUUGCAGGAUCCGGACUAGGUGUUGGCCAUGCAGGAAGAGCUCAACAACUUCAAAAGAAAUGAAGUGUGGAGCCUAGUGCCACGUCCGAAGCAAAAUGUUGUAGGAACCAAGUGGGUGUUCCGCAACAAGCAAGAUGAACACAAUGUGGUGACAAGAAACAAAGCUCGACUUGUGGCAAAAGGUUAUGCCCAAGUCAUAGGUUUGGAUUUUAAGGAGACUUUUGCUCCUGUAACUAGGCUAGAAUCAAUUCGAAUAUUAUUAGCCUAUGCUGCUCACCAUUCUUUUAAGCUGUUCCAAAUGGACGUGAAGAGCGCUGUCGGCGUUUCGAGACCGAGGGGUCCCUGGGCCGACGAGUGAAAUGUCGCCGCGUGCCCCAGCCCAGAUGGGUUGACGUGAGGCCGAGCACGAAGGGGGGAGAAAGGUGGCCGGAGACAGGCGUGAGAGAGGUGGAAAUCCCACGACCUUCGUGUUCAUCCCGUGCCCAGGUCGGGUGCACUUGCAGUAGGGGAUUACAAGCGUCCACGCAGGAGAGGGAGCGAGCGGCUUCAAGCGAGCGCCUGUCUCGUCCUCGUCCCCGCGCGGCCAACCCUCUCUAAGAGGGCCCUGGUCCUUCCUUUUAUAGGCGUAAGGAGAGGAUCCAGGUGUACAAUGGGGGGUGUAGUAGAGUGCUACGCGUCUAGCGGAGGAGAGCUAGCGCCCUAAGUACACGCCAUCGUGGCGGCCGGAGAGGUUAUGGUGCCCGGUUCGUGUGAUGUCGUGGCCGUCGGAGGAGUGCUGGAGCCUGGCGGAGGGACAGCUGUCGGAGUUGUCGAGUCCUUGCUGACGUCCUCUUGCUUUCGUAAGGGGGUUGAGAGCCGCCGUCGUCAGGGAGCGUGCGGGGAGCCAUCAUUGCCUAUCUGGCGGAGCGAGCCAGAUGGGACGCCGGUCUCGUUUCUCGUAGCCUGAGUCAGCUUGGGGUAGGGUAAUGAUGGCGCCUCCCGUUGACGUGGCUGGUAUGCGCCCUAGGUUGGGCGAUGUGGUGGCUCCUCCGAGGUCGAGGUCGAGUCUAUCUUCCGUGGCCGUGGUCGAGUCCGAGCCCCUGGGUUGGGCGAGGCGGAGACCGUCGGCUGAGGUCAGGGCUGAGUCCGAGCCCUGGGGUCGGGCGAAGCGGAGUUCGUCGUCUUCUGGGGCUGAGCCCAAGUCCGAGCCCUGGGUCGGGCGGAGCGGAGUUCGCCGUCUUCCGGGGCUUAGCCUGAGUCCGAGCCCUGGGUCGGGCGGAGCGGAGUUCGCCGUCUUCCGGGGCUUAGCCCGAGUCCGAGCCCUGGGUCGGGCGGAGCGGAGUUCGCCGUCUUCCGGGGCUUAGCCUAAGUCCGAGCCCUGGGUCGGGCGGAGCGGAGUUCGUCGUCUUCUGGGCUGAGCCCAAGUCCGAGCCCUGGGUCGGGCGGAGCGGAGUUCGUCGUCUUCCGGGGCUUAGCCCGAGUCCGAGCCCUGGGUCGGGCGGAGCGGAGCUUCCUAUGGCGCCUGAGGUCGGGCCUGACUGCCUGUCAGCCUCACUCUGUCAGAUGGCACUGCAGUCGGUGCGGCGCAGGCGACGCUGUCCUUCUGUCAGGUCGGUCAGUGGAGCGGCGAAGUGACUGCGGUCACUUCGGCUCUGUCGACUGAAGGGCACGCGUCAGGAUAAUGGUGUCAGGCCACCUUUGCAUUAAAUGCUCCUGCGAUUUGGUCAGUCGGCGCGGCAAUUUGGUCAGGGUUGCUUCUUAGCGAAGACAGGGCCUCAGGCGAGCCGGAAAUGUGUUCGCCGCUGGAGGGGGGCCUCGGGCGAGACGGAGAUUCUCCGGGGUCGGCUGCCCUUGUCCGAGCCUAGGCUCGGGCGAGGCGUGAUCGAGUCCCUCGAAUGGACCGAUCCCUGACUUAAUCGCACCCAUCAGGCCUUCGCAACUUUAUGCUGAUGGGGGUUACCAGCUGAGAAUUAGGAGCCUUGAGGGUACCCCUAAUUAUGGUCCCCGAUAGUAGCCCCCGAGCCUCGAAGGGAGUGUUAACACUCGCUUGGAGGCUUUUGUCGCACUUUUUUGCAAGGGGACCAGCCUUUCUCGGUUGCGUUUUGUUCCGGUGGGUGCGCGCGAGCGCACCCGCCGGGUGUAGCCCCCGAGGCCUCGGAGGAGUGGUUUGACUCCUCCGAGGUCUUAAUGCCUCGUGCAAUGCUUUGGCUGGUCUGGUCGUUCCCUCAUGCGAGCUGGCCGUAGCCCGGGUGCACGGUCGGGUCCCAAGUUCUCGGGCUAGUAUGUUGACGCUGUCAACGGCUUGGCCGGAGCCGGGUUUGCGAGAGCAGCCCCCGAGCCUCUGCACAGGGCGAGAGGGCGAUCAGGGACAGACUCGACUUUUUUACAUACGCCCCUGCGUCACCUUUCCGCAAGGAGGAGGGGGGGGGGGGAAAGCACCAUGUUGCCCUCGGUGGGCGCCGAACAUGGUGUCUCCGGUGAGCUGCUGGCGGGUAAUCCGAGCGGACGUCCGUGCCCCAUUUGCUAGGGGUCGGCUAGAGGCCCAGAGGCGCGCCCAAAAGUACCUGCGGGUGAUCUGCCGGACCCGGUCCCCUGUCGACGGGGUCCGAGGGCUCGAUGCCUCCCUCUGAUGGGAUUCCAUUACAAGAUCGUUCCCGCUGGUCUCGGAAAUGUCCUAGGGUACCUCAGGAGCGCAGCCCGAGCCUUGGUUAUGUAUCGAACGUACCCAUGGUCAUCCCUCGCUCUGCGUCUGAGGCGGCUGUGGACCCUUUGAGGGCUAGCCUUCGAACCCCUGAUCAGUAGUGGGCGCGGAGCCCGAGUAGCCUGAGGCGGUCGUUGAACCCUUCCGAGGGGCCGGCCUUCGAACCUCUGACCAGUAGUGGGUGUGGAGCCCACGCGCUCUGAGGCGGCUGUUGAACCCCUCCGAGGGGCCAGCCUUCGAACCUCUGAUCAGUAGGGAGGCUCGGAGCCUGGUUCCUUCAUGGGGAAGGAUCCUUUUCGGGGUAUCCCCUUUCCCGGUCCCUGUUGUAAGAGAGAGAAAGAGGAAAAGGAAAAGGAUGCAGAAUUUGAACAACGUGGCGUACCUUUUUCGACGCGGUCAUUAUGGCGAAGGCGAAGCGUCGCCCGCUUCCCCUGCCAGAGGCGCCGCCUGUCCCGCCGCGGAGUUAAUGCGACGGGGCGAGUGGUUUGCGGGGCAGCCGUUGCGCGUGCGCGGGCCGUUCGAGGAACGGAACAUGGGCGCGUCGUCUUCACGCCGUGAGAGAGGGUUCUCUCGCUGCUCCCGGAUGGGACGUAAGCUUGGCUAACGACGUGACCGCUGCUCCUGCCCGCCUGCUACCGCCAUUACUGCCGGCCCAUUUUUGGCCGCAUUGACCAUCGCGCCAGGCUGGCGCUGCUGGGUCGUGCGCUGGGUCGCCUCGAGUCGCGGUAUUGGUUCCGCAGUCGAGGAGGCGCGGUAGUGGCGCGGGCGGCGGUGCAGUUGCUCGCACGCAGCAUCCGGCGCGCCGGUUGCAUGACGCGUGGGCCUGGGCCUCCAUGCUGGGCGUGUUGGAAGUCGGAGAAGUGCCCCCACUUGGCUCGGUUGCAUGCCGCCUGCAUGGCUACCCGCCCUUUCGCCCGCUGGUCUGGGCAAAAGUGGAGGGCCGCUUGUAACCGCUGGGCGGUUGCAUGCGCCGCGCGCGGCGGUUUGGCUUCUUCUGCUCUGGGCCGGCUUACAUGACGUGUGGGACCCAGCCCCCGCGCCGUAGAGGGAGGACCUUGGAGCGUGUUGGAGAAGACUUAGCCCGCGACGGCUGGGGACGCAAGUAGGGAGAGUCGCCUUUAAAAGGAGGGUGACCCCCUUGAAAGGCGACCAUGUCUCCGCGCUCCCUUAUGCAUCGUGUCUUUCCACCUUCCGAGCCCCCGGAUGGGGGAUGCCCGCAGUCCUUCCGCCUUGUCGUUGGGGGAACGCAACUCCGUGGGAGUUGGUACCUUUCAGCCAUCGUUCGGCUUCAAGGAUUUUCAUCACGCAGCCCGGCUGCACCCCUCCGCCGGCGGUCACCCAAGGCGGUGACCUCCAGCCCCUGGAUGGGGAGAGGCAAGCCGGGCUGUGAUCUUGGUCCCGCCCUCAGCUUCAAGGAUGUUCAUCAUCCUUGCUGGGGCGGAGAGCGAGGCGAGCCGGGGCUCUACCUCCCGCGCGGGCCGGCUGGCCACCUCUUCUUCCAGCUUCUGGUGGUGGCAACCAUCCUCCAGCUCUGCGGAGGAGGCAUCCUCCAGCCAUGCCGGGGAAGGCGAACUGUUGCUGCCCAGCUAGGAUGCAACAUUCCGCCCUCUUCCUCGCUUUCGUGGCGAGGACGGGAACGAGGACCUGCCGGUGCGCUUCGGAGCGGCCCGCUCUUUGGCUUUGAUGGCUGGUUCGUGUCCCUUGAGCGGGAACGCGAACAAGAGCCUUCCGGCGACCGCGUCCAUCCUGGGACCAUGGCUGCUGCUGCAGAGGUCGCUGGCGAGUCACCCGGAACUCGUCGCCCCGCAGGCUCCCCGGAGUGGAGGUUGGUCAUACCCGCGGGGACGGAACCGGAGUUCCGUUUGCAAUGGCACUUUGAAUGCCAGUGUUUUUGUUCAUUGUGGCUGUCGAGGCCUGAACAUGUAUGUAUUUUUUCCUCAUUUUCGAGCACUAAGACUCGCCUGUUGGUUGUCUGAACCGCUUCACCAAGCGUGAGUCGCCCCGUGUAAAGGUGACGAGUGAGGUAUCCGUAUCCCGGAGGCGUAGGAGUCCCUCGGCUCGGUCAGCCUUGUUGUCCGAGGCUUCUCUUGCUUAGUUAAAGGAACCCCUCGGCUGCUCUUCGAUGAGCCGAAGCCAGGGGUAGCGGUGUCAGCAUGGACAGAGGCAGAGUUGGCUCGAAAAGAAGACUUGGUUGGCCGGAGCCUAGCCGGGUCGUCCGUUAGCGGGACCGACGCCGGAGUUGAUCUUCCGAGGCCUCGGGCCGGGCUGAUGUCUUCGGGGGACAGCUGGCCGAGGCCUCGGGGUGACCAGCCGAGCCGCCUGCUCGGGCCGGAUUCUCGGAGAAAAACCCUGGCGGCGAUGGCCCGGGCGUGGUGAUGACGUCGUCCUUCAGAGUGGAGAUCCUCGGACUGCGUUGCCGUCCGAGGCUAGGUCGGACCUUGCCGAAGGCGUUGUUGACGCCGAGGGUGCUGCGGCUCCCUUCAACUGUCCAGAUCCGAGCCUGCAGGAUCGGAUUAUCUUGUAGUGUGUGUUUUCUGCGGCCGCCGAGGCCAAAACACACCCUCGCCGUGUUGUAAAGCUGCGUCUCUUCUCCUCUUGUUUCGAGUAUCAGGACUUUUUCGUUGAUAACAGAAUUGUCUGUGUGAGCGAGAGUUGCUUCUCGCGGAAGGUGAUGAGUGAGGUAUCCGUAUCCCGGAGGCGUAGGAAUCCCUCAGCUCGAUCGGCCUUGCCGCUUACGUGCACUCUUACCCGCCCAUAGGGUUCUGUCACCGACGCAGUCGAGAAGGCUCAAAGAAUCGCUUCGGCAGAGAAGCUUUCGAACGUGAAGACUUGUUCGGUCCGCGGAAUCACUUAUCCGAACAUGAGUUACUUAUCACAGAAGGUGAUGAGUGAGGUAUCCGUAUCCCAGAGGCGUAGGAGUCCCUCGGCUCGGUCAGCCUUGGCUGCUUACGUGUACUCCGUCGUUUUCAGGAUCCACUUUCGAAGUAGUCGAAAAGCACGAAAGACAUUCUGGCAGAAAGGAUCUUUUUUCGAGGAAAAAAUUCGACGCAGAGGGGGUUCCCCCCUUUUAGCCCCCGAGGGAGGGUCGGGUUUUGCCGAGGCGAGGCCGACCCUUCCUUGAUGACAAAACUUUGCGUGGGAGCGAGGUAUAUGAACAACUUGAAAACAUCUUAAGGGUAGGAGCGACGUAGCUGUUGGAUGUUCCAAGCGUUGCUGUAGACCUCGCCUUGACUGUUGGCCAGCUUGUACGUUCAGGGCUUUAGAACUUUGGCGAUGACGAACGGCCCCUCCCAGGGGGGCGUGAGCUUGUGCCGCCCUCGGGCGUCUUGUCGCAGCCGAAGCACCAGGUCGCCCACCUAGAGGUGUCGGGUCCGGACCCCUCGAGCGUGGUAGCGUCGCAUGGACUGCUGGUACCGCGCCGAGUGUAGUAAGGCCUUGUCCCGAGCCUCUUCCAGCUGGUCCAGCGAGUCUUCUCGAUUAACUUGGUUGCUUUGGUCAGCAUAGGCCCUCGUCCUCGGGGAACCGUAUUCUAAGUCUGUGGGCAAGAUGGCCUCGGCCCCAUAGACUAGAAAGAACGGCGUGAAGCCCGUGGCUCGGCUCGGCGUUGUCCUCAGGCUCCAGACUACCGAGGGGAGUUCCUUCAUCCAUCGCUUGCCGAACUUGUUGAGGCCGUUGUAGAUUCGAGGCUUGAGUCCUUGUAGAAUCAUGCCGUUGGCACGCUCUACUUGCCCAUUCGUCAUGGGGUGAGCCACGGCGGCCCAGUCCACCCGGAUGUGGUGAUCCUCGCAGAAGUCCAGGAACUUUCUGCCGGUGAACUGGGUGCCGUUGUCGGUGAUGAUGGAGUUCGGGACCCCAAAACGAUGGAUGAUGUUGGUGAAGAACACCACCGCCUGCUCGGACCUGAUGCUGUUUAGGGGUCGGACCUCGAUCCACUUGGAGAAUUUGUCGAUGGCGACCAACAGGUGCGUGUAGCCCCCGGGUGCCUUCUGCAAGGGGCCGACGAGGUCCAGACCCCACACAGCGAAAGGCCAGGUGAUGGGUAUCGUCUGCAGAGCCUGAGCGGGCAGGUGGGUCUGCCUUGCGUAGAACUGACACCCUUCGCAGGUGCAGACAGUUCUAGUGGCGUCGGCCACCGCCGUUGUCCAGUAGAAACCUUGUCGGAAGGCAUUUCCGACAAGGGCUCGAGGUGCUGCGUGGUGGCCGCAAGCCCCCGAGUGUAUCUCUCGUAAGAGUUCCUGACCUUCGGCGAUGCAGAUGCACCGCUGGAGGAUGCCUGAGGGGCUGCGGUGCUAGAGCUCCUUCCCAUCUCCCAGCAAGACGAACGACUUGGCGCGCCGCGCCAACCGCCGAGCUUUGCCUCGGUCGAGGGGUAGCUCUCCUCGGUGGAGAUAAUGCAGGUACGGGGUCUACCAGUUUUGAUCAGGCGUGACCCCGUUUCGCUCCCCCUCGACGUGCAGCGUCUCGCCCUCGGGGGCCGAGGGUGCCUCGGGCUGAACCGAGGGUGGCUCGGGCCGGGCUGAGGGUGCCUCGGGCCGUGCCGAAGAUGCCUCGGACUGAGCCGAGGGUACCUCGGGCUAGGCCGAGGGUGCCUCGGGCGCGGGCAUGUCGUCGAUCUUGACGGAGGGUUGAUGCAGGUCUCGGGAGAAGACGUCCGGGGGAACCAUUGUUCGCCCCGAGGCUAUUUUAACCAGCUUGUCCACAGUCUCGUUGUAGCGCCGAGCGAUGUGGUUGAGCUCGAGCCCGUAGAACUUGUCUUCCAAGCGCCGAACCUCAUCGCAGUAGGCCUCCAUCUUCGGGUCGCGGCAGUGGGAGUUCUUCAUGACUUGGUCGAUGACGAGCUGCGAGUCACCGCGAGCGUCGAGGCGUCGGACCCCUAGCUCGAUGGCGAUCCGCAACCCGUUGACCAGAGCCUCGUACUCAGCCACAUUGUUGGACGCCGGGAAAUGGAGGCGUAGCACGUGGCGUAGGUGCUUCCCGAGGGGUGAGAUGAAGAGUAGGCCUGCGCCGGCUCCUGUCUUCAUCAGCGACCCGUCGAAGAACAUGGUCCAGAGCUCCGGUUGGAUCGGAGGUGUUGGGAGCUGGGUGUUGACCCAUUCAGCCACGAAGUCCGCCAGGACCUGGGACUUGAUGGCCUUCCGAGGGGCGAACGAGAUUGCUUCGCCCAUGAUUUCCACCGCCCACUUUGCAAUUCUACCCGAGGCCUCUCGGCACUGGAUGAUCUCCCCCAGGGGGAAGGAUGACACCACAGUUACCGGGUGAGACUCGAAGUAGUGUCGCAGCUUCCGCCGUGUCAGGAUCACCGCGUACAACAGCUUCUGAACUUGUGGGUAGCGGAUCUUGGUUUCGGAUAGUACCUCGCUGACGAAGUAGACUGGCCUCGGAACGGGCAAUGCAUGCCCCUCUUCUUGCCUCUCGACCACAAUCGCGGCGCUGACCACCUGAGUGGUCGCGACGACGUAGAUCAAGAGGGCUUCUCCGGCAGCUGGGGGCACCAAGAUAGGCGCAUUCGUGAGGAGCGCCUUCAGGUUCCCGAGGGCUUCCUCGGCCUUAGGGGUCCAAGUGAAGCACUCGGUCUUCCUUAAGAGGUGGUACAGAGGCAGACCUCUUUCGCCGAGGCGUGAGAUGAAGCGGCUCAGAGCCGCGAGACAUCCCAUGACCCUUUGUACGCCCUUCAAGUCCUUGAUGGGCCCCAUGCUGGUGAUGGCUGCGAUCUUCUCCGGGUUGGCUUCGAUGCCCCGCUCGGAGACGAUGAACCCCAAGAGCAUGCCUCGGGGUACCCCGAAGACACACUUUUUGGGAUUGAGCUUCACGCCUUUCGCCUUGAUACAUUGGAAUGUCACUUCAAGGUCAAAAAGGAGGUCAGAGGCUUUCCUCGUCUUGACUACGAUGUCAUCGACGUAGGCCUCGACCGUCCGGCCAAUGUGUUCGCCGAACACAUGGUUCAUGCACCGCUGGUAUGUCGCGCCCGCAUUCCUCAAGCCGAACGACAUGGUGACAUAGCAGUACAUGCCGAAGGGUGUGAUGAAAGAAGUCACGAGCUGGUCGGACUCCUUCAUCCUGAUUUGGUGAUACCCUGAGUAGGCAUCGAGGAAAGACAGGGUUUCGCACCCAGCAGUGGAAUCCACGAUUUGAUCGAUGCGAGGCAGAGGGUAGGGAACCUUCGGACAUGCUUUGUUUAUACCAGUGUAGUCUACACACAUCCGCCAUUUCUCUCCUUUCUUUCUCACAAGCACAGGGUUGGCAAGCCACUCGGGAUGGAAUACCUCUUUGAUGAACCCUGCCGCCAUCAGCUUGUGGAUCUCCUCGCCUAUGGCUCUGCGCUUCUCUUCGUCGAAUCGGCGCAGAGGCUGCUUGACGGGUCGGGCUCCGGCUCGGAUGUCCAGCGAGUGCUCGGUGACAUCCCUCGGUAUGCCGGUCAUGUCCGAGGGACUCCACGCGAAGACAUCGGCGUUCGCGCGGAGAAAGUCGACGAGCACUGCUUCCUAUUUGGGAUCGAGCUCGGAGCCGAUCUGGACUUGCUUGGAGGCGUCGCUGCUAGGGUCGAGGGGGACGGACUUAACCGUCUCCGCUGGCUCGAAGUUGCCGGCAUGACGCUUCACGUCUGGCACCUCCUUAGAGAGGCUUUCCAGGUCGGCGAUGAGGGCCUCGGACUCGGCGAGGGCCUCGGCGUACUCCACGCACUCCACGUCGCAUUCGAACGCGUGUUUGUACGUGGGGCCGACGGUGAUGACCCCGUUGGGGCCCGUCAUCUUGAGUUUGAGGUAGGUGUAGUUGGGGACGGCCAUGAACUUCGCGUAGCAUGGCCUUCCCAGUACCGCGUGGUAGGUUCCUCGGAACCCGACCACCUCGAACGUCAGGGUCUCCCUUCGGAAGUUGGAGGGUGUUCCGAAGCAGACGGGAAGGUCGAGUUGUCCGAGGGGCUGGACGCGCUUCCCGGGGAUGAUCCCAUGGAAAGGCGCAGCGCCUGCCCGGACCGAGGACAGAUCGACACGCAGGAGCCCGAGGGUCUCGGCGUAGAUGAUGUUGAGGUUGCUGCCUCCGUCCAUGAGGACCUUGGUGAGCCUGACGUCGCCGAUGACGGGGUCGACAACGAGCAGGUAUUUUCCCGGGCUCGGCACGUGGUCGGGGUGGUCGGCUUGGUCGAAGGUGAUGGGCUUGUCGGACUAGUCUAGGUAGACUGGCGCCGCCACCUUCACCGAACAGACCUCCCGACGCUCUUGCUUGCGGCGCCGAGCCGAGGCGUUCGCCGCUUGCCCACCGUAGAUCAUGAAGCAGUCGCGGACCUCGGGGAACUCUCCUGCCUGGUGAUCUUCCUUCUUGUCAUCGUCGCGAGCCCUGCCACCCUCCGCGGGUGGCCCGGCCCUGUGGAAGUGGCGCCGAAGCAUGACGCACUCCUCAAGGGUGUGCUUGACGGGCCCCUGGUGAUAGGGGCACGGCUCCUUGAGCACCUUGUCGAAGAGGUUGGCACCUCCGGGGGGUUUCCGAUGGUUCUUGUACUCGGCGGCGGCGACAAGGUCCGCAUCGGCGGCGUCGUGUUUUGCUUGCGACUUCUUCUUGCCCUUCUUCUUGGCGCCGCGCUGAGUUGACGCCUCGGGGGCAUCUUCUGGUGGGCGGCCCUGGGGCUGCUUGUCCUUCCGAAAGAUAGCCUCGACCGCCUCCUGGCCAGAGGCGAACUUGGUGGCGAUGUCCAUCAGCUCGCUCGCCCUGGUGGGGGUCUUGCGACCCAGCUUGCUCACCAGGUCGCGGCAGGUGGUGCCGGCGAGGAACACGCCGAUGACAUCCGAGUCGGUGAUGUUGGGCAGCUCGGUGCGCUGCUUCGAGAAUCGCCGGAUGUAGUCCCGGAGAGACUCUCCCGGCUGCUGUCGGUAGCUUCGGAGGUCCCAGGAAUUCCCAGGGCGCACGUACGUGCCCUGGAAAUUGCCGGCGAAGGCUUGGACCAGGUCGUCCCAGUUGGAGAUCUGCCCCGGAGGCAGGUGCUCCAACCAGGCGCGAGCGGUGUCGGAGAGGAACAGGGGGAGGUUGCGGAUGAUGAGGUUGUCAUCGUCCGUUCCACCCAGUUGGCAGGCCAGCCGGUAGUCCGCGAGCCACAGCUCCGGUCUUGUCUCCCCCGAGUACUUUGUGAUGGUAGUCGGGGGUCGGAACUGGGUCGGGAACGGCGCCCGUCGUAUGGCCCGACUGAAAGCCUGCGGACCGGGUGGUUCGGGCAAGGGACUCCGAUCCUCCCCGCUGUCGUAGCGUCCCCCACGCCUGGGGUGGUAGCCUCGGCGCACCCUCUUGUCGAGGUGAGCCCGACGGUCGCGGUGAUGGUGCUCGUUGCCGAGGCGUCCUGGGGCCGCAGGCGCAGUGUUGUGCGUGCGCCCGGUGUAGACCGAGGCUUCCCGCAUGAAUCGGGAAGUCGCGACAUGAUGUUCCGAGGGGUACCCCUGCCUUCGGGAGGCCGAGCUCUCGGCCCGUCGGACCGCGGCGCCUUCCAGGAGAUUCUUGAGCUCUCCCUGGAUUCGCCGCCCCUCAGUGGUUGAUGGCUCUGACAUCGCACGGAGAAGCAUUGCUGCUGCAGCCAGGUUCUGGCCGACCCCACUGGACGCGGGUGGCGGCCUGACCCUGACAUCGUCGGCGAUGCGGUGCUGGAAGCCCUGGGGUAGAUGACGCAUUUCUCCGGCCGGAGGUUGGCCCGCCCAUCCCUGCCCGACGUCCCGGCGGAUCGGCUCAAGCGCUCCUACUCCCUCGUCGAGCCUGGCCGGCACCCCGCGGAUUUGCUCGAGCUGCGGGUCAUGGCCCCCCGCCUGAACGGGGACCACAGCUAGCUCCCGUGGGAUGUCAGCGUGAGGCACCGGCCUAGGGAGAUCAUCGUCCUCCGGCAUGCCGAGAUGGUUGCCUUCGGAGGGACCCCCUAGAUCGAUGUGCAAACAUUCGCGGCUUGGGCCGCAGUCCUCGUCGCCGAGGCUGCGGCUACCGUCGGAACAGUCGGAAAUGCAGUAGUCGCAUGCGGUCAUAAAGUCCCGCAUGGCACUGGGGUUGCCAAGUCCAGAGAAAUUCCAACAGAAGUCGGGCACGUCGUCUUCCUCGGACCCCGAGGGCCUGUAGGUCGAGACGUCCGUCAGCCGGUCCCAGGGUGACCGCAUACGAUACCCCAGAGGGUUUGGACUCGCCUCUACGAGAGCGUCCGCCAAAGCGAAGCCGCUGGCGGGUCGAGGCUGAAUCCAAAGGGCAUGAGAUGGGAAUCGGUCGGUACCUCUUGGUCGACGGGCGGUGAUGCAAUCACGUCGGGGACUGACUGCACCAUCGUCUCAGGUACGAGGGUGACAUCCAGCAAGCUUUUCGCGAGCGUGCUGGCGUCGUCCGUUUGCUCGGAAUCUGCGUGUUGCGGGGAGACGACGCUCGUCCUCGUCUCAAACGCGAGGUCGAUGCCCGACGCGCCCCCCGUUGGGGCGCUGGCGCCGUCGACUCGCUCGACAGCCGACGAGGCGCUGUCUCCUGCUUGGCCUUGGUUGCCCCGCCUCCUCCUCCGUCGGCAGGGGAGAGGACAGGGUGAGCUCAAAUGGUGUUCUUCCACCACGCGGGGAAGACGUCGUCGAUUCCGCCGCCGGCGGGCGGGCUGUCGGCCGCCAUUGUCGCCGUCACACGGCGGGGGAAGGAGUAUCAUGUCGUAGCUGCCGUCGAGGGACAUGAACUCAAGACUCCCGAAACGGAGCACCGUCCUGGGUUGGAGAGGUUGCUGGAGACUGCCCAUCUGGAGCUUAACGGGAAGCUGUUCGUCAACACGUAGCAGGCCCCUACCUGGCGCGCCAACUGUCGGCGUUUCGAGACCGGGGGGUCCCUAGGCCGACGAGUGAAAUGUCGCCGCGUGCCCUAGCCCAGAUGGGUCGACGCGAGGCCGAGCGCGAAGGGGGGAGAAAGGUGGCCGGAGACAGGCGUGAGAGAGGUGGAAAUCCCGCGGCCUUCGUGUUCAUCCCACGCCCAGGUCGGGUGCGCUUGCAGUAGGGGAUUACAAGCGUCCACGCAGGAGAGGGAGCGAGCGGCUUCAAGCGAGCGCCUGUCUCGUCCUCGUCCCCGCGCGGCCAACCCUCUCUAAGAGGGCCCUGGUCCUUCCUUUUAUAGGCGUAAGGAGAGGAUCCAGGUGUACAAUGGGGGGUGUAGCAGAGUGCUACGCGUCUAGCGGAGGAGAGCUAGCGCCCUAAGUACACGCCAUCGUGGCGGCCGGAGAGGUUAUGGCGCCCAGUUCGUGUGAUGUCGUGGCCGUCGGAGGAGCGCUGGAGCCUGGCGGAGGGACAGCUGUCGGAGCUGUCGAGUCCUUGCUGACGUCCUCUUGCUUUCAUAAGGGGGUUGAGAGCCGCCGUCGUCAGGGAGCGUGCGGGGAGCCAUCAUUGCCUAUCUGGCGGAGCGAGCCAGAUGGGACGCCGGUCUCGUUUCCCGUAGCCUGAGUCAGCUUGGGGUAGGGUAAUGAUGGUGCCUCCCGUUGACGUGGCUGGUAUGCGCCCUAGGUUGGGCGAUGUGGAGGCUCCUCCGAGGUCGAGGUCGAGUCUGUCUUCCAUGGCCGUGGUCGAGUCCGAGCCCCUGGGUCGGGCGAGGCGGAGACCGUCGGCUGAGGCCAGGGCUGAGUCCGAGCCCUGGGGUCGGGCGAAGUGGAGUUCGUCGUCUUCUGGGGCUGAGCCCAAGUCCGAGCCCUGGGUCGGGCGGAGCGGAGUUCGCCGUCUUCCGGGGCUUAGCCCGAGUCCGAGCCCUGGGUCGGGCGGAGCGGAGUUCACCGUCUUCCGGGGCUUAGCCCGAGUCCGAGCCCUAGGUUGGGCGGAGCGGAGUUCGUCGUCUUCUGGGGCUGAGCCCAAGUCCGAGCCCUGGGUCGGGCGGAGCGGAGUUCGUCGUCUUCCGGGGCUUAGCCCGAGUCCGAGCCCUGGGUCGGGCGGGAGAGCUUCCUAUGGCACCUGAGGUCGGGCCUGACUGCCUGUCAGCCUCACUCUGUCAGAUGGCACUGCAGUCGGUGCGGCGAAUGCGGCGCUAUCCUUCUGUCAGGUCGGUCAGUGGAGCGGCGAAGUGACUGCGGUCACUUUGGCUCUGUCGACUGAAGGGCGCGCGUCAGGAUAAUGGUGUCAGGCCACCUUUGCAUUAAAUGCUCCUGCGAUUUGGUCAGUCGAUGCGACGAUUUGGUCAGGGUUGCUUCUUAGCGAAGACAGGGCCUCGGGCGAGCCGGAAAUGUGUUCGCCGCUGGAGGGGGGCCUCGGGCGAGACGGAGAUUCUCCGGGGUCGGCUGCCCUUGUCCGAGGCUAGGCUCGGGCGAGGCGUGAUCGAGUCCCUCGAAUGGACCGAUCCCUGACUUAAUCGCACCCAUCAGGCCUUCGCAGCUUUAUGCUGAUGGGGGUUACCAGCUGAGAAUUAAGAGCCUUGAGGGUACCCCUAAUUAUGGUCCCCGACAAGCGCCUUCCUUAAUGGACCAAUCAAGGAGGAAGUAUAUGUGGAACAACCCCCUAGCUUUGAUAUGCCAAAUAUAUGUCGUUGACAUUAUAUUUGGUUCUAGUAAUCAAAAGUCUUGUGAGGAGUUUAGCAGGGUGAUGAUGAAAACAUUCGAGAUGUUAAUGAUAGGCGAGUUGAACUACUUCCUUGGAUUUCAAGUGAAGCAACUCAAGGAAGGAACCUUCAUCUCCCAAACAAUGUACACUCAAAAUUUGCUCAAGAGGUUUGGGAUGAAGGAUGCUGUAACACCCCUGGUGUUACUAUAACUAAAACUUGAGCAUGGCAUCAUAAGCAUUGGCAUUGCAUAUGUGUGACACACCUAGAGUGCAUUCACUAGGCAAAAAUUUCAAACAAGUUGUAUUGUUUUAAUGUUUUUGCAAAUAGAACCCUGGUUAAAGGACUUAACCUUAAAUAGUGGUUAAAGGGGUAAAACUUAACCCAAGUUAAGAAAACCUAAAUACUUUAGGGUAAAAGUCAUAAAAUGACCCCAAAAAUGAACUUGAAUCACCUUUAUACCCUUGGGAUACCAGAAACCCUAAUUAAAACCCUGGAAAACCCUGAAACCAAACCCUAGGGGCUUAUAUGCAAAAUUGGUCCACUUUUGGACUAAAGUGCAAAAACCAAGCCAAAUAAAUAUCUUAAGUCCUUUGGUUCACAAAUAUGUGGACUUGAAAGCCAAACCCUAAGUUUUGGACUCAUUUGCAAAAAGGACCUUGAUUUUGAUUCCUAUGCUAAGUCUGAAAACAGGGUUGUAGGCCCAACUUUGGGGCUGUGUAACUUUCAAAAUAGUAAGAAUUCAUGAUAGGUGACCACAUCAAAGUUGAAGAUCAAUCUUAGGGGAACAACUUUGUUUAAGGAUUCAAGCCAUGGUCUUAUGUGAAAUUUGGAGAAAAAACCCAAUCAAAGAUGGGCUCUCAGACUGCUUGAAGUUGAAUUUCAGAGUUACAGUAAUUAUGAGAACCAAUCCUACUACUUCGCGUCCCGGGAUUUCCACAAUUGAAGAAAAAAGCGUAGGGCGUAUUGAUCAAAUUAUUGGACCCGUGCUGGAUAUCACUUUUCCCCCGGGCAAGUUGCCUUAUAUUUAUAAUGCUUUGAUAGUCAAGAGUCGAGACACUGCCGAUAAGCAAAUUAAUGUGACUUGUGAGGUACAACAAUUAUUAGGAAAUAAUCGAGUUAGAGCUGUGGCUAUGAGUGCUACAGAGGGGUUGAUGAGAGGAAUGGAAGUGAUUGACACGGGAACUCCUCUCAGUGUUCCAGUCGGUGGAGCUACUCUCGGACGAAUUUUUAACGUUCUUGGGGAGCCUAUUGACAAUUUGGGUCCUGUGGAUACUAGUGCAACAUUUCCUAUUCAUAGAUCUGCGCCUGCCUUUAUCGAGUUAGAUACGAAAUUAUCUAUCUUUGAAACAGGUAUUAAGGUGGUCGAUCUUUUAGCUCCCUAUCGAUGUGGAGGAAAAAUCGGACUGUUUGGGGGGGGCAGGAGUAGGUAAAACAGUACUCAUCAUGGAAUUAAUCAAUAACAUUGCUAAAGCUCAUGGAGGCGUAUCCGUAUUUGGCGGAGUAGGGGAACGGACUCGUGAAGGAAAUGAUCUUUAUAUGGAAAUGAAGGAAUCCGGAGUAAUUAAUGAAAAAAAUAUUGAGGAAUCAAAGGUAGCUCUAGUCUAUGGCCAAAUGAAUGAACCGCCGGGAGCUCGUAUGAGAGUUGGUAUUGAUUUGGAUCCAGUGCUCAAAUGAGUUCAAUCCCUAUAGUCGAAUUGUAGCUGGUUUGUAGCUUUGAAACUUUGCUACAGAGAGUGGAGUGAGUUACUAGAGAAACUUUAGAGAGAAUUGGUCCUAAACUGUGACUGUCAGGCGCACUGAUGAACAUAUCCCAUGGUACAGUGCUCUAACCGGAUCAGAUCGACCGCCGUGGAAAAAUCUCACCGCCGGCGACCGCUUUGCCGGGAUUGGUGCCGCGGCCAUGUGGAUGUUGCUCACCUUGAAAAGAUCUCACCGUGGAUAAACUUGGAGCACUGUGGCCACUCGGUCACUUCUCCCCUUACCGGCGACGUGGCCGCACGGCCAUCACCGGCGUGCCGCCGUUCUUUGCUGUUAUGCCACGCCGUCGGCCAUCUUACCACGUCGCAGUCGAUUACUAUACGCCGUCCUUCUUUUACUUAAGGCCUUGCCACGCCAUAGGACACGUACUCCGCGCGCCAAGCUUCUUCCCCGCCUCCGGCCGCCAGCUCGUCGCGGUCAAAUUGAGAGCCACCGCUCUCGGAGUCUAUAAAUUGAGCCCCCCCUCGGCUUCGCCAUGUACUCUACUAGCUAUCGCACCCGCUUGCAUCCCAAACCUCCCACCAGAGAGCUUGAAUUUGGAAUCCCCCCCAAAUCCGAUCCCCGCCACCGUGAAACCAAGUCCACCGUGGCCAGCCGAUUCUGGUAACGCUCUGUCCGGUUCAAACCUUGUUUAAGUCUUCUCAUAGCUCAGUGAUGCUCGCCAAGCCAUCAAUUUGAAUGUAGAUACCUCCAAUCGUCGGGAACACGCUCAUCCGUCCGCAAUGCUCUCGGUCACCGUGGCCAGAGCUCUGUAGUCGGUCGUUCGUGCAAUUAGGUUAGGGGAAAUACUCCUUAGGGGUUUAAUCCUGUGUAUGUCGCUCGGGAGCGCCGGUCACUGCCCCAAUCGGCCGGUUUGCUAGCUCGCCGGAGCGCGGCGGUGCGCGAGCGCCGUCGGGGACUUGAAACACAGAAUAGAUAGAAACCAGAGGGUCUUUUUGUGAAGUGUCAGUGACUUAGAAAAACAGUAACCGAACCUAUCUCCAGUUAGCCAAAACGCCGAGGGCCUCUGCGCAAACUCGCCUCGCGGGCGCGGACGCGCGCGCGAUUUCGCGCGGAUCUGGGCCGCCUGGGCUGAAUCCGGCCCAGUUCUAUUUAAUUCUUUUCCUUUUUCUUUUUCAGGAAAACUUUAGAAAUGUGUAGAAAAAUGUAGAAAAAUGCUAAAAAUAUGAGACUAAUUUUCCUAGACUUGUUAUUUUUCCUAGAAUUUAGUAAAAAUAAGUUUGUGAUUUUUAGUGAAAGUAAGAAAUUUUAGGGUAUUUAAAGUGGUUAAAAAUGUUAGUUAUGGAUUUUUAGAAAACAAAUGGUAAGUCCAAAAAUGCUCAAAAUUUUUAUAUGAGUUCCUCAUAAUAUUUAGAAGCCUUGGGUAUAGUUUGAAUUGAUUUGGACCUUGUUUGAUCACCAAACCCCAAAACACCCCCCCUGCCCUAUGAACUCCUUUACCGACUCCGGAAACCCUAAGUUCCCGGAACUCCGUGAAGGAAAAUUGUAUUCAAGACAUAAAUAAUAAGUUUAUGUUAUCUUUGCAUCCUCAUGAGCAUCCCAUGGCAUCCAUUCUUAUACAUAUGUAUGGUUAUGAUUAGAACGUGAGGAAGAAAUCGAAGUUACCGAAGAGGAGACACCACCACCUUCGGAGUCUCAGGCCGGGAAUCAUUUCUACUUUGACAUCUGUGGAUCUGAGCCUGAUUCACCUGUGAACGAAGGCAAGCCCCGGUGCAUGCAACCCCUUUCCUUGUGUUUUUAAAUACUUUUUGCACACUUAAGUCUAGUGAAAUGUGCAUUAGGUUCAUAGGAGUUACUUGAAACCCUUUGAUGCAUUGCUCUCCUUGAUAUCCAUACCUUUAUAGAUACUUCUGUGAAGUAUCAAAACAUGAUUCACAAAAAUGCUUAGACUUGCUUAGAUCUUGUGGAUAGAAGUUGUCCUCAAUUUAACCAUGGAGAGGAUGGCUUCUACCUGCAAGAAUAUUUUCAUUUGGAGCAAGAGUGGGAUCUUACUGCAAAGUUCCCUGUGAUGCUCUUUCAUCCUAAGGAACAGACACAAUCCUAAGGAUGGAAAUACUUAAAUUGAGACUUGGGGUAGGAACAGGUGAUGUUCUACCCAGGUUGGUUAAGGAUUAACGCGUAUGUAGGCGUGCUGACCGAGGACCCUUUAACUGGUCACAUGCCUCGUCAUGGGUAAGCCUUGCCUCGGGCAGACUAAGGCCGGAAUAAGAUAACACGAAAUGGGCGUGGAGCGGUGGCGAGAGUAGCGUGUACCCUCCGUGGCAAGAGGCUGGACGGUGGUGUAUCUGUGCUCUCAGUUUGCAUGAACCUGUUCCGGUCUUAAGAACCCCGGUGGCGGGUUGACAUAUGCAAGGGUUAAGUGCUACAUAUGUCGUGUGAUUGGAGAUCCUCAGCUGAGUAUAAUCGAUUCGGAUCGCCGUACCUUCGCGGUUAUGAAGACUUGGUCACUUCCCUGCAACCUAGAGUCAGGAUGUGAACACGAUGGAUAAAAAUGAUGUUAUCUUGAUGUGAUGUGAAAUUAGACUAGAUGCAAAUGGAGUCUAUUAAUACUUAAUAUGGCAUUAAAAGAUUGAAAGUAAGGACUCAUUUUAGUAAGCUACUUCUGCAAAAGUAUAAGUUGAUUUUUGCUAAAGCCUCUCCUUGACUCCUAUUUAUCCAGCAUACCCUUGAAAGUCUUUUCCUUAGUCGGGUAAGACUUGCUGAGUAUUCCAUACUCAGGGUUUAUCCCUUUGUUGUUUUUAGGUGAGGAAGCGACAAACUUUUGUUGCUUCUGCUCCAAGGUGGUACCAAACGAGGAAAAACAAGACUGAAGUGCGGGAGGACUCGGUCCUCCACUUAGGAUCUUUUGUUUAUUAAACUUAUCGGGAGGAGUUUGUGCCUCCCCUGGUUUGUAUAAUAUUACUACUCUGCACUCACUUUUAGUCUGGUCUGUAAUAACAUAACUUAAGCUUGCUUUUGAAAUAAAUGUAAGUUUAUGUAAUUGCUUCCGCAUGUCUUUAUCUCCGAUGUUCUGUAAUGUCUGCAAGACGGGUGAGACGUUCCUGAUAAGGUAAGGAAAGAUACCGAACUUGUCAAGUAGUCAGGGGCACCUGCAGGGUUGUCUAAAGUCCGUUGGACAAGGACAACUGUAGGUGGGCCUAAUUACUUGGGAGGUUCUGUCACAGCUGGUAUCGGAGCGUAGCCCUUCUUUGCAUAUAUUAUGAGGCAUCUUCAAAAGGAUUUUCAAAAGUCUUACCUAAAAACUCUUUUCUCUUCUUACCUAAGUAUUCUGAAGAAGUCUAUCUUAAAGACCAGAUAGGAAGAGUGCAACAUAUAGAAGGUUGAAUCGACUAAGAUUGAUUCUGUAAUUAUACAUGCAUCAUGCUAAGAAUCUUACUAAUAACAUUUUCCCCCUUAGAAAGAUGCCGCCACGUACCAGGCUAACGGCACGCAAGUCUACGGGACCAAUUGGAGUGCCUCGGCAUCAACUGGCUCCCCGACAUGAAAGCAGCAGCAGUGGAAGUAAUGACCCCAUCGGAGACCUUGAAGCCCGUGUGAGUCGACUUCAAGCAGCGCUGCAACAUAGGACUGAUGCUUGGGUCACCGACGGAGAUAGAAUCAAUGAACUGAGAAGGGACAUCCGACAUCUGCAGGAUCAACUCGCUGAUCGAGACUUAGCACUUGACUGGGCCGUACAGUCUCGUUUGCUAAUGUGUGCUAAGGAAGAAAGGGCUCAGGCCCGAGUUAAAGAACUUAGCUCGACUGUUGAUAACCUGCAGGUUUACUGCAAUACGUUGCAUGAGGAAGUCCAUAUACUAUACUCACAAUUACACCCAAGUGAGCCUGCACAACCUACUGAGGCGGAAGCUGGACCAUCUCACGUUGCGGGACGUGCGCUGGGUGGGGAGUUAGACCUUUUUGAGCCCCCUCCUUCUUUGAGGUUGGUUGAUGUCUGGACUCCCACACCUGACGAUGAAGCCGCCAAGACUAAUGGCAAGCAGGAAUAAAGGUGUAAUAGAAGUAGAGUAGUGUAUGGUAGGGUAUUGUAGGGUGUACUGUUGUAUAAUAGGUUGAACUUUUGUAUAAUGGGUAUUGUAUCCUGUUAUGUAAUAUCGAGUCUGUAUCAUUACUUUUUAUAGUAAUGUAAAAUGGAAGGUUUUCUCUGGCACAUUAUGUUUACUUCAAAUGUUUUUGCCACAGAUGCCGACCAGGACUCGAGGACAGGACGCAGCAGGAACUUCUGGGGGACGGGAUGUUACCCCAAACCCACCUCCAGUUCCUCCCACGUUAGCCGAGGCGAUCGCCGCCUUGGUGAAUGCCACCGCAGACAAUACCCGCUUCCUUAGGGAAAUGGCGGGUCAGCAGCAAUUCCAGCAGCAGGCAGGAAGAGGUUAUCCGCAAGGCCCUCGUGAGACCACCUAUCUGGAUUUCUCUGAAACCCGUCCACCCCUAUUCGUCAAGGCUGAAGAUCCCCUAGAAGCUGAUGAGUGGAUUCGGGUCAUUGAACAAAAGUUUGGUCUUCUCCGUUGCUCAGAGACGCAGAAGCCGUUGUUCGUAGCACAACAACUCCGUGGUCCUGCCAGUACCUGGUGGGGAAAUUUUAUGGCUAUUCAACCUGACAACCAUCAAGUCACCUGGGAUGAGUUUAAAGCAGCUUUCCGUGAACACUACAUCCCCGAAGGAGUGCUGCAUAUGAAACAAGAGGAGUUUAUGAAGUUACAACAAGGCGGAGAUACCAUCACUCAAUAUCUCAACAAAUUCAAUCACCUGUCGCAGUAUGCCAUCGACCAGGUGAAUACGGAUUUAAAGAAGAAGAACUGUUUUAUGCGGGGUCUGAAUGAUCGGCUACAAAGGAAAAUGGCCACAUGCAUAGAUCUCACGUAUGGAAAGGCUGUCAGCACAGCCUUAUCUGUGGAAGCCAAAUACUCAACUUCUGGGAAGAACAAGGGAUUCGGUGGUGAGAGGCCUAAUCAGGGCCAGGCGAAGAAGCAACGGUUUGUGAUUCGACCCUCAAACCAAAAUCGCACUUUUUCUCGUCCACCUUCAUUUCCCUUCAAACAGCCUAUCAUUAUCCGCCCAACAAUACCCCCACUACCCCAAAACAGCCGGGUGCCCCAGGCACUCGAUUUCCUGCCUUACCUAGUUCUUCAACUGGGUGCUUUAAUUGCGGCAAGUUGGGACACUUCAUCAAAGACUGCCCAUAUCCUAGGCAAAAUCAAUCUAAUGCUUCGCAAGGAUCUGGGAAAUCAGCUCAACCUAAAGGAGAUGCUAUGGGGAAAAAUACGAAGAAAACGGGGCGUGUAUAUUACACUCAAGUGGCUACCACACCGGAAGGAGAACCGGUGAUGAUGGGUACGUUUCCCGUGGCCAGUCACCCAGCAAUUAUUCUUUUUGAUUCUGGUGCUUCACAUACAUUCAUUAGCAAGAAGUUUGUGGAACAACAUCAUAUUGCAUACCAUGAAUCAAAGGAGGGAUUUAAAAUUCAUUCACCUGGGGGACACAUUUAUACUAAAGAAGUGGCCUAUGGAGUGCCAGUAACAAUGGCCGGACGGAACUUUCCUGCUAAUAUGAUCGUUCUGAAAGGCCAGGAUAUAGAUGUAAUCUUGGGUAUGAAUUGGUUAACCCAACACAAGGCAAUUCUCAACACUGAACUCAGAACCGUCAGGUUGAGCUAUAACCAAGAAGAGAUUCUUUUGACUCUCCCCGCAACCAAUCCAGCCAAAGCUUCUGGUAGAGUCUAUGAAGCCAUUGUACCGGAGAUCAAGAAUAUUCCGGUAGUAUGUGAGUUUCCAGAUGUAUUUCCGGAAGAUUUGCCUGGACUGCCCCCUGAAAGAGAUGUAGAAUUUGUAAUUGAGCUAAAGCCCGGUACGGCUCCCAUCUCCCGAAGAUCGUACCGUAUGCCCCCUAAUGAGUUGGCGGAACUGAAGAUUCAAUUACAAGAUCUACUGAAUAAGGGAUUCAUCCGGCCAAGCUCGUCCCAGUGGGGUUGUCCCGCCAUUUUUGUUAAGAAGAAGGAUCAAACCUUGAGAAUGUGCGUGGAUUAUCGACCCCUAAAUGAGGUCACUAUCAAGAAUAAGUACCCUCUUCCAAGGAUCGACAUAUUAUUUGAUCAACUGACUGGGGCGAGGGUAUUUUCCAAAAUUGAUCUCAGGUCAGGCUAUCAUCAAAUCCGUAUUCGGCCCGAGGAUAUACCGAAAACCGCGUUUACUACGCGGUAUGGAUUGUUUGAAUACUUGGUAAUGUCUUUCGGGCUCACAAAUGCUCCUGCCCACUUUACCUACUUGAUGAACUCGGUGUUCAUGCCCGAGUUGGACAAAUUCGUGGUAGUCUUCAUCGACGAUAUCUUGAUAUAUUCUAAGAAUGAAGAGGACCAUGCUCAGCAUUUACGGAUUGUAUUGACGCGCCUGAGGGAACACCAGCUAUAUGCCAAGUUCAGCAAGUGCGCGUUCUGGCUGGAAGAAAUUCAAUUUUUGGGGCACGUGUUAUCAGCUAAAGGAAUUGCGGUAGAUCCUAGCAAGGUCAAAGAUAUUCUGGAGUGGAAACCCCCAACAACUGUUCACCAAGUCCGGAGUUUUCUUAGACUAGCUGGGUAUUAUCGCAGAUUCAUACCAGAUUUUUCUAAGCUUGUGAAGCCAAUCACAAGUUUGUUGAAGAAUGACAUUAAGUUCAAUUGGUCUUCUAAGUGCAAUGAAGCCUUUGAGCAACUGAAGACACUAUUGACCACUGCUCCGGUAUUAGCUCAACCGGACAUCACUAAACCUUUUGAUGUAUAUUGUGAUGCAUCUGGCAGUGGGCUCGGCUGUGUACUGAUGCAAGAGGGCCGAGUGAUUGCGUAUGCUUCAAGGCAGUUGAGCCGACAUGAGGAGCACUAUCCAACUCAUGAUCUGGAGCUAGCUGCUGUGGUUCAUGCCCUAAAGAUUUGGCGUCACUAUCUGCUGGGUAAUAUCUGUCACAUAUAUACAGAUCAUAAAAGUUUGAAGUACAUCUUCACCCUGUCAGAAUUAAAUAUGAGGCAAAGACGAUGGCUUGAGCUCAUUAAAGAUUAUGAACUGGAGAUCCAUUAUCACCCAGGCAAGGCCAAUGUGGUGGCAGAUGCGCUGAGUCGUAAGACUUCCUGCCACUGUCUUAUGGCGAAGACCUUCGAGAACACUUUGUGUCAAGAAAUGGAAAAGCUAAACCUGGGGAUCAUCCAACAAGGGACUCUAAAUCAGCUAAAGCUUGAGUCAAUCAUUUUAUAAAGGAUAAUUGAUGCUCAAAAAGAUAAUCCGGGUAUGAAGCACAUUCGAGAGAAGAUAAAGGCUGGAGUAGCCAAGUGUUUCAAGGAAGACGAUCAAGGUGUGAUAUGGUUUAAAAACCGCAUAGUAGUGCCAAAGAACGAAGAACUCCGCCAGCAAAUUCUUGAUGAAGCACAUCUUAGUCGUUAUUCUAUUCAUCCCGGAAGCACUAAGAUGUAUCAAGACUUAAAGCAAUAUUAUUGGUGGACGAAGAUGAAAAUCGAAAUUGCACGCUAUGUGGCUAAGUGUGACACUUGCAGACGUGUCAAGGCCAUACACAUGAAAACUGCUGGUCCAUUACAAUCCUUGCCAAUCCCAACAUGGAAAUGGGAAGACGUCAGUAUGGACUUUAUUGUGGGAUUACCCAGGACGGCCAAAGGGUAUGAUUCUAUUUGGGUUAUCGUUGAUCGACUCACAAAGAUUGCCCACUUCUUACCCGUCAGAGCCAAAUAUACAGUAGCCACUUAUGCAGCAUUAUAUAUCAGCCGUAUUCUCAGUUUGCAUGGUAUUCCAAAGACCAUAGUGUCGGAUCGUGGACCUCAGUUCGUAUCCAAGUUUUGGGAAAAACUUCAUAAAUCCUUGGGUACCAAAUUGCUCCACAGUUCGGCUUAUCAUCCUCAAACCAGUGGGCAGACUGAGAGGGUGAACCAAAUACUUGAAGAUAUGCUGCGGGCAUGUGUCCUGGACUUCUCACCAAAAUGGGAUGAAUGUUUGCCCCUAGCGGAGUUUUCAUACAAUAACAGUUAUCAAGAAAGUAUCAAGAUGGCACCUUUUGAAGCUUUAUAUGGACGACGGUGUCGAACUCCGCUAAAUUGGUCUGAACCUGGAGAAAGAUACUUCUUUAGACCUGAUAUGGUGAAAGAGAUCGAAGAAAAGGUUCAGAGAAUUAUUCAUAAUAUGAAGAAAGCUCAGACUCGACAAAAGAGUUAUGCAGACCGACGAAGACAACCCUUGUGCUUUCUGGUAGACGAUUAUGUCUACUUAAAGGUUUCACCAAUGAAGGGUGUAUCGCGUUUCGGGGUUAAAGGGAAGCUUGCACCCAGGUACAUUGGUCCAUUCCUGGUACUUGAGCAAUGUGGACCAGUGGCAUACCGACUUCAGCUCCCCGAAACAUUAUCUGCUGUGCACAAUGUGUUCCAUGUGUCACAACUGAAGAAGUGUCUUCGGGUUCCUGAUCGAACCAUUGAAGUGACUGAUGUUGUCCUGGAACCAGAUUUAACAUACUCGGAACAUCCUAUUCGAGUUCUGGAUCAAAAGGACAGGGUCACCCGAAGAAAGACUCUCAAAUUCUACAAGAUACAGUGGAACCAGCAUUCUGAAGAUGAGGCUACAUGGGAAACCCAAGACUUCUUGAAUAAGAAUUUCCCAGGCUUCUUAGCCUCUUGUAACUUGUAAAGCCUGUAUAGCUAUUGUAAUAAAGAAGUAACCCCCACAUUACCCUUGUCUUGUACCAAAAUUAAGGAAAUAAAAAUGUGAUGUGUUUCCUUUACCAUUACCUACCCUAGGAUUUUAAUCUCGGGACGAGAUUCUUUUAUGGGGGGAAGGAUGUAACACCCCUGGUGUUACUAUAACUAAAACUUGAGCAUGGCAUCAUAAGCAUUGGCAUUGCAUAUGUGUGACACACCUAGAGUGCAUUCACUAGGCAAAAAUUUCAAACAAGUUGUAUUGUUUUAAUGUUUUUGCAAAUAGAACCCUGGUUAAAGGACUUAACCUUAAAUAGUGGUUAAAGGGGUAAAACUUAACCCAAGUUAAGAAAACCUAAAUACUUUAGGGUAAAAGUCAUAAAAUGACCCCAAAAAUGAACUUGAAUCACCUUUAUACCCUUGGGAUACAAGAAACCCUAAUUAAAACCCUGGAAAACCCUGAAACCAAACCCUAGGGGCUUAUAUGCAAAAUUGGUCCACUUUUGGACUAAAGUGCAAAAACCAAGCCAAAUAAGUAUCUUAAGUCCUUUGGUUCACAAAUAUGUGGACUUGAAAGCCAAACCCUAAGUUUUGGACUCAUUUGCAAAAAGGACCUUGAUUUUGAUUCCUAUGCUAAGUCUGAAAACAGGGUUGUAGGCCCAACUUUGGGGCUGUGUAACUUUCAAAAUAGUAAGAAUUCAUGAUAGGUGACCACAUCAAAGUUGAAGAUCAAUCUUAGGGGAACAACUUUGUUUAAGGAUUCAAGCCAUGGUCUUAUGUGAAAUUUGGAGAAAAACCCAAUCAAAGAUGGGCUGUCAGACUGCUUGAAGUUGAAUUUCAGAGUUACAGUGCUAUGGGGUGAACUUUGAGCUCGAUUUUGAUUUGGAUCCAGUGCUCAAAUGAGUUCAAUCCCUAUAGUCGAAUUGUAGCUGGUUUGUAGCUUUGAAACUUUGCUACAGAGAGUGGAGUGAGUUACUAGAGAAACUUUAGAGAGAAUUGGUCCUAAACUGUGACUGUCAGGCGCACUGAUGAACAUAUCCCAUGGUACAGUGCUCUAACCGGAUCAGAUCGACCGCCGUGGAAAAAUCUCACCGCCGGCGACCGCUUUGCCGGGAUUGGUGCCGCGGCCGUGUGGAUGUUGCUCACCUUGAAAAGAUCUCACCGUGGAUAAACUUGGAGCACUGUGGCCACUCAGUCACUUCUCCCCUUACCGGCGACGUGGCCGCACGGCCAUCACCGGCGUGCCGCCGUUCUUUGCUGUUAUGCCACGCCGUCGGCCAUCUUACCACGUCGCAGUCGAUUACUAUACGCCGUCCUUCUUUUACUUAAGGCCUUGCCACGCCAUAGGACACGUACUCCGCGCGCCAAGCUUCUUCCCCGCCUCCGGCCGCCAGCUCGUCGCGGUCAAAUUGAGAGCCACCGCUCUCGGAGUCUAUAAAUUGAGCCCCCCCUCGGCUUCGCCAUGUACUCUACUAGCUAUCACACCCGCUUGCAUCCCAAACCUCCCACCAGAGAGCUUGAAUUUGGAAUCCCCCCCAAAUCCGAUCCCCGCCACCGUGAAACCAAGUCCACCGUGGCCAGCCGAUUCUGGUAACGCUCUGUCCGGUUCAAACCUUGUUUAAGUCUUCUCAUAGCUCAGUGAUGCUCGCCAAGACAUCAAUUUGAAUGUAGAUACCUCCAAUCGUCGGGAACACGCUCAUCCGUCCGCAAUGCUCUCGGUCACCGUGGCCAGAGCUCUGUAGUCGGUCGUUCGUGCAAUUAGGUUAGGGGAAAUACUCCUUAGGGGUUUAAUCCUGUGUAUGUCGCUCGGGAGCGCCGGUCACUGCCCCAAUCGGCCGGUUUGCUAGCUCGCCGGAGCGCGGCGGUGCGCGAGCGCCGUCGGGGACUUGAAACACAGAAUAGAUAGAAACCAGAGGGUCUUUUUGUGAAGUGUCAGUGACUUAGAAAAACAGUAACCGAACCUAUCUCCAGUUAGCCAAAACGCCGAGGGCCUCUGCGCAAACUCGCCUCGCGGACGCGGACGCGCGCGCGAUUUCGCGCGGAUCUGGGCCGCCUGGGCUGAAUCCGGCCCAGUUCUAUUUAAUUCUUUUCCUUUUUCUUUUUCAGGAAAACUUUAGAAAUGUGUAGAAAAAUGUAGAAAAAUGCUAAAAAUAUGAGACUAAUUUUCCUAGACUUGUUAUUUUUCCUAGAAUUUAGUAAAAAUAAGUUUGUGAUUUUUAGUGAAAGUAAGAAAUUUUAGGGUAUUUAAAGUGGUUAAAAAUGUUAUUUAUGGAUUUUUAGAAAACAAAUGGUAAGUCCAAAAAUGCUCAAAAUUUUUAUAUGAGUUCCUCAUAAUAUUUAGAAGCCUUGGGUGUAGUUUGAAUUGAUUUGGACCUUGUUUGAUCACCAAACCCCAAAACACCCCCCUGCCCUAUGAACUCCUUUACCGACUCCGGAAACCCUAUGUUCCCGGAACUCCGUGAAGGAAAAUUGUAUUCAAGACAUAAAUAAUAAGUUUAUGUUAUGUUUGCAUCCUCAUGAGCAUCCCAUGGCAUCCAUUCUUAUACAUAUGUAUGGUUAUGAUUAGAACGUGAGGAAGAAAUCGAAGUUACCGAAGAGGAGACACCACCACCUUCGGAGUCUCAGGCCGGGAAUCAUUUCUACUUUGACAUCUGUGGAUCUGAGCCUGAUUCACCUGUGAACGAAGGCAAGCCCCGGUGCAUGCAACCCCUUUCCUUGUGUUUUUAAAUACUUUUUGCACACUUAAGUCUAGUGAAAUGUGCAUUAGGUUCAUAGGAGUUACUUGAAACCCUUUGAUGCAUUGCUCUCCUUGAUAUCCAUACCUUUAUAGAUACUUCUGUGAAGUAUCAAAACAUGAUUCACAAAAAUGCUUAGACUUGCUUAGAUCUUGUGGAUAGAAGUUGUCCUCAAUUUAACCAUGGAGAGGAUGGCUUCUACCUGCAAGAAUAUUUUCAUUUGGAGCAAGAGUGGGAUCUUACUGCAAAGUUCCCUGUGAUGCUCUUUCAUCCUAAGGAACAGACACAAUCCUAAGGAUGGAAAUACUUAAAUUGAGACUUGGGGUAGGAACAGGUGAUGUUCUACCCAGGUUGGUUAAGGAUUAACGCGUAUGUAGGCGUGCUGACCGAGGACCCUUUAACUGGUCACAUGCCUCGUCAUGGGUAAGCCUUGCCUCGGGCAGACUAAGGCCGGAAUAAGAUAACACGAAAUGGGCGUGGAGCGGUGGCGAGAGUAGCGUGUACCCUCCGUGGCAAGAGGCUGGACGGUGGUGUAUCUGUGCUCUCAGUUUGCAUGAACCUGUUCCGGUCUUAAGAACCCCGGUGGCGGGUUGACAUAUGCAAGGGUUAAGUGCUACAUAUGUCGUGUGAUUGGAGAUCCUCAGCUGAGUAUAAUCGAUUCGGAUCGCCGUACCUUCGCGGUUAUGAAGACUUGGUCACUUCCCUGCAACCUAGAGUCAGGAUGUGAACACGAUGGAUAAAAAUGAUGUUAUCUUGAUGUGAUGUGAAAUUAGACUAGAUGCAAAUGGAGUCUAUUAAUACUUAAUAUGGCAUUAAAAGAUUGAAAGUAAGGACUCAUUUUAGUAAGCUACUUCUGCAAAAGUAUAAGUUGAUUUUUGCUAAAGCCUCUCCUUGACUCCUAUUUAUCCAGCAUACCCUUGAAAGUCUUUUCCUUAGUCGGGUAAUACUUGCUGAGUAUUCCAUACUCAGGGUUUAUCCCUUUGUUGUUUUUAGGUGAGGAAGCGACAAACUUUUGUUGCUUCUGCUCCAAGGUGGUACCAAACGAGGAAAAACAAGACUGAAGUGCGGGAGGACUCGGUCCUCCACUUAGGAUCUUUUGUUUAUUAAACUUAUCGGGAGGAGUUUGUGCCUCCCCUGGUUUGUAUAAUAUUACUACUCUGCACUCACUUUUAGUCUGGUCUGUAAUAACAUAACUUAAGCUUGCUUUUGAAAUAAAUGUAAGUUUAUGUAAUUGCUUCCGCAUGUCUUUAUCUCCGAUGUUCUGUAAUGUCUGCAAGACGGGUGAGACGUUCCUGAUAAGGUAAGGAAAGAUACCGAACUUGUCAAGUAGUCAGGGGCACCUGCAGGGUUGUCUAAAGUCCGUUGGACAAGGACAACUGUAGGUGGGCCUAAUUACUUGGGAGGUUCUGUCACAGAUGCAAAGCCCGCGAAGACACCGAUGGGAACGGACGGACAUCUGGACCUCAAUAAAGGAGGUAAGGCCGUUGAUCAAAAGGCAUACCGGUCUAUGACAGGAUCUUUGCUUUACCUUUGCGCUAGUAGACCAGAUAUUAUGCUAAGUGUAUGCAUGUGUGCUUGAUUUCAAUCCGACCCUAAGGAGUGUCACCUUGUGGCCGUUAAGCAAAUUCUUAGAUACUUGGUUUCUACGCCUUGCUUUGGGAUCUGGUAUCCAAAGGGGUCUACCUUUGACUUAAUCAGAUAUUAAGAUUCCGACUAUGCCGGGUGCAAGGUUGAUAGGAAGAGUACAUCAGAGACUUGUCAGUUUCUACGAAGAUCCCUGGUGUCCUGGAGCUCUAAGAAACAAACUUCUGUUGCCCUAUCCACUGCUGAGGCCGAGUAUGUUGCCGCAGGACAGUGUUGCGCGCAACUACUUUGGAUGAGGCAAACCCUCCAGGAUUUUGGCUACAAUCUGAGCAAAGUCCCACUCCUAUGUGAUAAUGAUAGUGCAAUCUGCUUGGCGGACAAUCCUGUUGAACACACCGCACUAAGCACAUAGACAUCCGGCAUCACUUUUUGAGAGACCAGCAACAAAGGGGAGAUAUCGAUAUUUAUCAUAUUAGCACCGAGAACGAGCUAGCCAAUAUCUUCACCAAGUUUUUAGAUGAGAAAAGGUUUUGCAGGUUGCAUAGUGAGCUAAAUGUCUUAGAUUCGCGUAACUUGGAUUGAUCUAUAGCAUACAUGUGUACUAUGCCUUUGAUCAUAUUACUUUAAGCAUUAAUGUCUUUAAUUACUUAUUUUUGGUGCUCAAGUUGUACAAGUCAUCCCCGGACCUCACAAGUCCAAAUGCAAAUGAUGCACAUGUUUAGGGGGAGGAUGUGCUACAACUUCACCCCUUAAGACUAACUUGUUUGUUGAGUACUCUUGAAAUAGUCUCAAAGGUAUAUUGAAAGGGAAAAGUGAACUUGGACAAAGAAAGGACUACCACUGCAUUCCGGUAUAAAUGUAUCUUGUUCCAAGCUUGUACUUGUGUUCUCAUUGCCUUUUGUGCUUAUUUGACAUUUUGGUGAGGAAAUGGAGUUAAAGGGUCAAAAGUUGUCACACCCGUUUCCCAAGGGUAGAGCCGGGUGCAUAGCAUAUGUGUGCCAGGAUCUAUUUCCACACAUAUGUUGACGUCACAAGUGUAAUAUAUCAAAAGAACAAUGCAUAAAAGCGUAAAUAACGAUUAUAUUAACAUAUUACACUUCGAACAGACAUAUUGUCUUAACCUUUAUUCAUCAAAGUAUAGCAAAACAGGGACAUCCAUCCACAGGAAGAUGACCGGGGGUAUCACUAGACUAGCAUCCAUGGAGUUCACCAUCAAAAUCUUCAUCUGCAAACUUCUAAUCAAAAUUAAGCAAGGGUGAGCUCACUUAUGGUCGGGGCUCAGCAAGUGGGGGAAAAACUAAUGCAAGGUAACAAGGUGAGGCUAAGGUUGAGCAGUAAGCAUUUUAGUUGGUCAACAUUUUAUUCACAACACCUGUCUUACUAAUAAGUGUGAAUCCCAAGUAUUCCCAUUAAACAAAGGUAUAAGAGUAUAUAAAAAACACUUAAGUGAAACCACUUAAGCAAACCAUUGGCAGAUCAUCGGAUCUCGAUUUAUCUCCAUCUUCAAGUUCAAUUAUCAUGUGAGGAGUCCAGGCUGCUCAUAACCGUGAGCACGGCUGAUAUAUCAGUUUUACACUCUGCAGAGGUGGUACAACUUUACCCACAAGCCGUGUAUCCCCUCUAGCCUGGGUCGGCCAAAACCCGUAAACACUUCCGAUGUGAGUGGCUAGGGAUCCACUAUGAGGCUUUCACAAAAUACACUUAAUACGAAGCAACCCGCUACGGUUUCUAAAGACGAUGGUGGUGGCCCCCUGGGUGAGGUACCUUAGCCAAGAAUACGUCCCCAUGUUAACGUGGGCUGCCAACACCUACCGCUCCCCCUCUUGCCCAUAUUUCAGGUAAGGUUGCCAGACACUAAGCAUAUAAAGCUAGUUACCAAAGCCAGAGCCAUGAUAGCACUCAUGGUUGCACUGUUUUCCCGGGUGGUCACUCCAUGUUCCAAUUAAUAUGCAAUAAUCUUGUUUAACCAUCGGGUUAAUAACAAUAAUGUAAACUUACCAUUUUGGAACAUUAAUAUCAUAAGCGGGAGUGACUGCAUAAAGUUAAGUUGUAGCAAUAGCAUAGCUACGAAGGUAAAGUAUAAUUCCCAGGUUUGAUCAAGGAAUAAGGUUGGAAAGGUUAUCUAAAUAGGUAACCCAUCAAAUUAUGCAUAUAUAUCCAAAAGAAUAAACUUUAUUAAAUGUAUUGUUUGGGAUCAAACAGAGUAUGCAGAGGGAGAAGUCCACUUGCCUUGCUUAUUGAAAACUUGAGACUCUUCCACGGAUCUGAAUAGAUCUUGAUUCUUAACUACUAGAUCAACCACUGAAUAUCACACAAACAAACAAGAAGAAACAAACACCACUCAAUAACUUACAACAUUCACCAUACAUAAAGCUAAAAGAAAGCCUAACGAAAAGAGCGUUCGCUUUUAAAGAACAUCGCAAGUAAUGGUUAUAAUAAGAGGGUAUUCUUUUCAAAAAUGUGUGAUCUAUACUUUUGUCGGGGACCAUAAUUAGGGGUACCCUCAAGACUCCUAAUUCUCAGCUGGUAACCCCCAUCAGCAUAAAGCUGCUAAGGCCUGAUGGGUGCGAUUAAGUCAGGGAUCGGUCCAUUCGAGCGACUCGAUCACGCCUCGCCCGAGCCUAGCCUCGGACAAGGGCAGCCGACCCCGGAGGAUUUCCGUCUCGCCCGAGGCCCCCCUCCGACGGUGAGCAUAUUUCCGGCUCGCCCGAGGCCCUGCCUUCGCUAAGAAGCAACCCUGACUAAAUCGCCGCACCGACCGACCAAAUCGUAGGAGCAUUUAACGCAAAGGUGGCCUGACACCUUUAUCCUGACGCGCGCCCCCUAGUAGAGCCGAAGUGACCGCCGUCACUUCGCCGCUCCACUGACCGGCCUGACAGAAGGACAGCGCCGCCUGCGCCACUCCGACUGCAGUGCCACUUGACAGAGUGAGACUGACAGGCAGUCAGGCCCAAAGGCACCAUAGGAAGCUCCGCUCCGCCCGACCCAGGGCUCGGACUCGGGCUAAGUCCCGGAAGACGGUGAACUUCGCUCCGCCCGACCCAGGGCUCGGACUCGGGCUAAGUCCCGGAAGACGGCGAACUCCGCUCCGCCCGACCCAGGGCUCGGACUCGGGCUAAGUCCCGGAAGACGGCGAACUCCGCUCCGCCCGACCCAGGGCUCGGACUCGGGCUAAGUCCCGGAAGACGGCGAACUCCGCUCCGCCCGACCCAGGGCUCGGACUCGGGCUAAGUCCCGGAAGACGGCGAACUCCGCUCCGCCAGACCCAGGGCUCGGACUCGGGCUAAGUCCCGGAAGACGGCGAACUCCGCUCCGCCCGACCCAGGGCUCGGACUCGGGCUCAGCCCCAGAAGACGACGAACUCCGCUUCGCCCGACCCCAGGGCUCGGACUCUGCCCCGGCCUCUGCCGACGAUCUCCGCCUCGCCCGACCCAGGGGCUCAGACUCAGCCUCGGCCAUGGAAGACAGACUCGACCUCGGCUUCGGAGGAGCCUCCACAUCGCCCAACCUAGGGCGCAGGCCAGCCACGUCAACAGGAGGCGCCAUCAUCACCCUACCCCGAGCUGACUCGGGCCACAGGGAACAAGACCGGUGUCCCAUCUGGCUAGCUCUGCCAGAUAGGCAAUGAUGGCGCCCCGCAUACUCUGUGACGACGGCGGCUCUCAGCCCCCUUACGGAAGCAAGAGGACGUCAGCAAGGACUCAACCGCUCCGACAGCUGUCCCUCCGCCAGGCUCCAUCGCUCCUCCGACGGCCACGACAUCACACCAGCUGGGUGCCAAAAUCUCUCCGGCUGCCACAUCGGCAUGUACUUAGGGCGCUAGCUCUCCUCCGCUAUACACGUAGCACUCCGCUACACCCCCCAUUGUACACCUGGAUCCUCUCCUUACGCCUAUAAAAGGAAGGACCAGGGCCCUCUUAGAGAGGGUUGGCUGCGCGGGGUCGAGGACGAGACAGGCGCUCGCUUGGAAGCCGCUCGCUCCCUCACCCGCGUGGACGCUUGUAACCCCCUACUGCAAGCGCACCCGACCUUGGCGCGGGACGAACACGAAGGCCGCGGGAUUCCCACCUCUCUCACGCCGGUCUCCGGCCGCCUCGCUUCUCCCCCCUUCGCGCUCGCCCUCGCGCUCGACCCAUCUGGGCUGGGGCACGCGGCGACACUCACUCGUCGGCCCAAGGGACCCCCCGGUCUCGAAACGCCGACAGUUGGCGCGCCAGGUAGGGGCCUGCUGCGUGUUGACGAACAACUUCCCGUCAAGCUCCAGAUGGGCAGUCUCCAGCAACCUCUCCAACCUGGGACGGUGCUCCGUUUCGGGAGUCUUGAGUUCAUGUCCCUCGACGGCAGCUACGACAUGAUACUCCUUCCACCGCCGCGCGACAACGACAAUGGCGGCCGACAGCCCGCCAGCCGGCGGCGGAAUCGACGACGUCUUCCCCGCGUGGUGGAAGAACAACCUUCGAGCUCGUCCCGCCUUCUUCCCCGCCGACGAAGGGGAAGGCAGGGCAACCAAGGCCAAGCAGGAGGCAGCGCCUCGUUGGCUGUCGAGCGAGUCGACAGCGCCGGCACCCCAACGAGGGGCGCACCGGGUAUCGACUUCGCGCCUGAGACGAAGAAGAGCGCCGUCUCCCCGUGACACGCCAGUCCCGAGCAAGCGGACGACGCCAGCACGCUCGCAGAGAGCUUGCUGGACGUCACCCUCGUACCUGAGACGACGGUGCAGUUAGCCCCCGAUGUGACUUUAUCGCCGCUCGUCGACCAAGAGGUACUGACCAAUUCCCAUCCCACAUCAUUUGGAUUCAGCCUCAACCCGCCUAGCGACCUUGCUUUGGCGGGCGCUCUCAUAGAGGCGAGUCCAAACCCUCUGGGGUUUCGCAUGCGGUCGCCUUGGGACCGGCUGACGGACAUCUCGACCUACGGGCCCUCUGGGUCCGAGGAAGACGACGAGCCCAGCAUCUGUUGGGAUUUCUCUGGACUUGGCAACCCCAGUGCCAUGCGGGACUUCAUGACCGCAUGUGACUACUGCCUCUUCGACCGUUCCGACGGUAGCCGCAGCCUCGACGACGAGGACUGCGGCCCAAGCCGCGAAUGUUUCCACGUCGAUCUAGGGGGUCCCUCCGAAGGCAAUCAUCUCGGCAUGCCGGAGGAUGGUGAUCUCCCUAGGCCGGUGCCCCGCGUUGACAUCCCACGGGAGCUAGCUGUGGUCCCCGUUCAGGCGGGGGGCCAUGACCCACAGCUCGAGCAAAUCCGCGGGGUGCAGGCCAGGCUCGAUGAGGGAACAUGAGCGCUUGAGCCGAUCCGCCGGGACAUCGGGCAGGCAUGGGUGGGCCAACCCCCGGCCGGAGAAAUACGUCAUCUGCCCCAGGGCUUCCAGCACCGCGUCGCAGACGACAUCCGGUUCAGGCCGCCACCCGCAUCUAGUGGGGUCGGCCAGAACCUGGCCGCAGCAGCGAUGCUUCUCCGCGCGAUGCCGGAGCCAUCAACCACCGAGGGUCGGCGAAUCCAGGGGGAGCUCAAGAAUCUCCUGGAAGGCGCCGCGGUCCAAUGGGUCGAGAGCUCUGCCUCCCAAAGGCAGGGAUACCCCUCGGAACCUCAUGCCGCGACUUCCCGAUUCAUGCGGGAAGCCUCGGUCUACACCGGGCGCACGCGCAACACCGCGCCUGCGGCCCCGGGCGGCCUCGGCAACGAGCACCAUCACCGCGACCGUCGGGCCCACCUCGACGAGAGGGUGCGCCGAGGCUACCACCCCAGGCGUGGGGGACGCUACGACAGCGGGGAGGAUCGGAGCCCCUCGCCCGAACCGCCCGGUCCGCAGGCCUUCAGCCGGGCCAUCCGACGGGCACCGUUCCCGACCCGGUUCCGACCCCCGACUACUAUCACAAAGUACUCGGGGGAGACGAGACCGGAACUGUGGCUCGCGGACUACUGCCUGGCCUGCCAACUGGGUGGAACGGACGACGACAACCUCAUCAUCCGCAACCUCCCCCUGUUCCUCUCCGACACCGCUCGCGCCUGGUUGGAGCACCUGCCUCCAGGGCAGAUCUCCAACUGGGACGACCUAGUCCAAGCCUUCGCCGACAAUUUCCAGGGCACGUACGUGCGCCCCGGGAAUUCCUGGGAUCUCCGAAGCUGCCGACAGCAGCCGGGAGAGUCUCUCCGGGACUACAUCCGGCGAUUCUCGAAGCAGCGCACCGAGCUGCCCAACAUCACUAACUCGGAUGUCAUCGGCGCGUUCCUCGCCGCCACCACCUGCCGCGACCUGGUGAGCAAGUUGGGUCGCAAGACCCCCACCAGGGCGAGCGAGCUGAUGGACAUCGCCACCAAGUUCGCCUCCGGCCAGGAGGCGGUCGAGGCUAUCUUCCGAAAGGACAAGCAGCCCCAGGGCCGCCCAUCAGAAGAUGCUCCCGAGGCGUCUACUCAGCGCGGCGCCAAGAAGAGAGGCAAGAAGAAGUCGCAAGCGAAACGCGACGCCGCCGACGCGGGCCUUGUCGCCGCCGCCGAGUACAAGAACCCCCCGGAGGUGCCAACCUCUUCGACAAGAUGCUCAAGGAGCCGUGCCCCUAUCACCAGGGGCCCGUCAAGCACACCCUUGAGGAGUGCGUCAUGCUUCGGCGCCACUUCCACAGGGCCGGGCCACCCGCGGAGGGUGACAGGGCCCGCGACGAUGACAAGAAGGAAGAUCACCAAGCAGGAGAGUUCCCCGAGGUCCGCGACUGCUUCAUGAUCUAUGGUGGGCAAGCGGCGAAUGCCUCGGCUCGGCAUCGCAAGCAACAGCGCCGGGAGGUCUGCUCGGUGAAGGUGGCGGCGCCAGUCUACCUGGACUGGUCCGACAAGCCCAUCACCUUCGACCAAGCCGAUCACCCCGACCACGUGCCGAGCCCGGGGAAAUACCCGCUCGUCGUCGACCCCGUCAUCGGCGACGUCAGGCUCACCAAGGUCCUUAUGGACGGAGGCAGCAGCCUCAACAUCAUCUACGCCGAGACCCUCGGGCUCCUGCGCGUCGAUCUGUCCUCCGUCCGAGCAGGCGCUGCGCCCUUCCACGGGAUCAUUCCCGGGAAGCGCGUCCAGCCCCUCGGACGACUCGACCUUCCCGUCUGCUUCGGAACGCCCUCCAAAUUUCGAAGGGAGACUUUGACGUUCGACACUAGUAAGAAUGUGAUCAUCAGUGACGAUUUUCUAGUGACGCUGGUGACUUCAGUCACAGAUUGAUACAUUUCUAUGACCAAAUUGAUAGCUUCGUCAACAAUUACAAGGGACGAAGAUUAGACUUGAAUAUUAAAGACGAAAAUGAAAGGAACGUCAUAGACGAAAAUGAAAGGAACGUCACAGAUUAAUUUGGCUUGAUCGGCUGACGUAAUACUGAAAUAAAUUGGUCACAGAUGAGUUUUAGUAAAAAACGACCCACUUGUACACACGGCGUGGGAUCCUUGGCCUACAUGGGCCGCAGUUUUUUGGGACACAGCCCCCACCUGGCGACGCGGACCCGGCCCAGUACGAAGCGGCAGUUAGAUAUUUGGCAAAAAAAAGGUGCGCCUGCGGAGCUUCGAACUAGGGACUUGCGGCUUGCGUUAAAUCGUUGCUACCACCAGACUACGGACUUGUUCAUGUAUAUAAAGAAACUAUCCUUUUAUUAAUGUGUUCCCAUCUGUCGUUAUGUUAACAGGUUUCCCAGCCGCCAUUCUGCGAUCUGCAUGGUUCGCCUGUUCUGUUUUUUCCUGGUGCGAUCUGCGCUUCUGCGAUCGGCCGUCAGGUUACGGCACACAACGACGCCGGCGUCUGUCGUCGUCCGCUUGAUCGGCAACUGGGUAGCGUCGCAGCGAACGAGCGAUCUUGUCGCCUGAUCCAUUGAUCCAACUGUGUUGGAAGAACGACGUCGUCUGCAAACAGCGAGGCAGAGAAGCUUCGGGCGCGGCAAAGCAGCGGCGUCUUGCGCAUAGCUACGACGGGCGUGGACAGAACAGCGGCAGGGCGGGGAGAAAAGACAAGGUUUGAUGUGUUGUGUUUUUGACAAUAAGGUUCUAUGUGCGUUUGAAUUUUAUUUCAUAUAUGCAUGUGUUUGAUGUGGUUUUCAAUUUUGUUCGAUGUAAUCAUAGUUAUGGAGUUAAUGCAAGUUUUAAUUUAUUGUCAAAAUAGAUGGGUAGAAGAUGGGUUUAUGGGAAACAAUUCACACCUGCAUAUGUGAAAGGAGUUGAAGAGUUCAUGAAUUUUGUUACUGAAAGAUACCCAGAAGACACAGACAUUCGUUGUCCGUGCGUGAAUUGUCUUAAUCAAAGGUUGCGACCUCAGAGUGAAGUAGAAACUCAUAUACACAUUUAUGGAAUGUCAGCUACAUACACGAGGUGGAUUCAUCAUGGGGAGUCGGCAGAUACAGAAGUUGAGGGUAUAGAGGAGGAUGUCGAAGGAUAUGAUAAUGACUUUGGGAUACAUAUGGAUGUGGACGAUGAUAUUUACGAUGAUGAUCAUGGAGUACCUGAGAUGAUCGGUGAACUGUUUGCAGCGGCAGAGGCUGAUGGAGAAGAGCCAAGAUUUGCAGGAGUUCUUGGAGAUUCAAAGAAGGCACUUAGUCCGGGUUCUAGCCAUUCAAAAUUUUCUUUUAUGGUGAGGAUGUUGUAUAUGAAGUCUCGUUAUCGAAUCAGCAAUACAGCAUUUUCAGCAAUGAUGAAGCUGAUGUCCGAUGGAUACCCUAAUAGUGAGUUGCCAAAAUCAUAUAAUGAGGCCAUGAAAUAUCUUAAAGAAUUGGGCCUUGGAUACGAAAACAUCCAUGUGUGCAAGAACAAUUGUGUGUUGUUUCGGAAUGUUAAUGCUAAAUUGAAUGAGUGCCCAGUAUGCACGGAGUCUAGAUGGAAAGAUGAAACUGGUUCGAAGCGGGUUCCACAUAAGGUUUUGAGGCAUUUUCCACUGUUGCCAAGGUUGAAAAGAAUUUUUGCUUCAAAACAAACUUCAGAGGAAACACAAUGGCACAAGAAAGUGAGGAAGCCAGUCGCCAAUGUGAUGAGCCAUCCAGCUGAUGGGGAAGCGUGGAAGGACUUUGACCGAAAGUACCCAGGUUUUGCAAAUGAUCCGAGGAACCUGAGGCUAGCCUUAGCUACCGAUGGAUUCAAUCCAUUUGGAAACAUGAGUACCCAGUACAGUAUGUGGCCAGUGCUUGUGACACCGCUUAAUCUCCCACCAUGGGAAUGCGUGAAUCCAACAAACUGCUUUAUGUCUUUACUCAUCCCAGGUCCAAGAUGUCCAGGAAAGGAUUUUGAUUUGUUCCUUGAGCCCCUAAUUGAAGAACUGCUGAAGCUAUGGAAGGGUGUCAAGACAUAUGAUGCAUGUACUGGUAGGAAGUUCGACCUUCGUGCUGCUGUACUAUGGUGUAUACAUGAUUAUCCAGCGCUGGCCACGUUAUCUGGGCGAACAACAAAAGGGUAUUAUGCAUGUAUUUAUUGCGACAAGAAUCCGUUGUCUAUGGCAAUAAGGAACAAGUUAUGCUACAUUGGACAUCGUCGUUACCUUAAAAGGACACAUUCAUGGCGGAAUAGCUUGGAUUUCAAUGGUAAGCGUGAAAACAAAGUUGUGCCUGGCAGGUUCACUGUGGAUGAGGUCCUACAAGAGCUAGAGAAGGUGAAAGAUGUCAGACCAGGGAAGCAGGCUGACAUUACUGGAAAUAAAAGGAAGCGUAGUAGUGACGGUCCAAAGAUUUAUAGCCGGAAAUCUGGGUUAUGGCAAUUGCCAUAUUGGAAAGAUUUGAUGCUUCCACAUAAUCUCGAUGUGAUGCACAUAGAGAAAAAUGUAUGUGAAAAUAUUCUUUGCACACUACUUAGUAUACCAGGCAAGUCCAAGGACACACAUAAUGCAAGGCUAGAUUUGUAUGAUAUGGGCAUAAGACCUGAACUGCACUUGCAACAAGAUGGCAACUCGGCCUGCAGGGCUCCACCUGCUCCAUAUGUGUUGGGGAAGGAUCAGAAAGUCGAGUUUUGCAAGUUCCUCAAAGGUAUCAAGUUUCCUGAUGGAUUUGCGGAUAACCUAGCAAGAUACAUAAGUGAAGAUGGUUCAAAGGUGGUUGGAAAACUGAAAACACAUUCUUGCCACAUACUCCUACAGAGAAUCAUAGCCGCUGGCCUUAGAGGACUGGUGAGGAAGGAUGUAUAUGAAGCAAUUGCAGAGCUGGGGACCUUCUUCAGGGAACUAUGUAGUAGAAAUCUACGGAUAGAUGUUGUGCAACGGCUAAAAGGAGAUAUUCCAUUGAUCCUAUGCAAGCUUGAGAAAAUAUUUCCACCUGCCUUCUUUGAUGUCAUGGUGCACUUGAGUGUCCAUCUUCCCGAUGAGGCAAUGCUUAGAGGACCUGUUCAGUAUGGAUGGAUGUACCCAAUAGAAAGGCGACUAGGCACUUUGAAAAAUUUUGUAAGGAACAGGGCUAGGCCGGAAGGAUCAAUUGCUGAGGCAUAUAUGGCAAGUGAUACCUUAACAUUUUGUUCUAGGUACAUGAAGGAUGUUGACACUAGAUUUAACCAGGAUGAUGAUAGUGGUACAGAGAUGCCAUUGCCUAAUGACAUGUCUGUUUUUAAGCAUGGUGCUACUCUUGUUGGAGGUACUAAGACUGAGUACAUUGAUGAUGCUACCAUGAAUAAGUUAGUUUGGUAUGUGCUACAUAAUGCUGAUGAAGUACAGGAAUAUUUGACGUAAGUUAGUUUGGUAUGUGCUACAUAAUUUAUGUUAUGUUUAUUAAAUUUGCAAAUAUGCUUAUGAAUAAAGUAUGCCAUGCAGUCUGUACAGGGAGGAGCUAUCGCAGCAAGGUGCACGUCCAAAUGAUGUUGAUCGAAUGGUUCAACAAGGAUUUGCAAAGUGGUUUAUGUCCCAUGUAAGUCACUAAACUUUUAUGUUAUAGGUUUACUAAAGUUUUGGGUAUGCAUAUGUAAUUGCUCAGCUGAGUAAUUUUGUUGCAACAGGUUGAGAAGAAGCGUAAUGAGAAUCCAGAAUUGGUUAGCGAAGGACUGUGGGCACUGUCAUGUGGCCCAGCUCGGCGAGUUAAGACUAGUACAACUUGCAAGAUUAAUGGAGUGCGGUUUAGCACAGUGGAUCGUGAGAAGUUCAUGCAGACACAAAAUAGUGGUGUAAUGACUGAAGGUGAACAUAAUGGGGAGAACAUAGAUUUUUAUGGUGUCCUUAAAGAGGUAAUUGAGUUACAAUAUAACUCGAAUUAUCAAGUUCGUCGGUCGGUGGUUGUAUUUCGAUGCGAUUGGUACAACCAAGUAGGAAAGACUGUGGGCAUUCGAGAUGACAGCCAUUUCAAAUCCAUCAAUGUGCAGUCAUUUUGGUACAAGUCCGAUCCUUUUAUCUUGGCAGACCAAGCGAAAAAGAUAUUUUACCUGCAAGACACAACUCCACAAUGUAAAGAUUUCCGAGUUGUGCAGAAAUUUGAGCAUAGGAAUAUUUAUGAUGUGGCUGAAAAAUAUGAGGGCAAUAAUGAUGUGCAUCAGGAUGAUUAUUGUUCUGAUACAGACCAUAUAGUGCAAGAAGGUGAUGAUAAUCAGGUUCUGCACAAUGUUGAAGGUGGAGAAGCCAGUCUAAUUGAAGGCAAUUUAGAGGAACUAAUAAGAAAAAAAGAAGGAAGCUGCUAUUAUUCUUAAAGAUAGUGAGGAUGAGGAGGAAGAUGAUACAAUGUUUCAAUAUUUUAAUGAUGGUGGCGAUGACAACAAUGAUGACAUGUCUAUAGAAGAUGAAGAUGAGGAUUUCUAGUAUUGAUAGUUGAUUUAUGAAGUGUUCAGUUCAGAUUAGUACGGAUAGAUGAUACAAUGUAUUUUCUGUAUUUUCAGAACUGAAUGUGUGUCUGAAAUACUGAAUUUGGGGUGAACUGAACUUGUGGUGAACUGAAUGUGUAUUAAUCUGAACAUCUGAGCAAGUUUUAAUUUAUUGUCAAAAUUUAAGCUGGGUUUUAAUCUGAAAAUGCAGAACUCUGAACUGAUCUCUGAAAAUGAAAUGACCAUCUGGGCAGUUUAGAAUCUGAACUUUGAACUGGGCAGUUUAGAAUCUGAUUGCUUUGAACUUUGAACUGGGCAGAGUUCUCAGAUUGCUUGAACUGGGCAGUUUAGAACUCAUUAGUUUAGAACUCAUUAGUUUAGAAUCUGAACUGGGCAGUUUAGAACUCAUUAGUUUAGAAUCUGAACUUUGAACUGGGCAGAGUUCUCAGAUUGCUUGAGAAUUUAUGAACUUUGGCUGGUUUUGUGGAUUUGAAUCUGAACUUUGAACUUUGGACUGAGCUAUAUAUCUCAGAGAACUGAACUUUGAACAAAUAGAUAACCAACAAAUCUGAGCUGGUUUUUUGGAUUUGAAUCUGAACUUUGAACAAAUAGAUAACCAACAAAUCUGAGCUAGUUUUGUGGAAUUGAAUCUGAACUUUGAACAAAUAGAUAACCAACAAAUCUGAGCUGGGCAGCAAUCUGAACUGGGCACCAAUCUGAACUGGGCAGCAGAGUUUACUCUGAACUGAACAAUCUGAAAAUGCAGACUCUGAACUGGGCGCUCGGUUACAUCCUGGACAGAGAACAGUUUAUGCUUAAAUAUAAAUGCGCUCUGUUACUAACGAACAAACGUGACUAGUCCAAUGGUAACUCCUUGCUGCUGUGAACCUUGGCGUCUUGUGUUCGAGCUUUGGGAUAGGUAGGUUUUUUUUGUUUUGUUUACAUUUUUCAAUCAUUUUCGAAUUUUUCUUUUAUUUAUUUACAUGUAUAGCACCUGUUUCUCCAAAUCAUUUCAACCUUUUUUUGGGGUGUUAAUGGAGGUGUACCAUGAUGUUUUGUGCCGGUGCAAUUUUUAGAACUAGUUUAACUAUUAAUGUAAGUAUUUGUUAUUUUACUAAAGAAUAAGUGCUAAAAAACCUUAGGUAGCUAGAAAAAUCUAUAAACUUGCAUGUACACUUCAUUUUGGUGUACAAUGUUGACAAAAACAUGCAAUUUGUUCUGACAAAGUGGUGACAUACAUCCUACAAAAAUGCAUACAGCCCUCAUAUAAGGCUAAUUACUAAGUGAGACAUGUUCAUGCUUGUGAUGGAUCUAUACUACCACUUUCUCCAAAUCAUUUUAAACUUUAAUGGCAUGUUUAUUGAACCAACCUAUGAUGUUGUGUGCAGUUAUGCAUUUUUCAGACCUAGUUUACUAAUUACUGUAAUUAUUUGUUGUAUUUCGUAAAUAUAUUUGUUACAAUACCAUAGCCUAGCUAGAAAACUCUAAAAACUUGCAUGGACCAUUCAUUUUGGUGUACAAUGUUCACAAAAUAGUUUCAACUCAUUCGGACAAAGUGGUGACACACAUCCUAAGAAAGGCAUACAUCUCUCAUACAAGGCUAAUUACUAAGUGAGACAUGUUCAUGCUUGUGAUGGAUCUAUACUACCACUUUCUCCAAAUCAUUUUAAACUUUAAUGACAUGUUUAUUGAACCAACCUAUGAUGUUGUGUGCAGUUAUGCAUUUUUCAGACCUAGUUUACUAAUUACUGUAAUUAUUUGUUGUAUUUCGUAAAGAUAUUUGUUACAAUACCAUAGCCUAGCUAGAAAACUCUAAAAACUUGCAUGGACCAUUCAUUUUGGUGUACAAUGUUCACAAAAUAGUUUCAACUCAUUCGGACAAAGUGGUGACACACAUCCUAAGAAAUGCAUACAUCUCUCAUAUAAGGCUAAUUACUAAGUGAGAGAUGCUAUUGCAAGUGAGAGAUGUAUAGUACCACUAUUGCAAAAAUAUUUCAAAAUAUUAUAACAUGAUCAUAAACCCAACUAAUGUGUCUAUGAAUAGAUAAUUGCAAAACAAAACAUAGAGAUAAAUAAAAAACAAAGAAUUAAUAUAAAAUGGUAUGCAAAACACAAAAAAAGUCUCCUUGCAGGCGCUUGAACCUUGGAGCUCGGCCUUAUAGUUAGCAAGUCAAACCAUUGGGCUAUGCACGUGUUUUCGACAUAUACCCAGCGCUAGUAUACUUAAACGCAUUAGACUCCGCAUUGCCAAACACAUUGGGCGCCAAAAACAUUUUCGCCGUCGUCACUAAAACAGACUCCGCUCUCAUCCUCUAUCUCCCGCACUCCUCUUAUUUCUCCCCCACUCUUCUUUCUCCCCCACUUCUCCAAACCUAAUCGCCGCCGCCGGGACACGACGGCUGUCGACGACCUGCCCCCUCGACCAGGAACCUCACCGCCGCCGCUGGGACACAUUCGCCGUCGACGACCUGCCCCCUCGACCAGGUACCUCACAGCCGCCCCCUUACCUCUAAUUCACUCGCCGCAUCCCGCUCUAUCUCAUUGCCAUCCGCAUUUCUCUCGCCCCUUCCACCUAACACGCCCCAUCCACAUUGCUCUCGCUAACCCCUAAACCCUAACAUCGCUGGAUUUGGGUCAUCGCAGACGACCUUGAUGGUGAACAAAAGGAGGCACAGAAGUCAGAAAGGUCCAACCCCUAAACCCUAAGCAUCGCUAGAUUUAGUUUAAUUAUUCAUUCGUUGUUAUCAGAGAUAUUGUAUAUUGAUUUAUGUAAUCAUUGUGCACUCAUACAGUUGUGUUUGGUUCCUUACAUUGUGUUAUAUGCAGUCACAUCCAUGUUUUAGUAGAGAACUUAUGUUUCUAGUACUGGUAGACAAGGUUCAAGAAAGCGCGAUUAGGCGUGCGAUUAGGCGCGGUUAAGCGCUGCGCAGAGGGUCAACGCAUCGCUUACCUACUAAGCGGGCAAUUAAGCGCUGGCCCUGCUUAAUCGUGCCCAUUCGACAUGUUUAAGGGAGUAGAGGAGGGAGAGGAAGAGGAGGAACACCUCCGGGGUCAAUCCAGCAGGCAGCAAAUCGACGGAUCAACGAGAGAGAGAGAGAGAGCGGACGGACCUACGAUGGCUGCAGGCAGCAGAUUGGUGAGAGAGAGAGGCGGAGCGGCUUCACGGUAGAGGUGAAGAUCGCACGAGGGAGGAGAGGCUUCGGGAGAGGGAGCCGGAGAGCGUACGGCACGGAGGAGGAUAGGCUUCGGGAGAGGGAGGCGGAGAGCACAGGGCGGCGGCGCGGGGCGUGGAAGGAGGCAGCAGAGUACUAGGUCAUCACGGGAGAGGGGUUUUGCGUUGAGCCUCCUGGCAGGUGGGCCUAGUGGGCUGCAGACUCAUGAAGAGAGGAGGUGGGGGUUAAGGGCUGCUGCAGGGUGGCCCAAUAUCAUGUAUUUUUUUCUUUUUUAACAAAAAUGAUUAAGCACGAUUAAUCACGCUUAAGCAUUUUCACCACCAUACCGCUCGCUCAGCGCUUAGUGCUUUCUUGAACCUUGCUGGUAGAAAGAGAUGAGAAUAUCUUCACUUUUUUUGUUCAUCAGCUUGUGUAAAUCUACAUCGCCUAAUCAAUGUACUAGCUAGUACUUUGAACAUUGUUUAAGCCUGCAUAAAGAUUUCCACAACCAAACAGGGGAAACACUACAGUUACAGUGCAACCACAAUUAUGAACUUGCACAAUCAUAACCAAGCUUCAUAAUGACUGAAUCUACACAUCUUAUCUAUUUGCUUUUAGUCAAAUCCUUCCCUGCAAAUAGUAGUACCUCUUAGCUUUUAGUAAAAUCCUUUACAUUAUCUAAUACACACAGUAUGCUUGUUCUUAUCUAUCUUGCAAGUAGUUCAACAUGAGCGAACUGCUUAUGAGAGAAGACGGGAUAAACAAGUGGAGGAGAAUAUAAAGAAGAUGCAAGAUUUGGGUCUGAACAAAUAUACUUCUGUUCUAAAUAAUUCUGUCUCACCAUCUGCAUCAACAAAGGGGAAACAUGCAGCAAACAAGAUAAAUAAUAGUUCAGAUUCGGAUUCAUAUGUCUCUUUCUAUCUCCUUGACGAUGAUGAUCAAGGAGAUACUGAUGAUGACAGUGAAUAUUAUGAGCAGCCAAAACCCCUGGCAAUGAAGGUGCUCCUUCUAUCUUCAAAGUAGUGGAUGCCAAAUAGUUGCAUUGCAUUUCAAUGUUUUUUAUCUGGUGUUUAAUAUAUGCUCAUGCCUUUAGAUUCAUAUUCUUUAUUUCAUACCUCUUAAUUAAUAUAUGGUCUUGCUUUUAAAUGCACAUGACUAUUUUUUUGUGGACAGUAUCCUAGAAGAGGUAGAAACACAACCCUUGCUUCAAAGAAGAAGAUAGACCCCAACAUGGCUCCAGGCAUUAGGUUCAGCAAGAGAGUGAGGGCAGGUGCACAACCAGAGGAGCAAUCUUCAAAAAGGUUUCACUCUACAGAGACAGAUGGCCACAAUGUACAGGAACCAACAGAUGGAAAUGAUCACAUACCAAACAGCCCUACUACACCUGGACUUGCUGAUCAUUUCAGCAGAGCUGCAGAGGAAGCCAUGGCAUCUGCUGCUCAUGACAGUACAGGUGAUGCUGAAGGCAACAGCCGUACUACACCUGGACUUGCUGAUCAUUUCAGCAGAGCUGAAGAGGAAGACAUGGCAUCUGCUGCUCAUGACAGUACAUGUGAUGCUCAAGCCAAUGUAGCUAGAGAUGAAGAAACUGAAGGCAAGUUCUAUUUUUUCAGUCAAAUAAGGCAUCUCUUUUGCUGAUUUGCAUGAAACAAAACAAUUUCAUUAUUCAAUAAAAGCGAAUUAUAUUUUGUAGCUCCUACACAGCGAGCACCAAGGAGACCCAGGGCAGCAACCAAGGGAAAACAACUGGACAGGAUGACUAAAGUUAUGCAAAGGAGACUGCCCAUAGCUGUUGAGGAAGGCAAAAAAAGGCCACAUGAACCUGUUCAAGCUGCCAAGUUUGCAUCAGAGGCUGGCAUCAUUAUUCGGGAAACCAUGCCUAUCCUAACUCGUUGGAAAGAUUACAAGGACGACCAGAAAUACUACAACAGCUUUGUGUCACAGCUAAAUGUAAGUGCAUUACUGAUUCUAUGGUUCACUUGUAUACUGCUUAACCUGAAUUGACUAACUAUGGAAUUGUCAUAUGCAUAGGGGCGCUUGUCCGUUAACACUGAGGACAAGGCAACAAAGGAAGCUUGCACCGAUAUGCUACGCUCUGCGGUAAAAAACCAGCGUUAUCGACUCAAGCAGAAAUACUUCAAUGGUGAACCUGCAAAUGAGAUUAGCACAACUUCUCCUGUAUCUUACAUGACUGAUGAACAGUGGAGGGCAUUAGUUGCAAAGUGGUCUGAUCCAAAGAACAUGGUAUGGGUAUCUUGUCAUAUAUUGUUCUUUCACUAUACGUUUGCAAAGGAUCUUCGCAUAUUGAACCUAUGAUCUAAUCUGACAUGUUCAUUCUCUUGUAGGAAAUAAGUGAAAAGAACAAGCAGAACCGCAGUCAAGUAAAGUUUCAUCAGGCUACGGGUUCUCGCUGCUAUGUGGCACACUUACAUGCAUAUGUAAGUAACUAUUACCUUGUACUACUACCUGCACUUUUGCACUCAACUUCUAUUGCAUUUGAUCUGAGCAAACUUCGCUGUGAUUGUUUAUCCACGAAACAGAAGCAGAAGAGAAACCGAGAAGAACCCAGCUUAGACCAGACUGAAGAACUAGAUGCGGUGGACGCCUUCAAGACCUGUCAUACCAGCUCCAAACGUGGCCUGAGUGAACCGGCAAGAGAAGCACUUGUAAGUUCAUUUGUUUUCUUUAUUUAGUGUAAUUUUUAUGAGAUCAUAUGAGGGAGGCUGGCUGUGGGUCGAUGGAACGAAGGGGAGUGAGAUCGAUGAGUGAGAUCGCUUGUCCCAUCCCAGGGGAGUUCAGAUCAUAGUCUAUUUUGUCUGCCAUUUGUCUGCCAUCAAAUUUCUGAAAUGAAAGUAAAUAUCAUAGUCUAUUUUUUGUAGGACCCGUGCACUAGAAAUGUAUAGGUUUUAGAGUCUUUGUUAAGCAAAUCUGCUAUAAUUUGUAACUGUUUUCACAUUAUUUUUCAUAGUCUAUUUAUAGAGUCUUUCAAAUGUAUAGCUUUUAAUUUGCCAUCAAAUGUAUAGCUUUUAAGCAAAUCUGCUAUAAUUUGUAACUGCUAUAAUCUGCUAUAAUUUGCCAUCAAAUGUAUAGCUUUUAGAGUCUGUCAGUCUAUUUUUCAUAGUCUUUGUUAAUGCCUUGUAGGACCCGUGCACUAGAAAUGAAAGUCACUGUUUUCACAUUAUUGUCAGCAUCUUGCUGUUGCUCAUUAGCAAUAACAUGUAACUGUUUCUGUCCAUGAUAUUUUAGUCUCAUAUGGAGGCUUUGAGGGCUGAACCUGUUGCCGAAGGUGAGAUGCCAGCAUCCAGUGUGCACCUUGUGUCGAAGGUGCUGUCCCAGAGCAGCUCACACCAAUUCCUGAAAAGCGUCGGCAUCAAAACAUCGGCAACCUCCAAGGCUUCAUCAUCAAAUCAUAGUGAGCUUCGGGAACAACUUGCAGCUGAAGCGACGGCUGCUGUUCAAGGUGAACUCGACCAGCUCAGGAAGAAAUGUGAAGAAGCUGAGGAACAGCAGGCGAGGACACAAAGGGAGUUGGAGGAGUACAAGAAGAUAACAGAGAAGAACAGCAAGGAGAUGGAGGAGACCAAUGUGCUCAUCAAGAAGCUCUUGUCCUUGCAUGGUAACUCUUCUUCGACAUGAGGGCUGCUAGUCAGAGCUGCUGUUUUUGGCCUGUUCUUUGACAUGAGGGUACCCAAAAACUCUAGUUGCUCGUGGGUGUCAACUUUUGAUUAUAUGCUGUUAUGUUUGUGCAAACUCAACUGAAAUGUGAACUCAAGUGGUGAUGCUAUGAACUGAGUUUAGUGUUGUCCACUUAGUUUGUAUGCGCACUGGAAUACUAGUUGUAUUCAUCUAUGGAAUAUGGAAUUGUGUGCUCAUUCCUCUGUUCUAGUAUAUUUUGCAAUUUCCAAUAAAAUUAUUCUCUGCACAUCUGUGACCAAACUGGUGGCAUAUAAUAAAACAUAUGCCACGUCAGCUGCCACUGUACUAGCCACGUCAGCGUUACGUCAGCGCUGACGUCAGCUGCCACGUCACUAUCCACGUCAGCGCUGACGUCAUACGCAUCAGCACCUUCCAAACGGCUGGUAAUGACCAAACCACGGCUCUAUCUGUGACGAUACCUUACCGUCACAGCAACCAAACGACGUUAACAACGCCGUCAGUUUGCUCGGGCAGACGACGCAUUAUGACGGAAAAGUGUCUUCCUCUAUGACCACAACUGAUCGUCAUAGCAUGCAUUCACUUCCAUGACAACGCGACUUUCGUCACAGAAUGUAUACACAUCGAUGACGAAACUGAGUAGUCCGUCACAACACAACAAAUGUGACGCGACCCCUAUGACCAAAUCGAACUCGUCACAAAUUCGUCACAAACCUUACUCUGUGACGAUAUAUACACAUGCAGUGACGCAAUACGAACGUCAUCGAUGAUAAGAUCUCUACUAGUGCGAGGUGGUCGGGUUCCGAGGAACCUACCACGCGGUACUGGGAAGGCCAUGCUACGCGAAGUUCAUGGUUGUCCCCAACUACACCUACCUGAAGCUCAAGAUGUCGGGCCCCAACGGGGUCAUCACCGUCGGCCCCACGUACAAGCACGCGUUCGAAUGCGACGUGGAAUGCGUGGAGUACGCCGAGGCCCUCGCCGAGUCCGAGGCCCUCAUCGCCGACCUGGAAAGCCUCUCUAAGGAGGUGCCAGACGUGAAACGUCAUGCCGGCAACUUCGAGCCAGUGGAGACGGUUAAGGCCGCCCCCCUCGACUCCAGCGGCGACGCCUCCAAGCAGGUCCGGAUCGGCUCUGGGCUCGAUCCCAAAUAGGAAGCAGUGCUCGUCGACUUUCUCCGCGCAAACGCCGACGUUUUCGCGUGGAGUCCCUCGGACAUGCCCGGCAUACCGAGGGAUGUUGCCAAGCACUCGCUGAAUAUUCGGGCCGGAGCCCGACCCGUCAAGCAGCCUCUGCGCCGAUUCGACGAGGAGAAGCGCAGAGCCAUAGGCGAGGAGAUCCACAAGCUAAUGGCGGCGGAGUCCAUCAAAGAGGUGAAAAGCGCCAAGCUCAAUCCUGGUCUUGGGGUUUAUCAUCUCCAGGCGGGGCAUCGAAGCCCACCCGGAGAGGAUCGCGACCAUCGCACAGCACCCCGAGCCCUUGUUGGGAGCACCCGGGGGCUACACACACCCCCGGGAAGGACCGCUUGUCAUCACCAACGUUCUGAAGCUCGGAACGUACAAGCUGGCCAACAGUCAAGGCGGGGUCUACGGCAACGCUUGGAACAUCCAACAGUUACGUCGCUUCUACCCUUAAGAUGUUUUCAAGUUGUUCGUAUACCUCGCUCCCACGCAAGUCUUAGUCGUCAAGGAAGGGUCAGCCUCGCCUCGGUAGAGCCUGACCCUCCCUCGGGGGCUAAAAAGGGGGGAACCCCUCUGCGUCCAAAAUUUUCAAUCAAAAAGGCUUUUACGUUCCCCCGGUUAUGUCAGAAGCAGGACCCCAAGGAGCGAACGUGGGUGCAUGUAAGUGGCAAGGCCGACUGAGCCGAGGUACUCCCAUGCCUCCGGGUUAGGGACAUCUCACUCGGCUUCUGACCCCAAGGAGCAAACGUGGGUGCAUGUAAGUGGCAAGGCCGACUGAGCCGAGGUACUCCCAUGCCUCCGGGUUAGGGACAUCUCACUCGUCACCCGCCACGAAAAGUGACCCCUACUUGGGGAAGCAACCCUGCUACUGACAGGCGAAGCUGGACACGCAAAAUAAAAGGAAAAGAAGUACGACUUCAUGCAACAGUAACAAAGUGUUCAGGCCUCAGCGGCCACAGAAAGACACACGCGCAUCCAACAGAAACUGUUCCAACAAGUUAGGCGUCGCCUUGGGAAGGAUCCGCGCCUUCAGCUCCGUCCCCACCUUCAACGAGGUUCAUCUCGGCUUCCAGCGAUGGCGCAGGUGGGAGGAUCUCCGCUUCAAAGGUGGUCGCCAGCACUGCGCUCGGACCCGCGGCGGCCGCAUCGAGCCUCUGGACUUCUGCCAGGGCGGCUUCAUCUUCGUCGGGAAGGCAAUACCCCUCGCUAACCCGCUCCAGGUCCACAACAUAGUGGGAAGCGAGAACGGCGAAGGCCCGCCUGACGCCGUGGUGUAGCGCCUCGCGGAGUCUGCCGCGCACAUGAUCGCCCAAGACUUGAAGGCGACUUUGAGGGGAGCUUCCUGAGGGGACGUCGCCGAAGCCAAGGAUCCGGUAAACGUCCGAGACGGCUUCGGACAUGGCCGUGUGGUCAGCCUCCCUCUGCUCGGCCGCCCCGGCAAGCGCCUCGGCAAGUGCCUUGGCGGACUCAUCAAGGGCGGACUCGAGCUCUGCGAACAGCCAGAAGAGAGAUCUCAAACACAAGCAGAGGAAACAAACAGGAACGAAAACCAAGGAUGGCCAAGGCGUACCUCUGGCUCGGGCACGCUGCUCCGAGGCUGCGACCUGGGCUACGGCUAAGUCGGCUGCAAGGGUUUCGGCCCGGCUUUCGGCCUCGGCAGCCCGACCUCGAGAUUGGUCCCGCUCCUCAACGACCCGGUCGAACUCCGACCGCUGUCGUUGCGCUUCUGCACGCGCCGCGGCCGCCUCCGCGCGCGCCGCUGCCGCCUCGGCCCUCAGGUCGGUGCAGAGCAACUGGAGGUCCGCUACCUCGGCACCCUGCUGAGAAAGGCGCGCAGUAGCCCCGGCGAGCGAGGUCCUCAGGGAUCGCAGCGAGCCCCAGAUGUCGACCUCGCGGCGGAUGAACGACGACUUGGCGGCGCUCCGAUCCGUCAGAUCCUGAGGGAAGGAAGCGGGGCGUCACGAAGAACGCCUCGGUCACAGAAGAGAAAAGGUAUGCCUGAAGCCAUUACCUGGAGGAUUUUGGGGAUGUCCCUGCAGAAAACCUCCAGCGACGACCGGAGCGACCCCACCGUUGCUUCAGCACACUCGUGGAGCUCAUCCCAGGACUGGUUCUCCCGUUCAUCGUCGAGAACGAAGACGGGGUCCGAGGCCUCACGGGUCCAGAACCGGAGCAACUGGCGCCGGCCCUCGGAGCUCUGCCGCACAACGACGAGGCUGCCGCUCGGCGGGACGGAUUGCGUCUCCACGCCCCCCUCUACCGAGGCGCCAAGCACCAACGCAUCAGCCGUCUCAACGUCGGCAGCAACCGAUCGCUCUCCGACUGGGACGGCGGCGACUUCAGUAGCGGCAGGCGCCGGCAUGGCCGGCACAUCCGGUGGGCUCGGGACCACGUCAGUGUCAGCCGCCUCCUCUAUCACAAUGGCCGCCUCGGCAGAAGAGCCAGCCUCGGGAACCUGCUCCACGGCGACCGGUGCCGCCUGAGCCCCCUGCGGUGGAACGCCUUGCGAGAAGGUCGGCUGGACGGCAAGGCCUGGAGCGGCGCUGGCUACGCGAGCCGGCGCCGUCUUAAGGGCCUUCCGGGGUGCCAGGUCGGUCAGGCCAUGGCUCCGCUUGCUGAGGGAAAAAGGAAAAUCACGGCCGGGACAUAUGAAUGAAAAGCCAGGACGAAGACAUUCCGAGAUACUUACCCGCUCCGGGCCAUGAUCAACCGUGCCUGGGGGGAAGUCUCUUGGACCUCGACCCCCGGAACCGCCGCCGAGGUCCGCUUCACCGGCAGCUUCGGCACCACCCUUGCUUUGAGCGCCCUGGACGCCCGGGGGGCGGACUGCCCAGGCACUGUCACGGCGACCUGAGGGUCGCUCCUCUGCGCUGCCGGUGGCUCUCGGGGAGCAGACGCUCCGGCCUGGCCCCCCGGGGUCGCCUCAGCUCUUCCAGCCGAGGGGUCCGGUACCCUCUCGGAUUGCCCCCGCCCCUCGGGCUGGGACCUCGGCGUCUCGACCCCGGGGACUGACAGCAUCAGCCCGCUCGGGGGCUGGUUUGACGGCUCCUGGCCAAACCCCAAGCCAAGGCUGAGGCCGAGGCGUGCAGCCAUGUCGUCCUCCUCGUCAUCAUCUUCAUCAUCGUCGUCGUCGUCGGGCGUUUCCGGCGACGGCUCCCUCGGGAGCCCCUCCCUCUCCUGCCGGCGACGAAGCUUCUCCAAGGCGUCUCGGGCCCGCCUCCGCUCACGGGCCCGGCCCUUCUCCGCGUCCUUCUUCUUCUUCUUCUCCUCCGCGGCGACCCGCCGCGCUGCUCGGUCCAUCACAUCCUGCGGGACCCGUGGCAGGGAAGGCUUGUGCCACCCCACCUCCUAAAGAAGGGGGAAAACCCCAACCGUAAGAACCAGGAGCAACCCGAUGCAAGAGGAAGGAAGAAGCGGACACUCACCAGAGUCACGCACCCUUGGUCUGGGCGCAUCAAAAGCUGGGAGUAGGCGGUGGGGUCCAGCUUCCCCAACGCGACGGACACCCGCCCGUGGAGGGCGUCGAAGGGAAGAGGAUCAGAGGACAUCCGCGAGCCCUCCAAGUCAGCCUCCAGUGUCAUCUCCCAAAGCGACAGCCGUCGCUCCGCCAAGGGAAGCACCCUCCGACGGUGGAUGGCGGCGAUCACUCCCGCAGCGGUGAGUCCCCCCUUCCGCAACGCCUCCAAGGCAUGGAGAAGGGGUUCAAGGUUCUUCUGUCUUUCGUGCGGGGUCCCGUGGCGCCAAGCGUCGGUGGCAGUGGUGACUACUCGCUGGGAGAACGACGGGAGCAACUCGCCGUCAUUCCGGAGGUAGAACCACCAGCGCUGCCACCCCUUGUUCGAGGACGCGAGGAUGGCAGGAAUAUACAGCGACGCCCGCGACUGCCUCAGCAGGAGGGUGCAGCCGCCGGCCCGCACCGCUGCGCGGACUUUCCUCUCCCCCGUCGGCGAGGCAAAAAGCUCCGCGAAAAAGAGAUGGGUCCACAAAUCCCAAUGGGGGGCGAUCCCCAAGUACCCCUCGCACACCGCUACAAAGAUGGCGGCCUGCGAAAUGGAGUUGGGGGUGAGGUUGUGCAGCUCCACCCCGUAGUGGUGCAGGAUCGCCCGCAUAAAGCGGCCCGCCGGCACACCGAAUCCCCGCUCGUGGAAGGAGACGAAGCUCACGAUGUACCCCGGCGGUGGGGACGGAGCGGCUCCGCCCAUGGGAGGAAUCCAUUCCGGUCGCUGCUCAUCGGUGAGAGGGCGAAGUAAACCCUCGCCAACCAGAUCCUCUAGAUCACUCGCCGUCACCGUGGAAGAAGGCCAUGGAUCGAGCGGCGAGAUGAUGGUCACCCGGUCAGCCAUCACCGAGCGGAAGGGAUGGCGGCGCAAGGGGCAGGAAGGGCGGUUUCCUCUUCUCUGGCUAAGUCUCUCGGGUUGCGAAAACCUAAGAGGGAGGCAGGAAGCGGAGCAAAGAACCGUCACCAGACCCUCUCCCGGGUAUAUAAAGACCAAGGCGAGACCGGUUCAAACGUUCCGCCCGGACCGGACGCGGGAUUCGAAAACGCAAAGCGAAACAGCCGUUCCCCGGACGGCUCGCGCACGCGCAACGGUCGCCCCGCCAACCACUCGCCCCGUCGCAUUAACUCCGCGGCGGGACAGGCGGCGCCUCAGGCAGGAGAAGCGGGCGACGUUUCGCCUUCGCCGUAAUAACCGCGCCAAAAAAGGUACGCCGCGUCGUUCGAUUUUGUAUCCUUUUCCUUUUUUCCUCUUUCUCUCUCUUGCAACAGGGACCGGGAAAGGGGGAUACCCCGAAAAGGAUCCUUCCCCGUGAAGGAACCAGGCUCCGAGCCUCCCUACUGAUCAGAGGUUCGAAGGCUGGCCCCCCGAAGGGUUCGACAGCCGCCUUAGAUCGCGUGGGCCCUACACCCACUACUGGUCAGAGGUUCGAAGGCCGGCCCCCCGAAGGGUUCCACGGCCACCUCAGGCUACUCGGGCUCCGCGCCCAUUACUGAUUAGGGGUUCGAAGGCUGGCCCCCGAAGGGUUCACAGCCGCCUCAGACGCCGAGCGAGGGAUGACCAUGGGUACGUUCGAUACAUAACCAAGGCUCGGGCUGCGCUCCCGAGGUACCCUAGGACAUUUCCUGUGGCAGAACCACCCGAAUUAUUCCAGCUUAAGUGCCUAAGUCACGCCUCAGGGGCCGUAGCACACUUAAAUCGGAAUAACCCGUCAGUCCCUCAGAUCUAGUCUGAUAGAGCCACUUAACCAGGAUCAAAUUCCACAAUCUCACUCGAAGAUGAGUCACAGAAGAAAUACAAUAAAACAGGAAACCUCAAAUUAAGUACGGAGUUAUUACAUAAAUCGGAGUUUUUGGAGUAGCAAAUAAAGUUCACAACUUAAAGUGCAGCGGAUAAUCGAUGUCGUCGGUAACGAGGAAAUGGGCAAGGCCUAGCCCACUACUCCUCAUGCUCCUCUCCUGCCGGAGCAACAUCCCACUCGACCGUCCAACCCGGUGGCAGGGUGGUAGGCCAAGUCACACCAUCAACUACAUCCUGCAUGGUACCUGCAAAAAUGGUGCCACAAGCAAGGCUGAGUAUACUAAUACUCAGCUAGACUUAACCGGUGUGAGGAGUCUACUCCUCUACCUCUAGACUAUGCAGCUGUUUGGCUGAGGGGUUUGGUUUGCCAAAAGCACUAGCUGUUUCUAAAAUCAACUUUUAGCUUUUCAGAUUCUACCAUCAUUAACUUAGCUAGAUUUGCUCCUUCUAAGCAUACAUGGUAACAAGCAAUUAGUUCAAUCAACAAGUUAUCUCAUGUAAUCCACAUUUCACUUCUUACUCGAUGCAGUACAAGGAAUCAAGCAGUCUCAUUAGCUGCGAGAAGCAGACGAUUCGAAUCGAGUUUUAAACCUUGCAAGGUAAACCUAAACACACGGCAUGUCAGGGUACUCCGACCCCACACAUGACAACCGUCCCCAUUGAUUCCCCGUUCGCGUCCAGGCCUCACCGCCUUGGCAUACAAUGCUCCACUGACCCCGGCUGCCGCCGUGCAGUGACCGCACUUGUAUCCACCAUAGCUAGCAUGGGAGACCCAGUCUCAGGUCGCAUGAGGGAUAAAGUCCGCGCCCGGCUUCACUCAGGUACUAGGUUUACCGGUUACCAUUUUUCCCGGCAUGUGCUUAGUACGUUCAAAAGCUUGACUCAGGUAUCCACACAUUAAUCCUUAAUUCAUUUUUCCCGUCUCAUGGACAAGGCAUCCUCCCUGGAUCCAAGUCCAUAGACCAACAUAUAUCCCAUUAUCAAGAUGAAUACAAUCAAUUCCUGACCUCGCGCGAGUGCUAGAAAAAUCACUCGACUUCUACCGAGAUCCUGAUUAGCAAGCAGCUACUCGACCUAGCAUACUAGUAUUCAUCUCAAAAAGGAGUCCUAAGUUCAUGCAACUAGAGGUUUCAAGCAACUCCUACACUUAAGUGCACAUUACAGUCCUACAAGCAUUAAGUGUAGUAAAGUAGCAUAUAAUAACAUGGUUAUGCAUAAAACCGGGGCUUGCCUUCAACUGCUGGGGCUGCGGGGAGAUCCUCAAUAGCAGCCUCUGAAGCCUGCUCCUGGUCCUCCUCUUGGACAGGUCCUUGCUCGGGGAUGAGCACGUACUCUCCGUCGGCAAGAUUACAAUCUAAUGAAUGCAAUGCGUAAGAUAUAUGCAUGAUACCAUAUGUGCUUUAGAAUUUACAACUUUUAAAGAUGUAGGGUCUUUUGAAUUUAAACAAGUUAACCUUACUUAUGUAAAACCCUUUUAGUGGUAUACUUAGUAAAUUGGGUUGGUUUUAAUGGGAUGAGGUUUAUUCCUUCUUCUCUUUUCUUUUAUUCUCUUUAAUGUUUUGGAGUAGGUUUGAACUACAAGUUGCUUUUAUAGAAUUCCAAAAAUUUUGAAAAAAUUACAGUGGCUUGCUACUGGUGUGUGCUUCUCUGUCACAAAAUUUGGGGUUCAGAAAGUGAAUGGUUUUCUCUGGACAAAAUUACCAAAUUUUAGGGCAGAAGGGGUACUUUGAACUACAACUAUUAUUUAACAGUGAGUAAUUCUCUAAAACUUAUUUUUGCUGGCUUUUAGGUGUCAUAACAUGACUUUAUACAAAUUUCUAGUCAUUAAUACCCUUUAAUUCUUUCCCUAUGAUUUUCUUAAGGUUUCUAGCCAAAGGGGUGCUUUCUACUACCACUAUGUUUGAAAAACAUCAAACAACAGAGUUCUUAUUUUUCUUAGCUAGUAUUUUGUGCAAGAGCAAUCAUUCUGAAGUUUGGUUUCUUUUUGCUUAAGGGAAGGAGUGGUUUGCAUUAUUUAAGUCAAAUGGUCUUUCUCACAAAUUGCUAGCAAAAGGCAUGGGUUCACUUCUUUUUCAUGGGUUUGUAUUUUUCUCUGGUGGUUUAUCUCAUCAUGGACUUAGCUAAUUUUUGGUUGCCCAUUAUCUCAUUAUUUGAGGUUGUUUAUGAUUUAUUGGGAAAAUGCCUUAUUACCACUUUAUAUUUAUUUUCCUUACUUAAAAAGUUAGGCUGGGGUGCUCUGUAUUUUUGUAGUGGGGCUCUGGUGGUUAUAAGUUCACUGGAUUUUUGUUAACCACUUUGGUUAUAGUUUUGCAAUUCUAAUAAUUGAUUUUCAGUCUACAUAAGGCUAAUUAAAGCAUCUUAAUUAGAAACUAGUCCUAAUUAAUGGUCUCUGCAUUUUUCCUAGGUUCUUGGUUGCAUAAGUAAACUAGGAAAAAUAUUACUAAUCACUGUUCAACAUUUUCUAAUGCUUUUCUGAUUUUCUCUAAAUUGUGGACAAAAUGGCUUUAAAUGAAAAACUACAUCAUAAUCUCUAGUGCUGGGGAUCCUACUAUUUUUAAACAAUGUCUAAUUAGGGUAUAAGCAUCUACAAAUUUUCUUAAGCUCAGCACAAAAGAAAAACUAAUUUUCCUUAAUUAAACAAGGUUUAGGGGGUUUCUGUUUUUAAUUUUUAACUCUAAAAUUUAGAACAGAAAGCAUAUGGUUUAAUAAUUUUAAAUGAUAGAUCAUAAUAUUCCAGAGCUAGCAAAAUUGGUUUGACAGUUUUUCAUUAAGAUUUCAUCGAGUUAUGAAUUUUCUAAGUUCUCUGGUUAUUUUAAAAGAAUAAUAGAAUUGAUUAAAGGGAAAACCACUUUGCACUGGGGUCCCUGGCGGUUUUUCUAGGUUUUCCUCGCGAAUCAGUCCUUAGGUUACUAUUCAUAUGGGUCGCUGACAUUACAGAAAACCCCUCGGGUUCUACAAAACCUAACCCGAGGUCCUUCUUCUACCUCAAACAGUAGCCGCGGCGAAGAAAAGGGCGGAGGGGCUUACCGGCGGCGAGACUGUUCCGGUGAAGUGGUCGAGGAUGAAGGGGAGGUCGCGGGGAUCACAACGGUGUGCGGAACGUCGACGGAGAUGGCCGGAGUUGGUCGGUCCACGCGCGCAGGCGGGGAUGCUCGUCGGCGGCGAGGAGACCGGCCUGAUCACGGCGAGGUAGUUCAAUCAAAUAGGUCAGAGAGGUCCACGGGAUGCCAGAGAAGACAUGAGCGAAAGGAAUUGGGCGGAGACUCACUGGAUAGCUCGGUCCACGCGCGGCGGCGGAAGACCGAAGUCCGGUGAGGUUGAUCUCGGGCCUCCGGUGAAGUCCGGUCGGGUCCGAGGGCUUGGCGAGCUUCACGGGCUACUGGCGGAGCUAGCCGAAGCACAGGUUGGGCUGGAGGGCGGCUGGAGUGAGCUGGCCACGGUGGCCGUAGCUCUGGCGGCAAUGGCGGGCGGAAAUACGCUCGCCGGAGCUAAGGAACGGUGGCUGGCCGGUGAGGGUGAGUGCGGGGCGAAGAGAGGUGCGCUCGGGGAGGCUUUAUAGGCGCGGGCGGGCACGACCGAGGGCGUGGGCGCGCGGCGGACUUGACCGGACGCCGGGGCGAGCGCGCGCGCGGGUUGGGCGAGCUCUGGCGUGCCGACCAGGGUCGAACACGUGUGCCCGUGCGUUCUGCCCAAGCUCUGGCGCGUGUGGUCGCUCAUCCGAGCCUGCUCUCGCCUUGGUCAGUGCACGAAACCUCUUCUCCUCCCUACAAGCUACCAUUCUUGUGUGGAGGUCAUAGGAUUUUGCCUACUGGUUGCAGAGAUAUGGAGCCAGGAAAUCUGGUCUGUCUCCCUGCCUAAACCCGAGGCAAAUCCCAAGUUUUGUCGUGUCUAGGGCUCGCGUCCCAAUGCCAUCUUCUGGCACACGACAGAGGGGUUAGUUAGACACAAAUUUGUCAAUGGGGCCAUUAGGAUUCGAGUUAGGGAUCAAGGUGAACAUCCCUGAUCUUUGGCUCAAGGUCUGAAUUUCAGAAUUCUGAAAUUCAGAAUUCCCAAUGAGUCCCAACAAAAGAAGCUUGAUUUGGGGGUUUUCUUGAAUUAUUUUGGCUAAGCUUUCUCAAUCUAUUUUGUUGCUUAUCAAAUAUACUUUAACUUAUAUAAUUGGCUUAACUCAAAAUUUUAAACUUUUCAUUCCCUUUUGCUUAUUUUCUUGAAUUUUGUUCAUGGGGUUCACUUAGAGUUCUUAAUUAGGGUUGCACAUUCUUAUCUUUUCAAAGACUCAAUUGUUUUGAUCAUGACACUUUUAAACAUAUACUUGGUGAAUUCUUUAUCACUUAAGUUAUCUUGAUGCUCAUGCUUACUUUGGUUCACAUAAAAUAAUGGCUCUUGGUGUGGCUUUUUAAGAGAAACCCUAGGUGACACUGGGGUGUCACAGCCUUCCCCCCUUAAAGGAAUCUCGUCCCAAGAUUCAGGCCAGAGUCCUCUCGGGGUGAAGCGAAGGGUGAGACUGAUAGGAAAAAGGGUGAUGAUUGUUAUUAUUAGGAUAAACUGCUCUUCGAAUGUCAUUCUCUUCGCAACUUCAGAAGGAAGUCCUUUUAAGUUUUACUUUAUAGUUACUUCAUUCUGAAUUAAGAUCAUAUUUUUGGGAAUUAGAUUCGAAAGGCAGGACGAGGGGUUGGGGGUGAUUACAUACCAGCUUCCUUAGGUAGGCAAUCGGGGAAGUUGGAUCUUAAGAAUUCCUCGGUUUCCCAAGUAGCUUCCUCCUCUGAGUGAUUACUCCACUGGACCUUGAACAUCUUGAUCGAUUUAGCCCGAGUUGAUCUUUCCUUGCAAUCCAGAAUCUUGGAGGGGUACUCUUGGUACGAGAGAUCUGGCUCUAUCUCCAAUUCUGGCUCUGCUAGAAUCUCAGUCGGCAAUCGAACACACUUCUUUAGCUGAGAUACAUGGAAAACACUGUGAAUGGCAGACAUCUUUGAAGGUAACUUCAGCUUGUAUGCCACUGGUCCACAUGCUUCAAUGAUCUCAUAAGGUCCAAUGUAACGAGGGGCUAGCUUGCCUUUGAUUCCAAACCUCUGCACUCCCUUGGUGGGUGAUACCUUGAGGUAUACAAAACUUCCCACCUCGAACUGGAGAGGUUUCCUUCUUCUGUCAUGAUAGCUCUUCUGCCUGGCCUGAGCAGCUUCUAGAUUCUUCCUGAUCAGCUUGACCUUCCUUUCGGCUUCAGUUACCAAAUCAGGUCCAAAAACUUCUCUUUCACCAGGCUGAGACCAAUUGAGUGGUGUCCUGCACCUUCUUCCAUAGAGAGCUUCAAAAGGUGCCAUCUUUAGGCUGGACUGAUAACUAUUGUUAUAAGCAAACUCUGCCAAGGAGAGGUGCUUAUCCCAGUUCUUGCCACAAUCGAUCGCACAAGCUCUCAGCAUAUCUUCCAGAAUCUGGUUUACCCUUUCCGUCUGACCAUCAGUCUGUGGGUGGUAAGCUGAACUCCUGAUUAGCUUGGUUCCCAAAGACUCUUGCAUUUGUUCCCAAAAUCUGGCAACAAAUUGGGCUCCUCGGUCAGAAACAAUGGUCCGAGGUAAUCCAUGCAAACACACGAUCCGGUCGAUAUACAAUUCUGCAUACUUCUGAGCCUUAUCAGUGGUGUGCACAGGAAGAAAAUGUGCACUUUCGUCAAUCGGUCCACAAUAACCCAAAUUGAAUCAUGAUGACGAGAGGUGUUGGGUAGACCCACAAUGAAAUCCAUGCUGAUAUCGUCCCACUUCCACGAAGGUACGGACAGUGGUCGCAAAGCUCUAGCGGACUUCAAGUGGCUUGCCUUAACCCUCUGACAGGUGUCACACUCUGAUACAUACUGGGCUAUCUCCCUCUUCAUUCUGGUCCACCAGUAUAAAAGCUUCAAAUCAUGGUACAUCUUGGUGCUUCCCGGAUGCAUAGAGAAUUUGGAGAGGUGAGCCUCAUCCAAAAUUUUCUUCUUGAGAUCCUGGUCCUUAGGAAUUACCAAUCUGCUUUUGAACCAUAACACACCCUUCUCAUCCUGGCGGAAACAAUUAUACUUCUCAACCUUCUGAUGGAGAUUCUUCUUGAUAAUCUGCACUCCCUUGUCACUGAGCUGGGCCCUGAUAAUCUGGUCUUGCAAAGCUGGCUCAACAGAAAUGUGAGACAAAGAACCAGAAGGAAUCACUUCAAUUUGCAUCUUGCUCAACUCAUCACACAAGGUGUUAACACGAGAAUCCAUCAGAAUACAGUUGCAUUGCAACUUCCGACUCAAGGCAUCAGCUACUACAUUAGCUUUCCCUGGGUGAUAAUGUACCUCCAGGUCAUAAUCCUUGAUCAGCUCUAGCCAUCUUCUCUGCCUCAUGUUGAGAUCAGCCUGAGUAAAAAUGUACUUAAGGCUCUUAUGAUCAGUGAAGAUGUUGCAGUGGGUUCCCAUUAGAUAGUGCCUCCACAUCUUCAAUGCAUGAACCACUGCUGCUAACUCAAGGUCAUGAGUGGGAUAAUUUUGCUCAUGAGGCCUGAGUGCUCUUGAGGCGUAAGCAAUGACUCGGUUGUCUUGCAUCAAGACACAACCUAGCCCGGUGCCAGAGGCAUCGCAAUACACGUCAAAAGGCUUGCUGCUGUCGGGUUGCGCCAAUACUGGUGCUGUGGUCAGAUGCUGCCUCAACGCAUGGAAGGCAUCUUCGCACUCCUGACUCCACACAAACUUGACUUCUUUCUUCAGCAACUCAGUAAUAGGCUUCGCAAUUCGAGAGAAGUCCGGAAUAAAUCUUCGGUAAUAACCGGCCAAUCCCAGAAAACUCCGAAUCUGGCGAACAGUCGUUGGUGGCUUCCAAUUCAUCACCUCUUGCACUUUAUCAGGAUCAACAGCUAUUCCAUCCUGAGAGAUAGUGUGACCCAAGAAUUUGAUUUCCUUUAGCCAAAAAUCACACUUGGAUAGCUUGGCAUAAAGGUGGUGCUCUCGCAGACGUUGAAGCACUACAUGCAAAUGCCCGGCAUGUUCUUCUUCGUUCUUCGAGUACACCAGAAUAUCAUCGAUGAAAACCACUACGAACUUGUCCAAUUCUGGCAUGAAAACAGAAUUCAUCAGAUACAUGAAGUAUGCUGGUGCAUUUGUCAGCCCGAAUGACAUCACCAAGAAUUCAUACAGCCCAUAUCUGGUUGAGAAUGCCGUCUUCGGAAUAUCGCUUGCUCGUAUUUUGAUCUGAUGGUAGCCAGAGCGAAGGUCUAUCUUGGAAAACACCUUGGCCCCGACCAACUGGUCAAAGAGAACAUCAAUACGAGGCAAAGGAUACUUGUUCUUGAUAGUUACCGCAUUAAGAGGGCGGUAAUCUAUACACAGCCUCAAGCUUUCAUCCUUCUUCUUUACAAAUAGCGCUGGACAUCCCCAAGGCGAAGUGCUUGGGCGAAUAAAUCCCUUAUCCAGCAACUCUUGCAACUGCUUCUUCAACUCUGCCAACUCAGCGGGUGGCAUUCGGUAGGGCCUCUUGGAAAUUGGGGCCGUUCCCGGUUGCAACUCGAUGGCAAAUUCAAUAUCCCGGUCCGGUGGCAUUCCUGGCAAUUCAUCAGGAAAGACAUCUGCAUACUCACAGACCACUGGGAUCUUCUUCAGGGGUAACUCCGUCAUAGAGAAAGCACAUGACUGAGAAGAACCCUGACUAGGCAGAAUCAAAGUGAAAUUCCCGCAGAAAGGAGAAUUAACUUCCACGGUACGACUGGCUACAUCAAGCACAACUUGGUGCAAGGUCAUCCAAUUUGCUCCUAGAAUAAUGUCCACAUUUUCCAAUCCCAACACAAGAAGAGUGGUUUUGAUAAUGUGGCUUCCCAGUUGAAUAGGCACACUUUGGUUUAAUUGAUUAGUUGCAAUUUUACCCCCAGGUGUGACUAUCAUGAAUGACCCUUUUGAGUGAGAGAAUGGCAGUUUGCAAUUAGCACUGAACUUUUGGCUAAUGAAACUAUGAGAUGCACCAGAAUCAAACAGAAUUAAAGCAGGUUGAUUAUAAACUGAAAAGGUACCGGUCAUGAUAGGAACUCCUUCUGGCACUUCCUCUAGAGCAGUGAAGUUGAGCUUCCCUUGCCUGACUUGCACCUUCUGCUUUCUUCCCUUGUCUUGAUUUGGUGCUGGCAUCUGCCUCUGCUGGUUCCUGGGACAAUUCUUGGCAUAGUGGCCCACAUUGCCACAAGUGAAACACUUGUUCCCAUUGCCCUGGCGGAACUGCUGCUGCUGUGGAGGCUGAUUGUUCCUUGGGGCGGGAGCUGGAUAGCGGUUGGGUGCCGGCUGCUGCUGCUGCUGAGGUGGCCUGAUCACCCAUCUGCCUGCCUGCUGCUGAAAACCCCUGCUCUGAUUGUGAGAAACAAUCCGGAACCUUUGAGCCUGAGUGGAUGGUGCUGCCAUUGGUGCCUUCCUCUUCUUCUCUGCCCGGUGAGCAACAAUGCAAUCCUCCUGAGAGAUGGCCAUGUUGACCAACUCAUUGAAGCUAUCGGCCCAGACAGUGUUGAGUCGUUCCCGCAGCUUGGUAUUGAGACCCCUGCGGAAGCGAUCCCUCUUCUUUUCAUCAGAAUCAGCAUGAUACCCUGCAUACUGGCAUAAGUCGUUGAAGGCUUGCGCAUACUGCAGUACCGUGCGGGUUCCUUGAUUGAGGGCCAGGAAUUCAUUCAACUUCCUAUCAAGAAUGCCAGCUGGAAUGUGGUGUCCUCUGAAGGCAGUCUUGAAUUCCUCCCAAGAUACUUCACGAUCAGCGGGGAGCAUAGCACGGAAGUGGUCCCACCAAGUCCGAGCUGGGCCGCGAAGCUGCUGUGCGGCGAAGCGAGCCUUGGCCUCAUCAGGGCAGUCUCCCGUGAGGAGGGGAAACUUGGACUCGACGACGCGAAGCCACACGUCGGCGUCCAACGGAUCCUCUGCCUUGGUGAACAAGGGCAGCUGCGUGCUCAGAAACUCCUGGUAUGUUGCCAUAGCCGGAGGUCGCUGAUGCUGGCCUCCACCAUGAUGCUGUUGGUGGGGCUGGCGCUGCAAGAGCUGUUGCAGAAUCUCAUUCUGCUGGGCCAUCAGCUCCUGCACUGUGGGAGCUGGAGGAGGUGGCGGGGGAGCUUGCUCAUUCUGCCCGCGACGCUGCCUCGCUGCCAUCUGAAAACAGAGAUUGUCGCCAAUGUUAUCCCGACUCAUAUUUCCGAAUGACAAGAUAUCACCUCAUAUGGAAGGAAAAGGCCAUAAUCAUAAUAUUAGGUUCGAAAAUGAAGAUAACAUGGUGACAAGGAUCCCACAGAUAUCAAAAGUUUACAGGGUUACAUUAAUCGGGGGAAAGUACCCAUAAGCCUAGUCCAAAAUGUGAUACCACUAAGCUCGCAUAGGUUUCUAUCCGCCUAAAAAUGUCAAAGCAACUGCUUAACCCUGAGCGGUGGAAGCGACACUGGAUACGGGUGAAGGAGGUAUCGCGGAGGUAGUCCCAUUGGCACCAGGGGCUGGUCCUAGCUCCUCGGGAGCCUCUUCUCCCUCGCUUCCUGCUUCAUUGGCCUCCAUCUCCAGGUGGUGCAUGUCCAAGUGGUCAUUGGCUUCCUCGAGUUCCCUCUGCACGUCGUGAAGCUGGUUCUCCAAGACAUCAAUAGUGUUAUCUCGGAUCUCCACUUGCUGCUCCAGGGUGGUAAUACGCUGGCUCAGCCUUUCCACCUGCAGAUCCUUCUCCACCAACUCUGUGGAUAGGUCGACCACAAAAUCUUCCCGACUGUCGAGAGUGAGCUUGGCAGCCUGAGCGGUGUUAGCAAGAAGUGUCAUAGCAUCGCUCUGAAGGGCCUGAAGGCGGUACAGCGCACUCAUGCACUGAACAGUGACCCUCCCAACCAAGUCAGGAUACAUUGCCCACACAUCCUUCACAUGGCUCACGCGGUUACACCACAUGGGAUCAUCCUUCUUCUCAGCAGGGAAGAGUCCCAAGGGGUGCAUCACCAUCUCCAGGGGAUGGUAGCCACAGAAAGUCGUCAGAGUCUUCAUGGCUGCUGCUUCAACGGUGUCGUCCGUCCUGAGUCCAAUCGUCUCAGAGUCAAGAGAACGCCAACCCGGCUGAAGGGGAUGAGCCUCCAAAGCUAGCCAGACCCGACAACGAGGUACCCGAUGCUCCUCAUACAACUGCACCGUGUACAUAGGGGGCGUAGGGUAACCGGCGGAGUUAAGCACUUCCCACAAGAUGGAAGGAAAGCCAUCGCGAGAAAGGAAGUCAGAACUGAAACGAGAGUCUCUUCCACUGGCGGGGGUAGGUGAAUUCAUCUGCGGAAGGGAAUCAAGAUAAAGAUUAUGGUGGAAGGAAAAAGAAAAAGAGAGCCCGGAUGAUUUCGAAGAAAAGGGGGUUAGCUCAAAUUUUAAUUCCUCUUUGUGUUUUAUAAUGCAUGCAUGCGGAAAGAAACGUUGCCUCUCAAAAGGGAAAUAGGGUGCCUUUUUAGGGCAUCCUAAAAUAUAAGUAUUGGCCCACAGGGCCUAAUUAAUUAGCCACCUAUUUCUCCCUCUAUACCUAAGGCCUUUCGUCCUGGGUCUAGCGGUCUAGUCCUGACGAUCCAUAGUAGUUUCUAGGCAGGUUUUAGAUUUUAAAAAUUGGUAUUCAUGGUUUAUUGUCCUUCUCUGUGGUGGAAUUUGCUCCGAUACCAGCUGUGGCAGAACCACCCGAAUUAUUCCAGCUUAAGUGCCUAAGUCACGCCUCAGGGGCCGUAGCACACUUAAAUCGGAAUAACCCGUCAGUCCCUCAGAUCUAGUCUGAUACAGCCACUUAACCAGGAUCAAAUUCCACAAUCUCACUCGAAGGUGAGUCACAGAAGAAAUACAAUAAAACAGGAAACCUCAAAUUAAGUACGGAGUUAUUACAUAAAUCGGAGUUUUUGGAGUAGCAAAUAAAGUUCACAACUUAAAGUGCAGCGGAUAAUCGAUGUCGUCGGUAACGAGGAAAUGGGCAAGGCCUAGCCCACUACUCCUCAUGCUCCUCUCCUGCCGGAGCAACAUCCCACUCGACCGUCCAACCCGGUGGCAGGGUGGUAGGCCAAGUCACACCAUCAACUACAUCCUGCAUGGUACCUGCAAAAAUGGUGCCACAAGCAAGGCUGAGUAUACUAAUACUCAGCUAGACUUAACCGGUGUGAGGAGUCUACUCCUCUACCUCUAGACUAUGCAGCUGUUUGGCUGAGGGGUUUGGUUUGCCAAAAGCACUAGCUGUUUCUAAAAUCAACUUUUAGCUUUUCAGAUUCUACCAUCAUUAACUUAGCUAGAUUUGCUCCUUCUAAGCAUACAUGGUAACAAGCAAUUAGUUCAAUCAACAAGUUAUCUCAUGUAAUCCACAUUUCACUUCUUACUCGAUGCAGUACAAGGAAUCAAGCAGUCUCAUUAGCUGCGAGAAGCAGACGAUUCGAAUCGAGUUUUAAACCUUGCAAGGUAAACCUAAACACACGGUAUGUCAGGGUACUCCGACCCCACACAUGACAACCGUCCCCAUUGAUUCCCCGUUCGCGUCCAGGCCUCACCGCCUUGGCAUACAAUGCUCCACUGACCCCGGCUGCCGCCGUGCAGUGACCGCACUUGUAUCCACCAUAGCUAGCAUGGGAGACCCAGUCUCAGGUCGCAUGAGGGAUAAAGUCCGCGCCCGGCUUCACUCAGGUACUAGGUUUACCGGUUACCAUUUUUCCCGGCAUGUGCUUAGUACGUUCAAAAGCUUGACUCAGGUAUCCACACAUUAAUCCUUAAUUCAUUUUUCCCGUCUCAUGGACAAGGCAUCCUCCCUGGAUCCAAGUCCAUAGACCAACAUAUAUCCCAUUAUCAAGAUGAAUACAAUCAAUUCCUGACCUCGCGCGAGUGCUAGAAAAAUCACUCGACUUCUACCGAGAUCCUGAUUAGCAAGCAGCUACUCGACCUAGCAUACUAGUAUUCAUCUCAAAAAGGAGUCCUAAGUUCAUGCAACUAGAGGUUUCAAGCAACUCCUACACUUAAGUGCACAUUACAGUCCUACAAGCAUUAAGUGUAGUAAAGUAGCAUAUAAUAACAUGGUUAUGCAUAAAACCGGGGCUUGCCUUCAACUGCUGGGGCUGCGGGGAGAUCCUCAAUAGCAGCCUCUGAAGCCUGCUCCUGGUCCUCCUCUUGGACAGGUCCUUGCUCGGGGAUGAGCACGUACUCUCCGUCGGCAAGAUUACAAUCUAAUGAAUGCAAUGCGUAAGAUAUAUGCAUGAUACCAUAUGUGCUUUAGAAUUUACAACUUUUAAAGAUGUAGGGUCUUUUGAAUUUAAACAAGUUAACCUUACUUAUGUAAAACCCUUUUAGUGGUAUACUUAGUAAAUUGGGUUGGUUUUAAUGGGAUGAGGUUUAUUCCUUCUUCUCUUUUCUUUUAUUCUCUUUAAUGUUUUGGAGUAGGUUUGAACUACAAGUUGCUUUUAUAGAAUUCCAAAAAUUCUGAAAAAAUUACAGUGGCUUGCUACUGGUGUGUGCUUCUCUGUCACAAAAUUUGGGGUUCAGAAAGUGAAUGGUUUUCUCUGGACAAAAUUACCAAAUUUUAGGGCAGAAGGGGUACUUUGAACUACAACUAUUAUUUAACAGUGAGUAAUUCUCUAAAACUUAUUUUUGCUGGCUUUUAGGUGUCAUAACAUGACUUGAUACAAAUUUCUAGUCAUUAAUACCCUUUAAUUCUUUCCCUAUGAUUUUCUUAAGGUUUCUAGCCAAAGGGGUGCUUUCUACUACCACUAUGUUUGAAAAACAUCAAACAACAGAGUUCUUAUUUUUCUUAGCUAGUAUUUUGUGCAAGAGCAAUCAUUCUGAAGUUUGGUUUCUUUUUGCUUAAGGGAAGGGGUGGUUUGCAUUAUUUAAGUCAAAUGGUCUUUCUCACAAAUUGCUAGCAAAAGGCAUGGGUUCACUUCUUUUUCAUGGGUUUGUAUUUUUCUCUGGUGGUUUAUCUCAUCAUGGACUUAGCUAAUUUUUGGUUGCCCAUUAUCUCAUUAUUUGAGGUUGUUUAUGAUUUAUUGGGAAAAUGCCUUAUUACCACUUUAUAUUUAUUUUCCUUACUUAAAAAGUUAGGCUGGGGUGCUCUGUAUUUUUGUAGUGGGGCUCUGGUGGUUAUAAGUUCACUGGAUUUUUGUUAACCACUUUGGUUAUAGUUUUGCAAUUCUAAUAAUUGAUUUUCAGUCUACAUAAGGCUAAUUAAAGCAUCUUAAUUAGAAACUAGUCCUAAUUAAUGGUCUCUGCAUUUUUCCUAGGUUCUUGGUUGCAUAAGUAAAUUAGGAAAAAUAUUACUAAUCACUGUUCAACAUUUUCUAAUGCUUUUCUGAUUUUCUCUAAAUUGUGGACAAAAUGGCUUUAAAUGAAAAACUACAUCAUAAUCUCUAGUGCUGGGGAUCCUACUAUUUUUAAACAAUGUCUAAUUAGGGUAUAAGCAUCUACAAAUUUUCUUAAGCUCAGCACAAAAGAAAAACUAAUUUUCCUUAAUUAAACAAGGUUUAGGGGGUUUCUGUUUUUAAUUUUUAACUCUAAAAUUUAGAACAGAAAGCAUAUGGUUUAAUAAUUUUAAAUGAUAGAUCAUAAUAUUCCAGAGCUAGCAAAAUUGGUUUGACAGUUUUUCAUUAAGAUUUCAUCGAGUUAUGAAUUUUCUAAGUUCUCUGGUUAUUUUAAAAGAAUAAUAGAAUUGAUUAAAGGGAAAACCACUUUGCACUGGGGUCCCUGGCGGUUUUUCUAGGUUUUCCUCGCGAAUCAGUCCUUAGGUUACUAUUCAUAUGGGUCGCUGACAUUACAGAAAACCCCUCGGGUUCUACAAAACCUAACCCGAGGUCCUUCUUCUACCUCAAACAGUAGCCGCGGCGAAGAAAAGGGCGGAGGGGCUUACCGGCGGCGAGACUGUUCCGGUGAAGUGGUCGAGGAUGAAGGGGAGGUCGCGGGGAUCACAACGGUGUGCGGAACGUCGGCGGAGAUGGCCGGAGUUGGUCGGUCCACGCGCGCAGGCGGGGAUGCUCGUCGGCGGCGAGGAGACCAGCCUGAUCACGGCGAGGUAGUUCAAUCAAAUAGGUCAGAGAGGUCCACGGGAUGCCAGAGAAGACAUGAGCGAAAGGAAUUGGGCGGAGACUCACUGGAUAGCUCGGUCCACGCGCGGCGGCGGAAGACCGAAGUCCGGUGAGGUUGAUCUCGGGCCUCCGGUGAAGUCCGGUCGGGUCCGAGGGCUUGGCGAGCUUCACGGGCUACUGGCGGAGCUAGCCGAAGCACAUGUUGGGCUGGAGGGCGGCUGGAGUGAGCUGGCCACGGUGGCCGUAGCUCUGGCGGCAAUGGCGGGCGGAAAUACGCUCGCCGGAGCUAAGGAACGGUGGCUGGCCGGUGAGGGUGAGUGCGGGGCGAAGAGAGGUGCGCUCGGGGAGGCUUUAUAGGCGCGGGCGGGCACGGCCGAGGGCGUGGGCGCGCGGCGGACUUGACCGGACGCCGGGGCGAGCGCGCGCGCGGGUUGGGCGAGCUCUGGCGUGCCGACCAGGGUCGAACACGUGUGCCCGUGCGUUCUGCCCAAGCUCUGGCGCGUGUGGUCGCUCAUCCGAGCCUGCUCUCGCCUUGGUCAGUGCACGAAACCUCUUCUCCUCCCUACAAGCUACCAUUCUUGUGUGGAGGUCAUAGGAUUUUGCCUACUGGUUGCAGAGAUAUGGAGCCAGGAAAUCUGGUCUGUCUCCCUGCCUAAACCCGAGGCAAAUCCCAAGUUUUGUCGUGUCUAGGGCUCGCGUCCCAAUGCCAUCUUCUGGCACACGACAGAGGGGUUAGUUAGACACAAAUUUGUCAAUGGGGCCAUUAGGAUUCGAGUUAGGGAUCAAGGUGAACAUCCCUGAUCUUUGGCUCAAGGUCUGAAUUUCAGAAUUCUGAAAUUCAGAAUUCCCAAUGAGUCCCAACAAAAGAAGCUUGAUUUGGGGGUUUUCUUGAAUUAUUUUGGCUAAGCUUUCUCAAUCUAUUUUGUUGCUUAUCAAAUAUACUUUAACUUAUAUAAUUGGCUUAACUCAAAAUUUUAAACUUUUCAUUCCCUUUUGCUUAUUUUCUUGAAUUUUGUUCAUGGGGUUCACUUAGAGUUCUUAAUUAGGGUUGCACAUUCUUAUCUUUUCAAAGACUCAAUUGUUUUGAUCAUGACACUUUUAAACAUAUACUUGGUGAAUUCUUUAUCACUUAAGUUAUCUUGAUGCUCAUGCUUACUUUGGUUCACAUAAAAUAAUGGCUCUUGGUGUGGCUUUUUAAGAGAAACCCUAGGUGACACUGGGGUGUCACAUUUCCGAGACCAGCGGGAGCGAUCUUGUAACGGAAUCCCAUCAGAAGGAGGCAUCGAGCCCUCGGACCCCGUCGCCAGGGGACCGGGUCCGGCAGAUCACCCGCAGGUACUUUUGGGCGUGCCUCUGGGCCCCUAGCCGACCCCUAACGAACGGGGCACGGACGUCCACUCGGAUUACCCGCUUGCAGCUCACCGGAGACACCAUGUUCGGCGCCCAUCGAGGGCAACAUGGCGCUUUCCCCCCUCCUCCUUGCGGAAAGGCGACACAGGGGCGUAUGUAAAAAAGCUGAGUCUGUCCCUGAUCGCCCUCUCGCCCUAUGCGGAGGCUCGGGGGCUGCUCUCGUAAACCCGGCUCCGGCCGAACCGUUGACAGUGUCAACAUACCAGCCCGAGAACUUGGGACCCGACCGUACACCCGGGCUACGGCCAGCUCGCAUGAGGGAACAACCAGACCAGCCGAAGCAUUACGCGAGGCAUUAAGACCUCGAAGGAGUGAAACCACUCCUCCGAGGCCUCGGGGGCUACACCCGGCGGGUGCGCUCGCGCGCACCCACCGGAACAAAAUGCAACCGAGAAAGGCUGGUCCCCUUGCAAAAAAGUGCGACGAAAGCCUCCAAGCGAGUGCUAACACUCCCUUCGAGGCUCGGGGGCUACUGUCGGGGAGCAUAAUUAGGGGUACCCUCAAGACUCCUAAUUCUCAGCUAGUAACCCCCAUCACCAUAAAGCUGCUAAGGCCUGAUGGGUGCGAUUAAGUCAGGGAUCGGUCCAUUCGAGCGACUCGAUAACGCCUCGCCCGAGCCUAGCCUCGGACAAGGGCAGCCGACCCCGGAGGAUUUCCGUCUCGCCCGAGGCCCCCCCUCCGACGGCGAACAUAUUUCCGGCUCGCUCGAGGCCCUGCCUUCGCUAAGAAGCAACCCUGACUAAAUCGCCGCACCGACCGACCAAAUCGCAGGAGCAUUUAACGCAAAGGUGGCCUGACACCUUUAUCCUGAUGCGCGCCCCCGGCAGAGCCAAAGUGACCGCCAUCACUUCGCCGCUCCACUGACCGGCCUGACAGAAGGACAGCGCCGCCUGCGCCACUCCGACUGUAGUGCCACUUGACAGAGUGAGACUGACAGGCAGUCAGGUCCUGCCAAAGGCACCAUAGGAAGCUCCGCUCCGCCCGACCCAGGGCUCGGACUCGGGCUAAGUCCCGUAAGACGGCGAACUCCGCUCCGCCCGACCCAGGGCUCGGACUCGGGCUAAGUCCCGGAAGACGGCGAACUCCGCUCCACCCGACCCAGGGCUCGGACUCGGGCUAAGUCCCGGAAGACGGCGAACUCCGCUCCGCCCGACCUAGGGCUCGGACUCGGGCUAAGUCCCGGAAGACGGCGAACUCCGCUCCGCCCGACCCAGGGCUCGGACUCGGGCUAAGUCCCGGAAGACGCCGAACUCCGCUCCGCCCGACCCAGGGCUCGGACUCGGGCUAAGUCCCGGAAGACGGCGAACUCCGCUCCGCCCGACCCAGGGCUCGGACUCGGGCUAAGUCUCGGAAGACGGCGAACUCCGCUCCGCCCGACCCAGGGCUCGGACUCGGGCUCAGCCCUAGAAGACGACGAACUCCGCUUCGCCCGACCCCAGGGCUCGGACUCCGCCCCGGCCUCUGCCGACGACCUCCGCCUCGCCCGACCCAGGGGCUCGGACUCGGCCUCGGCCAUGGAAGACAGACUCGACCUCGGCUUCGGAGGAGCCUCCCAUCACCCAACCUAGGGCGCAGGUCAGCCACGUCAACAGGAGGCGCCAUCAUCACCCUACCCCGAGCUGACUCGGGCCGCAGGGAACAAGACCGGUAUCCCAUCUGGCUAGCUCCGCCAGAUAGGCAAUGAUGGCGCCCCGCAUACUCUGUGACGACGGCGGCUCUCAGCCCCCUUACGGAAGCAAGAGGACGUCAGCAAGGACUCAACCGCUCCGACAGCUGUCCCUCCGCCAGGCUCCAUCGCUCCUCCGACGGCCACGACAUCACACCAGCUGGGUGCCAAAAUCUCUCCGGCUGCCACAUCGGCAUGUACUUAGGGCGCUAGCUCUCCUACGCUAGACACGUAGCACUCCGCUACACCCCCAUUGUACACCUGGAUCCUCUCCUUACGCCUAUAAAAGGAAGGACCAGGGCCCUCUUAGAGAGGGUUGGCCGCGCGGGGUCGAGGACGAGACAGGCGCUCGCUUGGAAGCCGCUCGCUCCCUCACCCACGUGGACGCUUGUAACCCCCUACUACAAGCGCACCCGACCUGGACGCGGGACGAACACGAAGGCCGCGGGAUUCCCACCUCUCUCACGCCGGUCUCCGGCCGCCUCGCUUCUCCCCCCUUCGCGCUCGCCCUCGCGCUCGACCCAUCUGGGCUGGGGCACGCGACGACACUCACUCAUCGGCCCAAGGGACCCCCCGGUCUCGAAACGCCGACAACUUUAUAAAACAAUACAUGAGCUUAAAAAUAUCUUAAUUAAAAUAUACAAAUAUUGGGUUCAUUAAUUUUAAUCUUUUAUAAAACGUCAUCCGUGAUAUGUCUAGAUUAAGGGUUUAUAAGAUGAUAAAACACGUUAUAACAAUAUUAAACCUUUUAGAGAAGAUAUAUGUUAUAUAUCUAAGGUUAAUGGGCUACUAAUCACGUUAUUAAUUUUAGAAGCAUUAUGAAGCAUUUUAUAAAUAUUGUUAACCAAUUACUUAUGACAAAUUAAGAUAUAAGUCUAAAUAGGUUUUAUGUGAAAAGGUCAUUAUUAUUAAAUACCUAUUUAUAGAAAGUUAUGGUAUAUGCCUUAAAUGAACUUUUAUGUAAAAGACAAUGAACAAAUAACUAUCUUUUAAUUUUAUUUGAAAAAAACAUAGCCUAUAUUAUUAUAUUCGAAGUCAAUAUAUAAAGUAACAUUUUAAGUUAUAAAAGAACUUAAACUCUUAUUACUUUAUUUUAUCCUUUAGGAAAAACUAAGUCAUCCGUAUACAAUGUGGACUAAAUUUUAUUAAAUCAUUAAUCACACCAUAAAUCUAAUUAAGAACAAAUUGACUAUAGGUUUGUUUAAUACAUUAUGAUAAAGGAUACUUAACCUAUUAAUUGUAGGAACAAAUGAUCUAAUUCAUUAGAAGGAAGUUAUGUAUAAACUAUCAUUUUAGUUUAUAAAAGCACUGACCCUUGUUAUCUUUUAAUUAAGAAAAUAUAAAUAAUCUAUUAAUUGGACAUAUAUUUAUCUUCUAUUUUUAUUAAGAAACAUAUGGUCUACAUAUUCUUUUAAGUUUUCAUUUAAUACGAAUAUACUUAAACAUCUAUGACGAACCUUGUUAAAUAUAAUAUCUAUUAAAAAGGUCAUUUUAAACUAGAAACAGGUUAUCUAAUUCUUUAGUAAGAAACCUAUGUUUAUCAAUAUAACUAUCAAUUUCUUUAUUAGAAAAGUAUGAGCGCCUAAUUAAGUCAUUUUAACAUUAUUAUAAAUUUUACUAUUUCGGUUUUUCUCCUUUCUUUUCUAAAUAGAAUUUAUAAGUAUAACUAAAAAAAUGUUUAUUUAAUUCUUCUAACAUUAAUAUACUAAGAAUUAAUUAUAAAUUACUAAUUGGACUUUUAAUAACAUUUUUAUGGUCAUUAUGACAUAAACAAGUAUUUUACUUGUCGGCUUUUCGAGACCGGGGGGUCCCUGGGUCGACGAGUGAAAUGUCGCCGCGUGCCCCAGCCCAGAUGGGUCGGCGCGAGACGGAGCGCGAAGGGGGAAAAAAAGGCGACCGGAGCGAGAGAGAGGUGGAAAUCCUGCGGCCUUCGUGUUCGUCCCGCGCCCAGGUCGGGUGCGCUUGCAGUAGGGGGUUACAAGCGUCCACACGGGAGGGGGAGCGAGCGGCCUCACGCGAGCACCUGUCCCGUUCUCUUUCCCGCGCGGCCAACCCUCUGUAAGAGGGCGAUGGUCCUUCCUUUUAUAGGCGCAAGGAGAGGAUCCAGGUGUACAAUGGGGGUGUAGCAGAGUGCUAACGUGUCUAGCGGAGGAGAGCUAGCGCCCUAAGUACAUGCCAUCAUGGCAGCCGGAGAGGUUUUGGCACCCAGUUCGUGUGGUGUCGUGGCCGUCGGAGGAGCGCUGGAGCCUGGCGGAAGGACAGCUGUCGGGGCUGUUGAGUCCUUGCUGACGUCCUCUUGCUUCCAUAAGGGGGCUGAGAGCCGCCGUCGUCAUAGAGCGUGCGGGGUGCCAUCAUUACUUGUCUGGCGGAGCGAGCCAGAUGGGACGCCGGUCUUGUUCCCCGUAGCCUGAGUCAGCUUCGGGUAGGGUAAUGAUGACGCCUCCUGUUGACGUGGUCGGUCCGCGCCCUAGGUUGGGCGAUGUGGAGGCUCCUCCGAGGUCGAGGUCGAGUCUGUCUUCCGUGGCCAAGGUCGAGUCCGAGCCCCUGGGUCGGGCGAGGCGGAGACCGUCGGUUGAAGCCAGGGCUGAGUCCGAGUCCUGGGGUCGGGCGAAGCGGAGUUCGUCGUCUUCCGGGGCUGAGCCCGAGUCCGAGCCCUGGGGUCGGGCGGAUCGGAGUUCGCCGUCUUCCGGGGCUGAGCCCAAGUCCGAGCCCUGGGUCAGGCGGAGCGGAGUUCGCCGUCUUCCGGGGCUGAGCCCAAGUCCGAGCCCUGGGUCGGGCGGAGCGGAGUUCUCCGUCUUCCGGGGCUGAGCCCAAGUCCGAGCCCUGGGUCGGGCGGAGCGGAGUUCGCCGUCUUCCGGGGCUGAGCCCAAGUCCGAGCCCUGGGGUCAGGCGGAUCGGAGUUCGCCGUCUUCCGGGGCUGAGCCCAAGUCCGAGCCCUGGGUCGGGCGGAGCAGAGUUUCCUAUGGUGCCUGAGGCCGGGCCUGACUGCCUGUCAGCCUCACUCUAUCGAGUGGCACAGCAGUCGGAGCGGCGCAGGCGGCGCUGUCCUUCUGUUAGGCCGGUCAGUGGAGCGGUGAAGUGACUGCGGUCACUUCGGCUCUGUCGACUGGAGGACGUGCGUCAGGAUAAAGGCGUCAGGCCGCCUUUGCAUUAAGUGCCCCUGCGAUUUGGUCGGUUGGCGUUGCGAUUUGGCCAGGGUUGCUUCUUGGCGAAGACUGGGCCUCGGGUGAGCCGGGAGUUUGUUCGUCGCUGGAGGGGGGCCUCGGGCGAGACGGAGAUCCUCCGGGGUCGGCUGCCCUUGCCCGAGGCUGGGCUCGGGUGAGGCGUGAUCAAGUCCCUCGAAUGGACCGGUCCCUGGCUUAGUCGCACCCAUCAGGCCUUUGCAGCUUUGUGCUGAUGGGGGUUACCAGCUGAGAAUUAGGAGCCUUGAGGGUACCCCUAAUUAUGGUCCCCGACAGUAGCCCCCGAGCCUCGAAGGGAGUGUUAACACUCGCUUGGAGGCUUUUGUCGCACUUUUUUGCAAGGGGACCAGCCUUUCUCGGUUGCGUUUUGUUCCGGUGGGUGCGCGCGAGCGCACCCGCCGGGUGUAGCCCCCGAGGCCUCGGAGGAGUGGUUUGACUCCUCCGAGGUCUUAAUGCCUCGCGCAAUGCUUCGGCUGGUCUGGUUGUUCCCUCAUGCGAGCUGGCCGUAGCCCGGGUGCACGGUCGGGUCCCAAGUUCUCGGGCUGGUAUGUUGACGCUGUCAACGGUUUGGCCGGAGCUGGGUUUGCGAGAGCAGCCCCCGAGCCUCUGCACAGGGCGAGAGGACGGUCAGGGACAGACUCGACUUUUUUACAUACGCCCCUGCGUCGCCUUUCCGCAAGGAGGAGGGGGGGAAAGCACCAUGUUGCCCUCGGAGGGCGCCAAACAUGGUGUCUCCGGUGAGCUGCUGGCGGGUAAUCCGAGUGGACGCCCGUGCCCCAUUUGUUAGGGGUCGGCUAGAGGCCCAGAGGCGCGCUCAAAAGUACCUGCGGGUGAUCUGCCGGACCCGGUCCCCUGUCGACGGGGUCCGAGGGCUCGAUGCCUCCCUCUGAUGGGAUUCCGUUACAAGAUCGUUCCCGCUAGUUUCGGAAAUGUCCUAGGGUACCUCGGGAGCGUAGCCCGAGCCUUGGUUAUGUAUCGAACGUACCCAUGAUCAUCUCUCGCUCUGUGUCUGAGGCGGCUGUGAACCCUUCGAGGGCCAGCCUACAAACCCCUGAUCAGUAGUGGGCGCGGAGCCCGAGUGGCUUGAGGCAGCCGUUGAACCCUUCCGAGGGGCCGGCCUUCGAACCUCUGACCAGUAGUGGGUGUGGAGCCCACGCGCUCUGAGGCGGCUGUUAAACCCCUCCGAGGGGCCAGCCUUCGAACCCUUGAUCAGUAGGGAGGCUCGGAGCCUGUUUCCUUCAUGGAGAAGGAUCCUUUUUGGGGUAUCCCCCUUUCCCGGUCCCUAUUGUAAGAGAGAGAAAGAGGAAAAGGAAAAGGAUACGAAAUCGAAUGACGCGGCGUACCUUUUUGGACGCGGUCGUUAUGGCGAAGGCGAAGCGUCGCUUGCUUCUCCUGCCUAAGGCGCCGCCUGUCCCGCCGCGGAGUUAAUGCGACGUAGCGGGCGGUUCGCGGGGUGGCCGUUGCGCGUGCGCGAGCCGUUCGAGGAACGGAACACGGGCGCGCCGUCUUCACACCGUGAGAGAGGGUUCUCUCACUGCCCCAGGAUGGGACGUAAGCUUGGCUGACGACGUGACCGCGGCUCCUGCCCGCCUGCCACCGCCAUUACUGCCGGCCCAUUUUUGGCCGUAUUGAUUGUCGCGCCUGGCUGGCACUGCUGGGUCAUACGCAGGGUUGCCUCGAGUCGCGGUACUGGUUCCGCAGUCGAGGAGGCGUGGCAGUGGUGUGAGUGGCGGUGCAGUUGCUUGCACGUAGCGACCGGCGCGCCGGUUGCAUGAUGCGAGGGUGUGGGCCCCCAUGCUGGGUGCGUUGGAAGUCGGAGGGGCGCGCCCACUUGGCGCGGUUGCAUGCCGCCUGCAUGGCUGCCCGCCCUUUCGCCCGCUGGUCUGGGCGAAAGCGGAGGAAUGCUCGUAACCGCUGGGCGGUUGCAUGCACCGCGCGCGGUGGUUUGGCUUCUUCUGCUCUGGGCUAGCUUGCAUGAUGCGUGGGACCCAGCCCCCGCGCCGUAGGGGGAGGACCUUGGAGCGUGUUGGAGAAGACUCAGCCCACGACGGCUGGGGACGCAAGUAGGGAGAGUCGCCUUUAAAAGGAGGAUGACCCCCUUGGAAGGCGACCAUGUCUUCGCGCUCCCUUAUGCAUCGUGUCUUUCCACCUUCCGAGCCCCCGGAUGGGGGACACCCGCAAUCCUUCUGCCUUGUCGUUGGGGGAACGCAACUUCGUGGGAGUUGGUACCUUUCAGCCAUCGUUCGGCUUCAAGGAUUUUCAUCACGCGGCCCGGCUGCACUCCCUCGCCGGUGGUCACCCAAGACGGUGACCACCAGCCCCUGGGUGGGGAGAAGCAAGCCGGGCUGCGAUCUUGGUCCCGCCCUCAGCUUCAAGGAUGUUCAUCAUCCUCGCUGGGGCAGAGGCUGGGCUGAGCCGGAGCUCUACCUCCCGCGCGGGUUCGUGGGUCAGCCUCUCCUUCAGCAUUCAAGGGAGAGGGUGCUCACUGGCCCUGCGAGCGGGGCGGACUUCGAUAACGCAGGGCUGGUCGACGGCGGGCGUCGUCAGCUUCAGCACGUUGUGCUCGCCGGCUUGGCUCUCGGCGCCCCCUCCUGCCGCAAGGGCGGUUGUCGCGCCGUGCGCACGGGAGGACCGCCCAAGACGUUGUGCGCUGCCAGGGCGGCGUUCGUGUUCUGGGGCGGUCCUACCUUUGCACCGGUACGGCGCCCCCGCACGGAGGUCGGUGCUCCGCUCGUCUGGGAGGAUCCGAGUGGGGAUCUGCCGGUGGGCUGACGGCCCCUGUCGUUGGUGCCGAGGCGGAGGCGGCUCGAGAAGUCCCCGUCCCCGACGGGAUCACCGCCACCAUCCGCGCUUCGGGCCCCCGGCUCUUUGUACUUGUCCUCGCCCCUCGAGCGUCGGCGUGGGCGAGGGCAAGGUUGCAGCGGCGUUCGCCCUGAGGCCAUCGCUGCUGCAGUUCGGCCACCCGUAGAGGGGGUCGUUGUCGCUGCUGCUGGAGCGGGCGACGGUGGGCCGUUCGUCGGUCUUCCGUUGCUCCACAGGCCCCCCAAUCGAGUGGGGUUGUUCGUACCUGCGGAGGUGGAACCGGAGUUCCGUUUGUAAUGGCACCUUGGAUGCCGGCGUUCUGUUCAUUGUGGCUGUCAGGGCCUGAACGUGUAUGUAUUUUUGGCGCGGAGCCGUGUUUUUUCCUCAUUUUCGAGCACUAAGACUCGCCUGUUGGUUGUCUGAACCGCUUCACCAAGCGUGAGUCGCCCCGUACAUAGGUGACGAGUGAGGUAUUCGUAUCCCGGAGGUGUAGGAGUCCCUCGGCUCGGUCGGCCUUGCUGUCCGAGGCUUCUCUUGCUUAGUUAAAGGAACCCCUCGGCCGCUCUUCGAUGAGCCGAAGCUAGGGGUAGCAGUGUCAGCAUGGACAGAGGCAGAGUUGGCUCGAAAAGAAGACUUGGUCGGCCGAAGCCUGGCCGGGUCGUCCGUUAGCGGGACCGACGCUGGAGUUGAUCUGCCGAGGCCUCGGGCCAGGCUGAUGUCUUCGGGGGACAGCUGGCCGAGGCCUCGGGGUGACCAGCCGAGCCGCCUGCUCGAGCCGGGUUCUUGGAGGAGACCCUGGCGGCGAUGGCCCGGGCGUGAUGAUGAAGUCAUCCUUCAGAGUGGAGAUCCUCGGACCGCGUCGCCGUCCGAGGCUAGGUCGAACCUCGCCGAAGGUGUAGUCGACGCCGAGGGUGCUGCUGCCCCCUUCAACUGUCAAGAUCCGAGCCUACAGGAUCAGAUUAUCUUGUAGUGUGCGUUUUCUGCGGCCGCCGAGGCCCAAACACACCCUCGCCGUGUUGUAAAGCUGCACUUCUUUUCCUCUUGUUUCGAGUCUCUGGACUUUUUCGUCGGUAAUAGAAUUGUCUAUGCGAGCGAGAGUUGCUUUUCACGGAAGGUGAUGAGUGAGGUAUCUGUAUCUCGGAGGCGUAGGAAUCCCUCGGCUCGGUCGGCCUUGCCGCUUACGCGCGCUCUUGCCCGUCCAUGGGGUUCUGUCACCGGCGUAGUCGAGAAAGCCCGAAGAAUCGCUUCGGCAGAAGAGCUUUCGAACGUGAAGACAUGUUCGGUCCGCGGAAUCACUUAUCCGAACGCGAGUUACUUAUCGCAGAAGGUGAUGAGUGAGGUAUCCGUAUCCCAGAGGCGUAGGAGUCCCUCGGCUCGGUCAUCCUUGGCUGCUUACGUGUACUCCGUCGUUUUCAGGAUCCACUUUCGAAGCAGUCGAAAAGCAUGAAAGACAUUCUGGCAGAAAAGAUCUUUUUUCGAGGAAAAUUUCGACGCAGAGGGGGUUCCCCCCUUUUAGCCCCCGAGGGAGGGUCAGGCUUUACCGAGGCAAGGCUGACCCUUCCUUGAUGACUAAACUUUGCGUGGGAGCGAGGUAUAUGAACAACUUGAAAGCAUCUUAAGGGUAGAAGCGACGUAGCUGUUGGAUGUUCCAAGCGUUGUUGUAGACCUCGCCUUGACUGUUGGCCAGCUUGUACGUUCCGGGCUUCAGAACUUUGGCGAUGACGAACGGCCCUUCCCAGGGAGGCGUGAGCUUGUGCCGCCCUUGGGCGUCCUGUCGCAGCCGAAGCACCAGGUCGCCCACCUGGAGGUCUCGGGACCGGACCCCUCGGGCGUGGUAGUGUCGCAGGGACUGCUGGUACCGCGCCGAGUGUAGUAAGGCCAUGUCCCGAGCCUCUUCCAGCUGGUCCAGCGAGUCUUCUCGACUAGCUUGGUUGCUUUGGUCGGUGUAGGCCCUCGUCCUCGGGGAACCGUAUUCUAAGUCUGUGGGCAAGAUGGCCUCGACCCCAUAGACUAGAAGGAACGACGUGAAGCCCGUGGCUCGGCUCGGCGUUGUCCUCAGACUCCAGACCACCGAGGGGAGUUCCUUCAUCCAUCGCUUGCCGAACUUGUUGAGGUCGUUGUAGAUCCGAGGCUUGAGUCCUUAUAGAAUCAUGCCGUUGGCACGCUCUACUUGCCCAUUCGUCAUGGGGUGAGCCACGACUGCCUAGUCCACCCGGAUGUGGUGAUCCUCGCAGAAGUCCAGGAACUUUAUGCCGGUGAACUGGGUGCCGUUGUCGGUGAUGAUGGAGUUCAGGACCCCAAAACGAUGGAUGAUGUUGGUGAAGAACGCCACCGCCUGUUCGGACCUGAUGCUGUUUAGGGGUCGGACCUCAAUCCACUUGGAGAAUUUGUCGAUGGCGACCAACAGGUGCGUGUAGCCCCCGGGUGCCUUCUGCAAGGGGCCGAUGAGGUCCAGACCCCACACAGCAAAAGGCCAGGUGAUGGGUAUCGUCUGCAGAGCCUGAGCGGGCAGGUGGGUCUGCCUCGCGUAGAACUGACACCCUUCACAGGUGCGGACAAUUCUAGUGGCGUCGGCCACCGCCGUCGGCCAGUAGAAACCUUGUCGGAAGGCGUUUCCAACGAGGGCUCGAGGUGCUGCGUGAUGGCCGCAAGCCCCCGAGUGUAUCUCUCGUAGGAGCUCCUGACCUUCGGCGAUGGAAAUGCAUCGCUGGAGGAUGCCUGAGGGGCUGCGGUGGUAGAGCUCCUUCCCAUCUCCCAGCAAGACGAACGACUUGGCGCGCCGCGCCAACCGCCGAGCUUCGGCUCGAUCGAGGGGUAGCUCUCCUCGGUGGAGAUAUUGCAGGUACGGGGUCUGCCAGUUUCGAUCAGGCGUGACCCCGCUUUGCUCCUCCUCGACGCGCAGUGCCUCACCCUCAGGGGCCGAGGGUACCUCGGGCUGAACCGAGGGUGCCUCGGGCCGAGCCGAGGGUGCCUCGGACUGAGCCGAGGGUACCUCGGGCUCGGGCGUGUCGUCGAUCUUGACGGAGGGUUGAUGCAGGUCUCGGGAGAAGAUGUCCGGGGGAAUCGUUGUUCGCCCCGAGGCUAUUUUAGCCAGCUCGUCCGCAGUCUCGUUGUAGCGCCGGGCGAUGUGGUUGAGCUCGAGCCCGUAGAACUUGUGUUCCAGGCGCUGAACCUCAUCGCAGUAGGCCUCCAUCUUCGGGUCGUGGCAGUGGGAGUUCUUCACGACUUGGUCGAUGACGAGCUGCGAGUCACCGCGGGCGUCGAGGCAUCGGACCCCUAGCUCGAUGGCGAUCCGCAACCCGUUGACCAGAGCCUCGUACUCAGCCACAUUGUUGGACGCCGGGAAAUGGAGGCGUAACACGUAGCGUAGGUGCUUCCCGAGGGGCGAGAUGAAGAGUAGGCCUGCGCUGGCUCCUGUCUUCAUCAGCGACCCGUCGAAGAACAUGGUCCAGAGUUCCGGCUGGAUCGGAACUGUUGGGAGCUGGGUGUCGACCCAUUCAGCCACGAAGUCCGCCAAGACCUAGGACUUGAUGGCCUUCCGAGGGGCGAACGAGAUUGUUUCGCCCAUGAUUUCCACCGCCCACUUCGCGAUUCUACCCGAGGCCUCUCGGCACUGGAUGAUCUCCCCCAGGGGGAAGGAUGACACCACAGUUACCGGGUGAGACUCGAAGUAGUGUCGCAACUUCCGCCGCGUCAGGAUCACCGCGUACAGCAGCUUCUGAACUUGUGGGUAGCGGAUUUUGGUCUCGGACAGUACCUCGCUGAUGAAGUAGACUGGCCUCUGGACGGGCAAUGCAUGCCCCUCUUCUCGUCUCUCGACCACAAUCGCGGCGCUAACCACCUGAGUGGUCGCGGCGACGUAGAUCAUGAGGGCUUCUCCGGCAGUGGGAGGCACCAAGACGGGCGCGUUGGUGAGGAGCGCCUUCAGGUUCCCGAGGGCUUCCUCGGCCUCAGGGGUCCAAGUGAAGCACUCGGCCUUCCUUAAGAGGCGGUACAGAGGCAGGCCUCUUUCGCCGAGGCGUGAGAUGAAACGGCUCAGAGCCACAAGACAUCCCAUGACUCUCUGUACGCCUUUCAAGUCCUUGAUGGGCCCCAUGCUGGUGAUGGCCGCGAUCUUCUCCGGGUUGGCUUCGAUGCCCCGCUCGGAGACGAUGAACCCCAAGAGCAUGCCUCGGGGAACCCCAAAGACACACUUCUCGGGAUUAAGCUUCACGCCUUUCGCCUUGAGACAUCGGAAUGUCACUUCAAGGUCGGAAAGGAGGUCGGAGGCUUUCCUCGUCUUGACUAUGAUGUCAUCGACGUAGGCCUCGACCGUCCGGCCAAUGUGUUCGCCGAACACAUGGUUCAUGCACCGCUGGUACGUCGCACCCGCAUUCCUCAAGCCGAACGGCAUGGUGACGUAACAGUACAUACCGAAGGGUGUGAUGAAAGAAGUCGCGAGCUGGUCGGACUCAUUCAUCCUGAUUUGGUGAUACCCUGAGUAGGCAUCGAGGAAAGACAGGGUUUCACACCCAGCAUUGGAAUCCACGAUUUGAUCGAUGCGAGGCAGAGGGUAGGGAACCUUCGGGCAUGCUUUGUUUAGACCAGUGUAGUCUACACACAUCCGCCAUUUCCCUCCUUUCUUUCUCACAAGCACAGGGUUGGCAAGCCAUUCGGGAUGAAAUACCUCUUUGAUGAACCCUGCCGCCAUUAGCUUGUGGAUCUCCUUGCCUAUGGCUCUGCGCUUUUCUUCGUCGAACGGUGCAGAGGCUGCUUGAUGGGUCGAGCUCCGGCUCGGAUAUCCAGCGAGUGCUCGGCGACAUCCCUCGGUAUGCCAGGCAUGUCCGAGGGACUCCACGCGAAAACGUUGGCGUUCGCACGGAGAAAGUUGACGAGCACUGCUUCCUAUUUGGGAUCGAGCUCGGAGCCGAUCCGGAUCUGCUUGGAAGCAUCGCUGCUGGGGUCGAGGGGGAUGGACUUAACCGUCUCCGCUGGCUCGAAGUUGCCGGUGUGACGCUUCACGUCUGGCACCUCCUUAGAGAGGCUCUCCAGGUCGGCGAUGAGGGCCUCGGAUUCGGCGAGGGCCUCGGCGUACUCCACGCACUCGACGUCGCAUUCGAACGCGUGUCGGUACGUGGGGCCGACGGUGAUGACCCCGUCGGGGCCCGGCAUCUUGAGCUUGAGGUAGGUGUAGUUGGGGACGGCCAUGAACUUCGCGUAGCAUGGCCUCCUUAGUACUGCGUGGUAGGUUCCUCGGAACCCGACCACCUCGAACGUGAGGGUCUCCCUUCGGAAGUUGGAGGGUGCCCCGAAGCAGACGGGAAGGUCGAGUUGUCCGAGGGGCUGGACGCGCUUCCCAGGGAUGAUCCCGUGGAAAGGCGCAGCGCCUGCCCGGACCGAGGACAGAUCAACACGCAGGAGCCCGAGGGUCUCGGCGUAGAUGAUGUUGAGGCUGCUGCCUCCGUCCAUGAGGACCUUGGUGAGCCUGACGUCGCCGAUGACGGGGUCGACAACGAGCGGGUAUUUCCUCGGGCUAGGCACGUGGUCGGGGUGGUUGGCUUGGUCGAAGGUGAUGGGCUUGUCGGACCAGUCUAGGUAGACUGGCAUCGCCACCUUCACCGAACAGACCUCCCGACGCUCUUGCUUGCGGUGCCGAGCCGAGGCGUUCGCCGCUUGCCCACCGUAGAUCAUGAAGCAGUCGCGGACCUCAGGGAACUCUCCUGCCUGGUGAUCUUCCUUCUUGUCGUCGUCGCGAGCCCUGCCACCCUCCGCGGGUGGCCCGGCCCUGUGGAAGUGGCGCUGAAGCAUAGCGCACUCCUCAAGGGUGUGCUUGACGGGCCCCUGAUGAUAGGGGCAUGGCUCCUUGAGCAUCUUGUUGAAGAGGUUGGCACCUCCGGGGGGUUUCCGAGGGUUCUUGUACUCGGCGGCGGCAACAAGGUCCGCGUCGGCGGCGUCGCGUUUCGCUUGCGACUUCUUCUUGCCCUUCUUCUUGGCGCCACGCUGAGUUGACGCCUCGGGGGCAUCUUCUAGUGGGCGGCCCUGGGGCUGCUUGUCCUUCUGAAAGAUAGCCUCAACCGCCUCCUGGCCAGAGGCGAACUUGGUGGCGAUGUCCAUCAGCUCGCUCGCCCUGGUGGGGGUCUUUCGACCCAGCUUGCUGACCAGGUCGCGGCAAGUGGUGCCAGCGAGGAACGCGCCGAUGACAUCUGAAUCGGUGACGUUGGGCAGCUCGGUGCGCUGCUUCGAGAAUCGCCGGAUGUAGUCCCGGAGAGACUCUCCCGGCUGCUGCCGGCAGCUUCGGAGGUCCCAGGAGUUUUCAGGGCGCACGUACGUGCCCUAGAAAUUGCCGGCGAAGGCUUGGACCAGGUCGUCCCAGUUGGAGAUCUGCCCCGGAGGCAGGUGCUCCAACCAGGCGCGAGCGGUGUCGGAGAGAAACAGGGGGAGGUUGCGGAUGAUGAGGUUGUCAUCGUCCGUCCCACCCAGUUGGCAGGCCAGCCGGUAGUCCGCGAGCCACAGUUCCGGUCUCGUCUCCCCCAAGUACUUUGUGAUAGUAGUCGAGGGUCAGAACCAGGUCGGGAACGGCACCCAUCGUAUGGCGCGGCUGAAAGCCUGCGGACUGGGUGGUUCGGGCGAGGGACUCCGAUCCUCCCCGCUGUCGUAGCGUCCCCCACGCCUGGGGUGGUAGCCUCGGCGCACCCUCUCGUCGAGGUGGGCCCAACAGUCGCGGUGAUGGUGCUCGUUGCCGAGGCGACCCGAGGCCGCAGGCGCUGUGUUGCGCGUGCGCCCGGUGUGGACCGAGGCUUCCCGCAUGAAUCAGGAAGUCGCAGCGCGAUGUUCCGAGGGGUACCCCUGCCUUCGGGAGGCGGAGCUUUCGGCCCGUCGGACCGCAGCGCCCUCCAGGAGAUUCUUGAGCUCUCCCUAGAUUCGCCGCCCCUCGGUGGUUGAUGGCUCUGGCAUCGCGCGGAGAAGCAUUGCUGCUGCAGCCAGGUUCUGGCCGACUCCACUGGAAGCGGGUGGCGGCCUUGCCCUGACAUCGUCGGCGAUGCGGUGCUGGAUACCCUAGGGUAGAUGAUGCAUUUCUUCGGCCGGAGGUUGGCCCGCCCAUUCCUGCCCGACGUCCCGGCGGAUCGGCUCAAGUGCUCCUGCUCCCUCGUCGAGCCUGGCCGGCACCCCACGGAUUUGCUCGAGCUGUGGGUCAUGACCCCCUGCCAGAACGGGGACCACAGCUAGCUCCCGUAGGAUGUCAACGCGAGGCACAGUCCUAGGGAGAUCACCGUUCUCUGGCAUACCGAGAUGGUUGCCUUCGGAGGGACCCCCUAGAUCGACGUGGAAACAUUCACGACUUGGGCCGCAGUCCUCGUCGCCGAGGCUGCGGCUACCGUUGGAACAGUCGGAAAGGCAGUAGUCGCAUGCGGUCAUGAAGUCCCACAUGGCACUAGGGUUACCAAGUCCGGAGAAAUCCCAACAGAAGUCAGGCUCGUCAUCUUCCUCGGAGCCCGAGGGCCCGUAGGUCGAGACAUCCGUCAGCCGGUCCCAAGGUGACCGCAUACGAUACCCCAGAGGGUUCGGACUCGCCUCUAUGAGAGCGUCCGCCAAAGCGAAGUCGCUUGGCGGGUCGAGGCUGAAUGCAAGGGGCUUGAGAUGGGAAUCGGUCGGUACCUCUUGGUCGACGGGCGGUGAUGAAGUCACGUCAGGGACUGACUGCACCGUCGUCUCAGGUACGAGGGUGACGCCCAGCAAGCCUUUCGCGAGCGUGCUGGCGUCGUCCGUUUGCUUGGAAUUGACGUGUUGCGGGGAGACGGCGCUCGUCUUCGUCUCAAACGCGAGGUCGAUGCCCGACGUGCCCCCAGUUGGGGCGCCGGCGCCGUUGACUCGCUCGACAGCCGACGAGGUGCCGCCUCCUGCUUGGCCUUGGUUGUCCCACCUCCUCCUCCGUCGGCGGGGGAGAGGGCGGGGUGAGCUCGAAUGUUGCUCUUCCACCACGCGGGGAAGACGUCGUCGAUUCCGCCGCCGGCGGGUGGGCUGUCGGCCCCCAUUGUCGCUGUCGCACGGCGGGGGAAGGAGUACCAUGUCGUAGCUGCCGUCGAGGGACAUGAACUCAAGACUCCUGAAACGGAGCACCGUCCUGGGCCGGAAAGGUUGCUGGAGACUGCCCAUCUGGAGCUUGACGGGAAGCUGUUCGUCAACACGCAGCAGGCCCCUACCUAGCGCGCCAACUAUCGGCGUUUCGAGACCAGAGGGUCCCUGGGCCGACGAGUGAAAUGUCGCCGCGUGCCCCAGCCAUAUGGGUCGGCGCGAGACGGAGCGCGAAGGGGGGAAAAAGGCGACCGGAGCGAGAGAGACAGAGGUGGAAAUCCCGCGGCCUUCGUGUUCGUCCCGCGCCCAGGUCGGGUGCGCUUGCAGUAGGGGGUUACAAGCGUCCACGCGGGAGGGGGAGCGAGCGGCCUCACGCGAGCGCCUGUCCCGUCCUCUUCCCCGCGCGGCCAACCCUCUAUAUGAGGGCCCUGGUCCUUCCUUUUAUAGGCGCAAGGAGAGGAUCCAGGUGUACAAUGGGGGUGUAGCAGAGUGCUAACGUGUCUAGCGGAGAAGAGCUAGCGCCCUAAGUACAUGCCAUCGUGGCAGCCGGAGAGGUUUUGGCACCCAGUUCGUGUGGUGUCGUGGCCGUCGGAGGAGCGCUGGAGCCUGGCGGAAGGACAGCUAUCGGGGCUGUUGAGUCCUUGCUGACGUCCUCUUGCUUUCGUAAGGGGGCUGAGAGCCGCCGUCGUCAUAGAGCGUGCGGGGUGCCAUCAUUACUUGUCUGGCGGAGCAAGCCAGAUGGGACGCCGGUCUUGUUCCCCGUAGCCUGAGUCAGCUUGGGGUAGGGUAAUGAUGACGCCUCCUGUUGACGUGGUCGGUCCGCGCCCUAGGUUGGGCGAUGUGGAGGCUCCUCCGAGGUCGAAGUCGAGUCUGUCUUCCGUGGCCGAGGUCGAGUCCGAGCCCCUGGGUCGGGCGAGGCGGAGACCGUCGGCUGAAGCCAGGGCUGAGUCCGAGCCCUGGGGUCGGGCGAAGCGGAGUUCGUCGUCUUUCGGGGCUGAGCCCAAGUCCGAGCCCUGGGGUCGGGCGGAUCGGAGUUCGCCGUCUUCCGGGGCUGAGCCCAAGUCCGAGCCCUGGGUCGGGCGGAGCGGAGUUCGCCGUCUUCCGGGGCUGAGCCCAAGUCUGAGCCCUGGGGUCGGGCGGAUCGGAGUUCGCCGUCUUCCGGGGCUGAGCCCAAGUCCGAACCCUGGGUCGGGCGGAGCGGAGUUUCCUAUGGUGCCUGAGGCCGGGCCUGACUGCCUGUCAGCCUCACUCUGUCGAGUGGCACAGCAGUCGGAGCGGCGCAGGCGGCGCUGUCCUUCUGUCAGGCCGGUCAGGGGAGCGGCGAAGUGACUGCGGUCACUUCGGCUCUGUCGACUGGAGGACGUGCGUCAGGAUAAAGGCGUCAGGCCACCUUUGCAUUAAAUGCCCCUGCGAUUUGGUCGGUUGGCGUGGCGAUUUGGCCAGGGUUGCUUCUUGGUGAAGACUAGGCCUCGGGCGAGCCGGGAGUUUGUUCGUCGCUGGAGGGGGGCCUCGGGCGAGACGGAGAUCCUCCGGGGUCGGCUGCCCUUGCCCGAGGCUGGGCUCGGGCGAGGCGUGAUCGAGUCCCUCGAAUGGACCGAUCCCUGGCUUAGUCGCACCCAUCAGGCCUUUGCAGCUUUGUGCUGAUGGGGGUUACCAGUUGAGAAUUAGGAGCCUUAAGGGUACCCCUAAUUAUGGUCCCCGACAUUACUAAUCUUAAGUAAUUAAGUGUUAUACUUACAUUUACCCUGACUAGUGAAGUCUAUAUUUUUAUCUGACUAAACAUACGUGGCCUCGGUGUAAUGACUUAACAAAUUCAUAAAAAUAAACUAAUUAUUACCGAAUUAUUUAUACUAUGAAUAGUGAUCUCAUUUUAGUUUUAUCUUUUCUUUCUAAAAAGAAAAUGUCAUUAAUAAUCAGAGAUCAAAACAUCUAAUUAAACCACUGUUUAUACUAUAAUAUUUGUAUUGUUAUGAAUUCUAUACCACUUACUAAUUAUGUGUUAAGAAGAGUUUUUAUUACCUAUUUAGUGAGUUUAGAGGAAUUUAUGAAUAUAAACUUUUAGAUAAAUUCUAAAAUUCGUCAUAAACAAAAUUAACUAAGUUAUUAUUUAUCUAGUGUUUUCAUCACUAACACAUGGUCUACCAAAUUUUGUCUUUCCUCUGUCCAAUCCCAAAUUCUAGAGAACUCGCAAAUCAAUAUCACGUCUAAAAACCAUUCACUAAUUCAUCGCACAAAUACUCAAAGUUAAUCGUUACACACAUGAAUUCCAAAUCACAACGAAUAAUUACCAAAUUCAUGAAUUAAUUCAAAAUAUGAUUUUGAAGUUAUAAAAAUAUUUGGGUUGACUUCAACCUUGUGGUGAAUGGAGGGAUUCGAUCGCUGUGAGGCGAGACGUUCGGACGGCGAGGCGUGGAUGGUCCAGUUGGUGUGCUGUGCGGUCGCGUCGACGGCGUAAUUCCGGCAAUGCGUUUGGACGGCGGGGCGCGAACUCCGGCGGGACUCCACGGAUGGCGAACGGCGUACGGAUGCGGACAGUCCGGCAACGAGCUUCACGACGGCGAGCUGGAGUAGGUUGAUGGAGAACGAUGACGACGGUUCAACACACAGCAGCAGGGAGCUAGCAUGGUGAAGACAAACGGCGACGCACAACAGCAGCACAGGUUUGGCGGGGACUACAGGCGCGAACGACGAAGCAUGUGGAGUCCCGCGAGCGAUGGCAAUGAUGCGGCGUGACGACACAGCACGAGCGUGGGGAAUCCAGGUAGAUGGACGGGCUUCGGGACAGGAACAUCAAGGAAUGGCGAGAGGAGGAAGAUGAACAUGAAAAUGGCAAUUGCUGCUGGCUAAGGGAGUGCAGCGUCCUUAUAUAGGGGAAGAGAGACAGGAGAUUGGCCAGAUUAACUUUCCCUAAUGUCCAGUUAAACGUUACAUUCAUCCACAUUCGUACCUAGAAGAAAUGCUAUCAAUGGCGAACCUUAUGGAGCUAUUACUGCUGUGAGUAAAAGUGGAGCGGACGGCACGGGUGGGAAACGUAACGGACGACGAACAAACAGCAAACGUGCAAAGCUAUAAUGGGAGAUUGAAGAGAAUCCAAACAGCAGGUCCACGCGUCAUAGGGGCAAAGCGAGAGAAGGUGAGCAGGCUGGGCACUUGGCAAACGUGUGGGCGAGUGCAUUUUUUUCUUUUUUUUUUGCAUUUUCUUUUUUAAAUAGAAUAGUAUAUUCCCAAACGUGUGGGAUGUGGAUUUUUUUACUUCUUCUUCUUUUUUUUAAAUAAAAAAUAUAUAAUAGUAUAUUUAUAUAUGUUCUAAAAUUUCAGAAUAAAUCCAAUUUUAUAAUAAACUUAUUUUGCACUAUAAUUCUUUUUAUGAGAAUUCCAUUAUUUAAAUAAAAGGUUCUUUAAAUAAAGGAAUAAAAUCAAUAAAAAUAGAAUUUUACUUAUAAAUUUAAUUAUUAACAUAUCAAAAUUCAUAUUUCAAUUAUAUAUUUUAGCAAUUCAUUAUUUUAUGAAAUAAGGUUCUUCUCACAAAAUUAAAUCCAGAAAUUGGAUUUGAAAUUUAAAUGAAACAAAACAUAUGCGUCGACAUGAAUGCAUCAAACACUUGGUAAAAUUUUAUCUAAUCAAGAAAUUGUUCAGUUUAUUUAUAUCACCAUUUCAUUUUUUGAAAUAUAAAUAUUUUCCUUUCUACUGGAAAUUAAUAAUUCAAAUAGGGUUGUUUGCUUUUGCUAGAUUUAGGGUGUUACAAGAUCUACCCCCUUAAAAAGAAUCUCGUCCUCGAGAUUAGGGAAGGCUAGCAAGAAAACAAUGGUGAUAUAUGGUUAUUCGUAGGUUCUUGGUUCACACUUUAACUCAUCUAAACUUAAGGAACUUAUUCAUUUCUUCGCUCUGUAAUGACUACUAUUCAAGCGAUCUUCAUCAUCGUACUUAUAACUGGUUGGUCUUCUGAAUUAUUGUUUGGGUCUUGCUUUGCAGACUUCUUCUUUAGUUGGUCUAGACGCUUCUUGGGGCAUUGCGAAUAAUAUGUUCUUCAUUUUUGCAGUAGUAGCAAGCACCUCUUGCUUUGAGUUCUUUGCGAGUCAAUUUUGCUUGACCAACAGGUGAUGAGGGAUGAUUGAUUGUCUGUAUCUCAUAUAGCUGAGUCUGGCUUGAUUCUUCUGUUUGGGUAUCCAUGUGUUUCGGGGCUUUUGCUUGUGGUUGAGGUGAACUACUCAUGUAUCCAAACAUUAUUCUAUUCCUUUUGUUGUUCUUCACGAUGUUGAUGGAAGUUUCUAUGCAUUUUGGUUCAUAUCCCAUGUCUGGAGAUUGAGAUAGCUUAAUCUCGGAGGUGCCCGAUAGUGAACUCUUCUCAGGACAAUUACGAAAGUAAUGACCUUCACGUCCACAUUGAUAGCAAGCUUUUCUUGAAGUUAGUUCUUGACUUUUUCCAUGUUUCCCUUUUCGUUUCUUGGACCUGAUGCGACGACAAGGCUGAAAUUGUGAGCAAGUAAUAGUCCAUCCAUCAAUGUAACACUCCUGUGUUUCUUCUUGGGGCUGGGCAUCCUUGUGAUGUUUCCUUUUUGGAAUACUUUGUAAUUCAUCAACUGACAGUGCAUUAGGUAUGAGAGAAUCUGCUAUUAGUUGUUCUUGGGGAGACAUUUGUCUGUUUAUCCCAGAAAAUAAAAUCCGGUUCUUCUGUUUUGUAGUUUCACUUUCGUUUGUACUGAUCUGGCGACAAGGAAUUCCAUAGUACUCACAACAACAACAUGUUCCAAGGUCACUUGUUUGUUGGUUUGGUUGUGCAUCCUUUUGUGUCUUGAAUGUCUGUUCAUCAGCUGUUUUAUUUAUAGUGUUGUUUUGACUUGCCAACACACCACAUUCUUUGCACUUAGUGACAUCACUUGUAGUUGACAUUCCAAGGUCUGACAUCUGUAUGGGUAUGGAAGAAUGGAAGGGACAAAAGGGUUGAGUAAAGAUAGAUUAUAGAGAGCAGAGAAAACCCAUCUAUCUAAGGUUUUUUCCUAGCUAAUUGAUGUCAUUGUGGACAAAAGUCACACAAUACACCAACAAUCAUUUCAAAGAAGCAAAUCAAACAUGAACACAAAGGACAAUGAAUUCAAGCAUACUAGCACAACACAAUCCAAUUCUACUCAUUCAACCAAAACAAAAGGUGAGACAAGGUUUGGAAUAAGAAAGAUAUUAUAAAGUCAAGGAGUCAGGUAAGAAUUAUCAAGGAGUUAGACAAGACAUAUUUGUCGGUGACCAAUAGUGAAAUAAGAUAAUCAUGAACUAUUAAAGUCAGGAUAAAUGAUACAACCAAGGAGAUAAAGUGAGUUAGGGAGAAAGCAUUAUCAAGGGGAAAAGUAGAGAGGCAAAGGUUUAAUAUAUAACAAGGUAGAUAUUGCACAAAGGGGGCAAUACAAUGGCACGAAAGCAAAAGUGUAAGAAUUUAAUAGGGAGAAAUCAUUAUCAAGGAGAAAAGUAGAGAGGCAAAAGUUUAAUAUAUAUCAAGGUAGAUAUUGCGCAAGGAUGGCAAUACAAUGGCAAGAAAACAAAAGUAUAAGAAGUCAAGGGUUAUAUAGCAAUAUUAGGGAUUAGAAAACCACUUAUAAUAUAAUAUCGCCAUUACCGAUCUAGUCGAAAAUCUUAAUACUAAAGAACUAUCCUAUCAACCUAGCAAAGAAGUCAGAUAAUAGAUCCAAGAGAUCUAUAACGAAAACUUCUUGUGGGGCGGGGAUAAGACAGAGAAUGGGGCAUCUUCAAUAGCUUCUAAAGGUUUCCUUCCGGUAGACUUCACUUCAAGUUCUACAAUCCUAACUUGAUCAUCUUGUAGUGCUUCUGAGUAGAGUCUUCUGAUAGACCAAAAUCAGACUAGAAGAGUUGAAAAUAAAAGAGACGAGUUUUGAUAUAAAGUAAGUUUUUAUGGAGGACAAUAUUUCAAGCUUUUGAAAGACUGACUGGGCUUUCCAUUUCUAACUAAUCUAGCGACCUACGGUCACAUUGCUUUGAUACCACUUCUGUCACACCCGUUUCCCAAGGGUAGAGCCGGGUGCAUAGCAUAUGUGUGCCAGGAUCUAUUUCCACACAUGUGUUGACGUCACAAGUGUAAUAUAUCAAAAGAACAAUGCAUAAAAGCGUAAAUAACGAUUAUAUUAACAUAUUACACUUCGAACAGACAUAUUGUCUUAACCUUUAUUCAUCAAAGUACAGCAAAACAGGGACAUCCAUCCACAGGAAGAUGACCGGGGGUAUCACUAGACUAGCAUCCAUGGAGUUCACCAUCAAAAUCUUCAUCUGCAAACUUCUAAUCAAAAUUAAGCAAGGGUGAGCUCACUUAUGGUCGGGGCUCAGCAAGUGGGGGAAAAACUAAUGCAAGGUAACAAGGUGAGGCUAAGGUUGAGCAGUAAGCAUUUUAGUUGGUCAACAUUUUAUUAACAACACUUGUCUUACUAAUAAGUGUGAAUCCCAAGUAUUCCCAUUAAACAAAGGUAUAAGAGUAUAUAAAAAACACUUAAGUGAAACCACUUAAGCAAACCAUUGGCAGAUCAUCGGAUCUCGAUUUAUUUCCAUCUUCAAGUUCAAUUAUCAUGUGAGGAGUCCAGACUGCUCAUAACCGUGAGCACGGCUGAUAUAUUAGUUUUACACUCUGCAGAGGUGGUACAACUUUACCCACAAGCCAUGUAUCCCCUCUAGCCUGGGUCGGCCAAAACCCGUAAACACUUCCGAGGUGAGUGGCUAGGGAUCCACUAUGAGGCUUUCACAAAAUACACUUAAUACGAAGCAACCCGCUAAGGUUUCUAAAGACGAUGGUGGUGGCCCCGUGGGUGAGGUACCUUAGCCAAGAAUACGUCCCCAUGUUAACAUGGGCUGCCAACACCUACCGCUCCCCCUCUUGCCCAUAUUUUAGGUAAGGUUGCCAGGCACUAAGCAUAUAAAGCUAGUUACCAAAGCCAGAGCCAUGAUAGCACUCGUGGUUGCACUGUUUUCCCGGGUGGUCACUCCAUGUUCCAAUUAAUAUGCAAUAAUCUUGUUUAACCAUCGGGUUAAUAACAAUAAUGUAAACUUACCAUUUUGGAACAUUAAUAUCAUAAGCGGGAGUGACUGCAUAAAGUUAAGUUGUAGCAAUAGCAUAACUACGAAGGUAAAGUAUAAUUCCCAGGUUUGAUCAAGGAAUAAGGUUGGAAAGGUUAUCUAAAUAGGUAACCCAUCAAAUUAUGCAUAUAUAUCCAAAAGAAUAAACUUUAUUAAAUGUAUUGUUUGGGAUCAAACAGAGUAUGCAGAGGGAGAAGUCCACUUGCCUUGCUUAUUGAAAACUUGAGACUCUUCCACGGAUCUGAAUAGAUCUUGAUUCUUAACUACUAGAUCAACCACUGAAUAUCACACAAACAAACAAGAAGAAACAAACACCACUCAAUAACUUACAACAUUCACCAUACAUAAAGCUAAAAGAAAGCCUAACGAAAAGAGCGUUCGCUUUUAAAGAACAUCACAAGUAAUGGUUAUAAUAAGAGGGUAUUCUUUUCAAAAAUGUGUGAUCUAUACUUUAUAAAACAAUACAUGAGCUUAAAAAUAUCUUAAUUAAAAUAUACAAAUAUUGGGUUCAUCAAUUUUAAUCUUUUAUAAAACGUCAUCCGUGAUACGUCUAGAUUAAGGGUUUAUAAGAUGAUAAAACACGUUAUAACAAUAUUAAACCUUUUAGAGAAGAUAUAUGUUAUAUAUCUAAGGUUAAUGGGCUACUAAUCACGUUAUUAAUUUUAGAAGCAUUAUGAAGCAUUUUAUAAAUAUUGUUAACCAAUUACUUAUGACAAAUUAAGAUAUAAGUCUAAAUAGGUUUUAUGUGAAAAGGUCAUUAUUAUUAUUAAAUACCUAUUUAUAGAAAGUUAUGGUAUAUGCCUUAAAUGAACUUUUAUGUAAAAGACAAUGAACAAAUAACUAUCUUUUAAUUUUAUUUGAAAAAAAUAUAGCCUAUAUUAUUAUAUUCGAAGUCAAUAUAUAAAGUAACAUUUUAAGUUAUAAAAGAACUUAAACUCUUAUUACUUUAUUUUAUCCUUUAGGAAAAACUAAGUCAUCCGUAUACAAUGUGGACUAAAUUUUAUGAAAUCAUUAAUCACACCAUAAAUCUAAUUAAGAACAAAUUGACUAUAGAUUUGUUUAAUACAUUAUGAUAAAGGAUACUUAACCUAUUAAUUGUAGGAACAAAUGAUCUAAUUCAUUAGAAGGAAGUUAUGUAUAAACUAUCAUUUUAGUUUAUAAAAGCACUGACCCUUGUUAUCUUUUAAUUAAGAAAAUAUAAAUAAUCUAUUAAUUGGACAUAUAUUUAUCUUCUAUUUUUAUUAAGAAACAUAUGGUCUACAUAUUCUUUUAAGUUUCCAUUUAAUACAGAUAUACUUAAACAUCUAUAACGAACCUUGUUAAAUAUAAUAUCUAUUAAAAAGGUCAUUUUAAACUAGAAACAUGUUAUCUAAUUCUUUAGUAAGAAACAUAUGUUUAUCAAUAUAACUAUCAAUUUCUUUAUUAGAAAAGUAUGAGCGCCUAAUUAAGUCAUUUUAACAUUAUUAUAAAUUUUACUAUUUCAGUUUUUCUCCUUUCUUUUCUAAAUAGAAUUUAUAAGUAUAACUAAAAAAAUGUUUAUUUAAUUCUUCUAACAUUAAUAUACUAAGAAUUAAUUGUAAAUUACUAAUUGGACUUUUAAUAACAUUUUUAUGGUCAUUAUGACAUAAACAAGUAUUUUACUAAUCUUAAGUAAUUAAGUGUUAUACUUACAUUUACCCUGACUAGUAAAGUCUAUAUUUUUAUCUGACUAAACAUACGUGGCCUCGGUGUAAUGACUUAACAAAUUCAUAAAAAUAAACUAAUUAUUACCAAAUUAUUUAUACUAUGAAUAGUGAUCUCAUUUUAGUUUUAUCUUUUCUUUCUAAAAAGAAAAUGUCAUUAAGAUCAAAACAUCUAAUUAAACCACUGUUUAUACUAUAAUAUUUGUAUUGUUAUGAAUUCUAUACCACUUACUAAUUAUGUGUUAAUAAGAGUUUUUAUUACCUAUUUAGUGAGUUUAGAGGAAUUUAUGAAUAUAAACUUUUAGAUAAAUUCUAAAAUUCGUCAUAAACAAAAUUAACUAAGUUAUUAUUUAUCUAGUGUUUUCAUCACUAACACAUGGUCUACCAAAUUUUGUCUUUCCUCUGUCCAAUCCCAAAUUCUAGAGAACUCGCAAAUCAAUAUCACGUCUAAAAACCACUCACUAAUUCAAUCGCACAAAUACUCAAAGUUAAUCGUUACACACAUGAAUUCCAAAUCACAACGAAUAAUUACCAAAUUCAUGAAUUAAUUCAAAACAUGAUUUUGAAGUUAUAAAAAUAUUUGGGUUGACUUCAACCUUGUGGUGAAUGGAGGGAUUCGAUCGCGGUGAGGCGAGACGUUCGGACGGCGAGGCGUGGAUGGUCCAGUUGGUGUGCUGCGCGGUCGCGUCGACGGCGUAAUUCCGGCAAUGCGUUUGGACGGCGGGGCGCGAACUCCGGCAGGACUCCACGGAUGGCGAACGGCGUACGAAUGCGGACAGUCCGGCGACGAGCUUCACGACGGCGAGCUGGAGUAGGUUGAUGGAGAACGAUGACGACGGUUCAACACACAGCAGCAGGGAGCUAGCAUGGUGAAGACAAACGGCGACGCACAACAGCAGCACAGGUUUGGCGGGGACUACAUGCGCGAACGGCGAAGCAUGUGGAGUCCCGCGAGCGAUGGCAAUGAUGCGGCGUGACGGCACAACACGAGCGUGGGGAAUCCAGCUAGAUGGACGGGCUUCGGGACAGGAACAUCAAGGAAUGGCGAGAGGAGGAAGAUGAACAUGAAAAUGGCAAUUACUGCUGGCUAAGGGAGUGCAGCGUCCUUAUAUAGGGGAAGAGAGACAGGAGAUUGGCCGGAUUAACUUUCCCUAAUGUCCAGUUAAACGUUACAUUCAUCCACAUUCGUACCUGGAAGAAAUGCUAUCAAUGGCGAAUUUUAUGGAGCUAUUACUGCUGUGAGUAAAAGUGGAGCGGACGGUACGGGUGGGAAACGUAACGGACGACGAACAAACAGCAAACGUGCAAAGCUAUAAUGGGAGAUUGAAGAGAAUCCAAACAGCAGGUCCACGCGUCAUAGGGGCAAAGCGAGAGAAAGUGAGCAGGCUGGGCGCUUCGCAAACGUGUGGGCGAGUGCAUUUUUUUCUCUUUUUUUGCAUUUUCUUUUUUAAAUAGAAUAGUAUAUUCCCAAACGUGUGGGAUGUGGAUUUUUUUUACUUCUUCUUCUUUUUUUUUAAAUAAAAAAUAUAUAAUAGUAUAUUUAUAUAUGUUCUAAAAUUUCAGAAUAAAUCCAAUUUUAUAAUAAAACUUAUUUUGCACUAUAAUUCUUUUUAUGAGAAUUCCAUUAUUUAAAUAAAAGGUUCUUUAAAUAAAGGAAUAAAAUCAAUAAAAAUAGAAUUUUACUUAUAAAUUUAAUUAUUAACAUAUCAAAAUUCAUAUUUCAAUUAUAUAUUUUAAUAAUUCAUUAUUUUAUAAAAUAAGGUUCUUCUCACAAAAUUAAAUCCAGAAAUUGGAUUUGAAAUUUAAAUGAAACAAAACAUAUGCGUCGACAUGAAUUCAUCAAACACUUGGUAAAAUUUUAUCUAAUCAAGAAAGUGUUCAAUUUAUUUAUAUCACCAUUUCAUUUUUUUUGAAAAUAUAAAUAUUUUGCUUUCUACUGGAAAUUAAUAAUUCAAAUAGGGUUGUUUGCUUUUGCUAGAUUUAGGGUGUUACAAAAGUUCUCCUGUUUUGGUGCUUAGUGCCAAAGGGGGAGAAAUUAAGGCCAAAGCAAAUGGAUCAGCCAACCACUUGUGAAUUUCAAAAACUAUAGAGUUAGAAUAGAGUUAGAACCUUUGUGUUUGAUCAAAACCCUCUUAUUGCAAAAACUAUUCUCUUAUGGGGGAGAAUUUUAAUUAUGGGAAAAGGGGGGAGUUUGUGGCAUUUGAUCAAAUUUACUCUUGAAAGAUCUCUCGAUUUGCCAAAACAAGUGUGUUUGACAUUAGAGAUAGGAAAAAGAAUUUGUUUUGUGAAAAUAAACCAAGUGGUGGAAAAAGUGAUCCAAAUAUGCCAAAUCCUAUGUGAGAUGAAAUAGUCUUCAAUUUGCACUCCUUGAGAAUGAUAUUGCACUUUGAGUUGCUUUUAAAUGUGUUGGCAUAAAUCACCAAAAAGGGGGAGAUUGAAAGGGAAAUGUGCCCUUGGACAAUUUCUAUAAAUGUUUUAGUGAUUGGAUGCCCAACACAUAUUGUUUUUAAGGUGAUGUGUGCUAAGUGUUAAAUAGAUGCAAAUCAAGAAUCAAGGUAUGACUCUAGCCUUAGUGAAUUGUUUUUGGUACUAACAUAUUCCUCUAAGUGCUAGGAACCUUGUUAAAUCAAAUGAGAUUGGAUUGGAGAAGUUUGGCUAAAGUACAGCCAGAUCUGCACCAGCCUUCGGUGCACCGGACUGUCCGGUGUGCACCGGACAGUGUCUGGUGCCUAGGCUGGAUCAGCGAUGAACUCGCUACUCUCGGGAAUCACCGAGGGGGCCACGACUAAAAUUCAUCGGACUGUCCGGUGGUGCACCGGACAAUCCGGUGAGCCAACAGUGCACGUGCCAACGAUCGACAACGCGAUCAGCGGGCGAUGUGUGGCCAACACCAAUGGUCACUAGGCCGCACCGGACUGUCCGGUGUGCCAAGGGGACAGAGGGCUCAACGGUCAGCUUCGCUAGAGAAGGAAAGAAAUCGAGCACUGUUCAUGUCCGGUGGUGCACCGGACUGUCCGGUGCGCCAACCGAUAGAAGGCAAGAAUUGCCUACCAAAUGGAGAUCCAACGGCUCCUAGCUGCCUUGGGGCUAUAAAACGGACCCCUAGGCGCAUGGAGCAACAUACCAAGCCUCCAUUGAACAUCCUAAUACGCCUAGACUCCGCAAGCACGCAUCCGGAUCACUGUGAUUAAGAUUUGAGCACUUAUUGAGUUGUGAACUCAUUGCGCUGUGUUUGUGUGCUCGGUUCUUGACUUGUGUGCAUAUCAUUGCUGCGACUCUAGCUUUUGCGUGUGUUUCUUUCCCUCCCUUACUCUUGUGGUUUUCAUUGAGAUCAAUAUUGUAAGGGUGAGAGACUCCAACUUGUGGAGAUUCCUCACAAGGGAAACAUCAACUAUAAGGAAGAAAUCCGUGGUAUUCAAGUGGAUCAUUGGAUCGCUUGAAAGGGGUUGAGUGCAACCCUCGUCCAUUGGGACGCCACAACAUGGAAGUAGGCAAGUGUUCUACUUGGCCGAACCAUGGGAUAAAAAUCGCUAGGUCACUUGUUGCUAUUCUUGUGCGAUCUUCUACUCACUUGAUAAUUGCUCUAAGUUUAAUACUUACUUUGUAAAGAGCAAUUAAGUGAAGAAGUCAUCUCUUUUUCUUUUGACAUAGCACCUUGGUUUUGAUUUCACUAACAUUUCAUAAUCCAAGUUUGUGCUAUUUAGCGUUGAUUUAUACAGGAUCACCUAUUCACCCCCUCUAGGUGCUCUUAGGUUGAUUUUCUACACUUUGAACCAUGGCACGAGUAUAAUAUGAACAUUUUAAGCAUAAAACAAAUUAAAUCACAAUGAUCAAAGGUAUAUGAAAAAUAUGCAAGUGUGCAAUACUUCAAUCCAUGUUCCAAGAGUCUAAGAUGUUUAGCUCACACCUCAACUCACAGAAUUGUUGGGGAAAUGAUCCCCGGUCCCUGAGACCCGCUAGUCAGAGAGCGCGCUGAGGAAAGUGCCCUUGGUCGCUGGGGGCGUUGGUUAGCUACAAGAGGUGGAUAUGUCAACCCUGAAAGAGUAAGGGAGGGGUGGGUGUUCAGAAGGGAACCACUCGAGUGGUUCCCGCGCUCGACCCCAGACUGACUCGCCGUAAAUAAUUGGCCGCAUUAACCACGUCUAGAACCGAGCCACAACACGGGCACCGAUCCACUUCACACUCAUGACCUAUGAACCCCUUGGGCCGCAUAGCACUCAUGACCUACGGCUCCCCUGGACUGUGGCACAUUUAUGGUCUAUGUGCCCCUCGGUCUACGGCUCACUCAUGGCCUAUUGGAUUAGGUAUGAGUACGCAGACCUCAGGUAGGGCACUAUACGACGAGUCGUGCCGAGCCCUAGGCUACAGAGGCCAGGGGUUGGCAUAACUAAAAUGACGAUGCUUAGGACCCUCGUAGCCCCGCACCGUCCGCCAUAAUAAAUAUGGGAAAACCAGGCAACCUCGGGCCCCACGAGUACGCAUGGUUUUACCCUAUAUAGAACGCUAAAUUUACCCUUGACUUAUGGCUCCUUCCCAAGGAAGCCACCGAUGACCGACCCCUCUCCCCGCUUAUUAAUCUUCUCCUGUACCAUGUUUGUUUGUAUUGUUGCGAGUAGACGAGCAAGUGACCGAGGAACCGGGGACUCAGCAUGUGGAAAAUACUGAACAGGAGCUCGUUGAAAGCAAGUUGUUCCCUUGAUCGCUAUUCUUUACCCAAUAAUGUCACUGUUAAUCACUAUGCUAUGCUCAGGUUAAAUUGAUGGGACCAAUAGGUCACCCUAGUUUGAUUUACUUUACGCCUUUCUUACCACCGAUCCUUUGGGUAGUAUAUGCUAUUGCUCAAUGUGGUCUUGGGUGUUAAGAUACAAAUGAUUUAUGACCAUGCUUUACUAUUGUUAUUGAAUUAUUUAAAUGUUCAUGAUAAGAUUAUGGUGUUAACUGGAACAUGAAGCUUAACUUGAGAUAACCGUGCUACCACAAGGGUGGAAUGGGACACCCUUGGCUGACUAAUUAGGAAAGCUAGUGUUGGGGGCCUUCUCCUUCCAAAGGUCCUCAAAAACAUAUUUAACCGUUUGUUUUCGACAUAAGCUAUUACAGAAGCUUCGUUUUCAGGAUGCAAGCCUCUUCCUCAUGACGAAGGCACACGAGAUGAAGACAGAUCUAAAGGGGAUAAGAGUAAACACCGAAGCUAUCACCAGAUGGACAACUUCGGCUCAUAACAGAGAUGAAGUAUAAUGAUGAUGCUGACCAAAAGAGGAAAAGACUACUUAGUCCUUAAUGACUUGCAUUAUGAUCAUAUGUGAAUAUUGGGGACAUAAAUGUACUUUUACCCAGUCUCAUGCCUAUAAAUAGAUGAACAGUAGCACCGUACUGUUCACGCUUAAUUGUAACCACUCUCUCGCAUCUUCACCUUCGAGCAAGCCGAAGGUAUCAAUGUAAUAUGAAUUCUGUUGAUAUUCAUACAUGUUUUAUAGAAUGCGAAUAUGAAGGAAUUAAUAAGAUGCGAUUACUGUCUUCAUCCUCUCGCAUUCAUGUUCACAUACUAAAUGAUGAAGGCCUGUCUUCAUGACCAUCGUCUAAUGAUCAUUAUACCCAUAGGGAGACAAUGCUUCGGAAGACGAAGGUCCCUAAUAAUUAAUAAUUGUGUUGCCUUGUUCUUGAUUCACAACAUUUGAGAACAAGUGACCAACAUUGGCGCCCACCUCCGGUGAACUCACUUCCACAACCUUCGGCAAACGCUAGCCUUCGUCAUGUCGCCGAAGUAGACAACAACGCCAGGGGCUGCUCUCCAGCCACUGGACACCAACCAGGAAACGCUCUCACUGAGAGAGGCUAGGAGCCAGAAAAGAAAAGCUACCAGCCCUACACCUCAAGAGGAAGAGUUGGACCAGGAGAUCAGGGAUUUAGAAGCUAUACACCAACAGGUGCAGAGGAAAAAAGAAAAGAUGCUUCGGUUAGCCAAACUUCAAAGGAAGAUCGACGAAGCAGCUGAAGAAAUGUGCCAUCUUGCGCAGGAUGAUCAAGGACAAGGGCCUCAACAUAGAGAGCUUUGUCAAGAAACUCUAGUCAAUACGAUGGGUGGUAUGAUGAUCUAUACCAUGGUAAUUUUGCUUUCGAUGAUGCUUCUCCCCUGGCACCAGAACUGCAGGUAGGGAUGAAAGUGGUAAUCUGAACUGUUAGCACAAAUUUAAUAUUUUAAAAUAAAUAUGUAUAAAAUUUGAUGGUGAUUUUGUGUUAUGUUCUCAAGCACAUUAUUACAAAUAAGAAUAAAAUAUUACAUAAAUUGUUUUAUGUAUUAUUUGCUCCCUACAACAAAAAAAGUUGAAAAAAUUACCGAAUUUGUUUUCGAAUCAAUACCGAAUUUUAUAUCUAUCAUUUGAGAAAAUAUAUGAUGAAUUUGAGGAUAAAAUUUUAUGAAUCUUUACAAGCUCAAUGUUAUAAACAAGAAUACAAAUUUGUAUAGUGCAUUAUAUAUACUAUUUAUUCGCAAUCAAAGAAAAACGACUAAAAAGCUGAUUACCGAAUAAAUACUGUUUCUGACCGUUUUCAUCCCUGCAGGCUACCCCAUGGCCACCUUCAUACAAGCCGCCACAGCUCCCCAUGUAUGAUGGGCACUCUGAUCCAAAGCAAUUCCUCAUGAGCUAUGAAGCAACCAUAUCAUCGUAUGGUGGCAACACUGCUGUCAUGGCCAAGUCCUUCGUCAUGGCAGCCAGGAGCGUGGCUCAGACUUGGCAUUCUUGUCUUCGGCCAGGAGCAAUUACAUCAUGGCAGAAGUUAAAGGAUAUGUUAGUCACAAGCUUCUAGGGCUUCCAAAUGAAGCUAGUGACUGCUCAAGCUUUGUUCCAGUGCACGCAAGACCAUGAGGAGUACUUGCAGUCAUAUGUUCGAAGGUUCUUGUGGCUGAGAGCCCAGGCACCAACGGUGCCUAAUGAAAUCGUCAUCGAGGCCAUGAUCAAAGGCCUUCGACCAAGACCCACGACACAAUAGUUUGCAAGGAAGCCACCAUAGACCUUGGAGAAGCUCCUCCAGAAAAUGGACGAGUAUAUCAGAGCUGACAAUGACUUUCGACAGAGAAGGGAAGAAGCCUAUAGAGACUCCGAGAUGACCAGGGGAUUCGGAGGAAGACUCUACCCUAGGCAUGUCAGGAUGAUUCAUAAUGCUAGCUCAAGCGUUGACAGGGGAUAUAAUACUAAAGGGCAUCAGCACAACUCUCAAUCAUCAGAGACACAACAAAGCUCCUUCAGGCCACCAGCUCCAAGAGGCAGAGGGGGGAGAAGCUUUGGAGGAAGGUAUGGUAUUCAGCCCAGGAGACUGUUCUGCCUACUAUGUGGGGAAGAUAAGGGACACACGACAAGGAUGUGCCAAGUAACGAUCCAAAAGCAGAAGGAAAUCACUGAAGCCGAAGCACGACAGAACCCACGCGAAGCAGGUCUUGCAUACUACUUCAUGCUAUUCCCCAUAUAUCUCUGAGUAUGUGGGCAAUCAACAGCCUACAACGUCCAUUGCUUCGGCGAGUCACUCCCAAGCCUCCUGGGCUCAGUUGCCACCACCACCACUACUGGCGCCUACCUUGAUCCAUAAUCAACUGCCAGAAGGGCAUCGCCAGGCUCAGCAGCAGCGCGACACUCGGGAGGAAUCCGAAGCUCGCACAAUCAAUAACACUGUGCCCGAGUCAAGGCAUAUCUACUGAGUGUCUUAAUCCAAUAUAUUUUUACCCUUUUUGCCUUUAUAUUUUUCUUCUCAAAAGACAAUACAAGGAGGUUUAACCUUCAGCUUGAUGUAAUAAGUCUGUGGUUACACCAUCGAGUGUAACAAAAAAGUAUCACGAAGCUCCAAAGUCGUUCCUAAGGGAAUGCAGAGCUAAGUUACCACCUAAGUGAAAGGUGAAAAAUCUCCAAAGUCGUUCCUAAGGGGAUGCAGAGCUAAUAUACCACCUAAGUGAAAGGUGAAGAAGCUCCAAAGUCGUUCCUAAGGGCAUGCAGAGCUUAAAUGCCACCUAAGUCAAAGGUGAAGAAGCUCCAAGUCGUUCCUAAGGGGAUGCAAAGCUUAGCUCCAAAGUCGUUCCUAAGGGGAUGCAGAGCUGAAAUACCACCUAAGAAAAAGG
rnacentral:lncRNA from 1 species